rnacentral:lncRNA from 1 species
CCAUAUGAACCUAUCAUAUUGCGUACGUGCCACUGAAGAAAAAACUUUAUUUAUAAAUGACGCGGCACCUACCACUCGUUCUCCUAUAACCAUGCGCUUGGCAUGUCCAAAAUAUUAACCUUGCGAUUGGCUCUUCGCCUCUUCGGGAAGUCAAGCUAUAAUGGUAGUGCAGUAUAUAUCGUUCUGGCUAUAUGAGACCGAAUGGAUUGCUGCACUUCCACCACGUGGGCGAGGGUCGAGGGGCGAGGGAGAGUGCUACAUAUGGAGCAAAAUGAGUGAAUCUACACUCUAAAAUACGUCUAUAUACAUCAAUGUUUGGAGUGUGUACUACUAGUUCAUAUUGAAAUCUACUAAAGGACAUAUAUAUUCGAAACAAUAUGAUAUAAUCUCUAUAACCAAGGUAGUAGGGACGAGGAGUAAACGGAGGGAGUAGUAAAUUUCUCUCCUUGUCCUGCGACCCACCACACGCAUGGGCGAGGGAGCGGGCGUAAGGCGGAGCAAGCUUCACCUCAUCUUGUGAGCCACCGCGCCCGUGGGCAGGGGAGACGGCGUACUAAGCAAGCUUCUCCUCGUUCUGUGAGUUGACGGGACACAUCAAAAGUACUCCAGUGUAUAGAGCCUUACCUCUAAGGUAGGCCCCACAUGGUUUGCCUCUUUUUUAAUUUAACAUAAUGCGUCAAGUCGCAAUUUGUUUGUUCACCCGUGGUAGACGAUCGUCCCUCCAUGAAGUGGACAACCAGUACACGUGCCAAAUUACCACGUGGGCUGCCUUUUUGUACAAAAAUGAGCUCCACUGUGUACCUGCGUGGGUGUGGUUGGGAAAGAGACGGGAGUACGUGCGCCGUGCAUGCACCUCUUCUCUUCGUGCACGUCCCCCACCUACGUGGGUGUGUGUGAGAGAUACAAACCGCGUUCAUGAGUNNNNNNNNNNNNNNNNNNNNNNNNNNNNNNNNNNNNNNNNNNNNNNNNNNNNNNNNNNNNNNNNNNNNNNNNNNNNNNNNNNNNNNNNNNNNNNNNNNNNNNNNNNNNNNNNNNNNNNNNNNNNNNNNNNNNNNNNNNNNNNNNNNNNNNNNNNNNNNNNNNNNNNNNNNNNNNNNNNNNNNNNNNNNNNNNNNNNNNNNNNNNNNNNNNNNNNNNNNNNNNNNNNNNNNNNNNNNNNNNNNNNNNNNNNNNNNNNNNNNNNNNNNNNNNNNNNNNNNNNNNNNNNNNNNNNNNNNNNNNNNNNNNNNNNNNNNNNNNNNNNNNNNNNNNNNNNNNNNNNNNNNNNNNNNNNNNNNNNNNNNNNNNNNNNNNNNNNNNNNNNNNNNNNNNNNNNNNNNNNNNNNNNNNNNNNNNNNNNNNNNNNNNNNNNNNNNNNNNNNNNNNNNNNNNNNNNNNNNNNNNNNNNNNNNNNNNNNNNNNNNNNNNNNNNNAGGGAGGGGUAGGCAGAGGCCUAAAUAUAUAGGUAGAACGACUCACAUAUGUGUUGAGAAGGAGAGACCCAGCUAUGUCUUGAGGGAUAUCGGUCGACAUCCCUACAUAACUGAAGGACGGGAAAUAUGAUGGGACAGAGAGAGAGAGAGAGAGAGAGAGGAGAGAGAGGGAGGGAGAGGGGUAGAGUGGCUGAUGGGUGAUGGAGUUGCUUCUCAGAGAUGGUGGGAGAGGCCUACUAGACAAACUGAGGGUGGAACUGCAAUGUUAUCAAUAAGAGUGGGGAUGUGUUUCUGUGUGUGCCUAUGCAUGAUAGAUCCGUCGGGACGCAUCCAUGGAUGAUGAAGGGGAACCAUGUGUUUGGUAAGCAAACCUGACUAGAUCGGUAUAUCAAUUGUUGUUUGUCGGAGGAAGGGAGAUAUGCAACUAAUGAGGUAGAUCGAUCGACGCAUAGGUAAAAACGAGUUAUAAGGACCUAGCUAGCUAUAUAUAUAGCGAGAGACCGGUCAGUGUACAUCCAUUUGUUAGAGGCAAAUAAGGCCCAGCCAGAUGGAUAGACAGAGAGAAUGGAGCUAGGAGGUGGUGCAAGAGGCCCAACUACUAGCUAGAUAGGUGGAGGAGUUUGCGAUUGUGAGAUCGAUGAAAAGAGGGGCGAGAGUUUACACGUGUGUGUGACCGUAUGAGAGACACGAGGCAAGGACACAUAAAGGAGGAGAUUGAAGGUGUGUGUGUAUGUUGUAGGCAGGCAUCACUGGAGAGGUUUAUCGAUCGGUGUGUGUCGGAAAGGAGUUGUGGAGACUCUGGGAGAACGACCUAAAGAAAACAAAUGGAUGUUCCCGGUGGAUAGAAAGCCGAGGGAGGGGGAGAGCGAGGAGGGCGUGUGCAUGCACGAGAGAAAGUUAGUGGUAGCUACAAAGGUUAGAGGAUUGUUUGGGUGUAAGAGACUAUCAAAGAUCAUAAUUUGAUAUGAAAGCGGAUUCAUAUAUUUGAAUAGGAUAUCAUAGUGUUUUAAACAUUGCAUGCAUGAAUAUAGCGUGAUACACGCGUUGUACACAUGUUAUACCAUAAUGUGAUAAUGCAUGACAUUUGCAACUCACAGCUAAAUGCCGAACAAUCUAAACCAUACUAUACAUCAAACAAUCUCACAUUUUAUUUGAAUUUGUGAUAAUGUGUGGCGUUUGCAGCUUACAACUAAAUAUCUAACAAUCUAAACAAUACUAUAUAUCGAACAUUCUCACAUUUUAUUUGAAUUUGUGGUAAUGUGUGGUGUUUGCAACUCACAUCUAAAUACUUGUAGGCGUAGGGGGCGGGGCACCAUACAUAAUCUGAUAAACACAUUAUACAUAUGAGACAUGGUUUAGAUUAUGAAGAUCUAGCUAGAGCUAGAAAUGUAAUGUGAUUUGAAAUCAAAAUAAAGUGGAUUGAAAAAAUCAAGUUCGAGUUCAUAUAGUACACAUAGUUCAUAUGUAACUCGAGACUAAUCAUGUGGUGUGCUGUGAAGAUAAUACACAAAUCAUGGUUUAACUUGACAAUAAUGAUGAUUGUAGAUCUUAUUAAAACCGAGAAACGAAUUCAAAUGCUUUGACUUCACAACAAUCAUUACAGUAGAUCUUAUUCAAAUAGAGAAACGAAUUCAAAUUUAGUUCAUAUUGAAGCGGUAGUAUAUAUGUUUGGAAUGCACUAAAACAUUCAUUUGAGUAGUAGGUUGCAUGCAUUAUACACGUAACGAAAUAUUUUAAUUGAACAUAACAUGAAUUCAAAGUUUUAAAUGACAUUUGUAGUGCGCAUUGAUUUGGUACAGUACACGUUAGGCUUGUCCAGAAAUUUCAACCCGCGCCUUGUUAGCCUGAAAUAUAUAAGAUAUAUCUUUGUCUCAUUGUGCUCCGACAACUCCCUCCAUCUCAACCCGCACCUUGCUAUUCCGAAAUUACAACGCGCGCGAAAACUCCCACCUCCUGUGAAAUCCCGACACGCGAAAUGCCCGUGGUACCCCUGAACCGAAAGAACCAUCUCAAAUCGGUGGGGGUACUUUUGUAACUUACCCCACAUUUCGGACAAGCGCGUCCCUAAGCCAUGGUUCCCCACUGCCAUCCCAUCCGCCCACCCAUUCAUACACCAAGGCCGCGAAAACCCGCGACGAAACCCCACACCCUUCUUCGUCCGCCACCCAGCCGGAGCCUCUUCCCAGACGACAUCAUCCACAGCAACACCUCGACGUCCCUCAUCCACCGUACCGGAUGAGGAUCCGUCGUUGAUCUCGUCGUCCCGCUGGUUCAGCCACCCCGUCCUCCACCUCCAAGGAGCUGCCCCGAUGUUCCCCUUGUCUUUCGCGCCACCUCCAUUCCCACACCGCCGUCUUCACCUGCACCAUCGGAAGAGAAUCAUCAUCACCGUUUCCUCGGAUGAAGCUGCGUCCUAAUCGGCGCCACCAAAGAGGUUGUACACUAAUCGCUGCAUUUUCUUCUUGAUUUGAUCUCACGGUGCUGCCGGUGCUCGAUCUCGAGCCGACACGGCGCGACUCCAUCCACGGCGGCAUCACCGGCCACUUUCUCCACGGCAUCGCUCCCUCGGCGGCGACGUCCACAUCAGUAGGAGCUGUUGCUGCUUUAGCUCUCGCUCGCGUUGCUGCUCUGCUCUUGCUCUUGGUCCCCUGCCUGGUUUGCUCUUGCUAUUGCUCUUGCUCGCACUGCUGCUCUCGCUCUUUCUCUUGCUUGCGAUGCUGCUCUGAUUUAGCUACACUUCAGUCGAUUGAACCGACUUUUGGGUCAGUNNNNNNNNNNNNNNNNNNNNNNNNNNNNNNNNNNNNNNNNNNNNNNNNNNNNNNNNNNNNNNNNNNNNNNNNNNNNNNNNNNNNNNNNNNNNNNNNNNNNNNNNNNNNNNNNNNNNNNNNNNNNNNNNNNNNNNNNNNNNNNNNNNNNNNNNNNNNNNNNNNNNNNNNNNNNNNNNNNNNNNNNNNNNNNNNNNNNNNNNNNNNNNNNNNNNNNNNNNNNNNNNNNNNNNNNNNNNNNNNNNNNNNNNNNNNNNNNNNNNNNNNNNNNNNNNNNNNNNNNNNNNNNNNNNNNNNNNNNNNNNNNNNNNNNNNNNNNNNNNNNNNNNNNNNNNNNNNNNNNNNNNNNNNNNNNNNNNNNNNNNNNNNNNNNNNNNNNNNNNNNNNNNNNNNNNNNNNNNNNNNNNNNNNNNNNNNNNNNNNNNGCGGGUGGCGGGGGGCUGCUAUUUGGCCGGUGGUGGCUGGCGGCUCAGGGGGUGGAGGUUGAAGAUGAACCGCAGGCCCUUGAUUUCGUAUCCAACAGCUGCAAAAUCGACUGACCAGAGAUGAAAAAGUCAGUCGACCGACGUGUAGCCUCACCUUGCUAGUGCGUUUAGUUUCGACAGCAAAAUUCAGUUUCGAUAGCAAAAUUCAGUUUCGAUGGUUAAGUUCAGUUUCGAUAGUUAAGUUCAGUUUCGACAGUUAAUUCUGUUUCGACAGUUAAGUUCAGAGAUGAGCGGCUGAUGUAUUUUACAUCUAGCACUUUGUGGUUAUGUAUUUUACGUCAUGUAUUGGAGAUGCUAUUAGAAUUCCACUCAAGUUAAGGUUGUUCAUUGUCUCUCUUAUCCUACUUUAGCCUCGGCGUCGUACAACUCACCGGAGCUGCUCCAACAACGAAACCCUCCAUCACAGCGGAGCAGUACCUCAGGCUCCAUCUCCAGACGCCUAAGAUCUUCUUCCCCUUCUCCGACAGCAAAGUCAGCCGAAGCAUCCUCACCGGCCAACCCAAUCACACUGAGAUCGACAAGGCUUCGCCAAAGAGGUUGUACACUUGUUGCAUCUCUUUUUUUACUCUACAUGUUAUAUAUAUUGUCCACUGAGCACACAGAUUUGUUCCUUUAGUGUCUCCUUGAAAGAAAAAACUUAGGAAUUUUAAUUUUCACUUGUCCUCCUUUUCAAAUUCCUAUUCAUGAAGCACAAGACUAAGAGAUAGUAGCAUAAUAGCAUUAAAACCGUAUAUUUUCUUGUGGCUUGACUUAAUCUCACCAUGCUUCUUUGCAUCCUGUGAUCUCCCAAUUGUUGUGAAUCAAACACCCAGAUUGGCAAAAAUCCUGUAUUUUCAAAUUCUCUGUUUUGCACGUGCAUUCCUAUCCUAUUCCUGUCUAUUUCCUAUCCCUGCAUUGUUGGAAUCCUCCAAUUCAAACGAGCCCUUACAGAAUUACUACUCUUACAGAUAGUUGUCAAAGAAAACAUUGUGUGGUUUGUCCCGCUCCUGCUGCGCCAUCGUCCACCCCAGCUCAGCUGCUCCAACGAUAGAAGGGUCUAGCACAACAGGGAUCCGGCCUCCAAACUAUCUUUCUCCGCCUCAGAUCUUCUUCCCCACUGCCGCCAGCCAUGAAAACUGCAUUACCACCAUCAACCGAGCAGAUGACCUCGAGUACUACACGGGUCCGCGAGAGAGGUCACACUCUUUCGUGUCUGCUAAUGUUAUGCAUCACUUAAUAUUACAUGCUACUUUAUCGUCCUGUUCACCGAUUAGACUCUGAGUCAGCUCCAAACUAAUGGUCAAACUUGAGUUUUUCAAUGGUUGUGGGGUACAUAUCGGACCGCUAUCAAUAGUAUCUAUCUACUAUAUGGUUAAUCUCCGGUGUCUACUAUGAGUUUCAUGUUGGGUGAGAAACAAACAGUAAAGAAGCCAUUAUCUGUAUUUUUUAACUGAAGCCAUUAUCUGCCUGCUAUUAUUGGUUUUGGGUCUAUCCACAGGUUGCUACCAUCACUCUGGUUUUCUGCAUGCACUCCUUACAUGAUCUCACUAUGUUUUAUUCCUAUGCAUGACAGUUAUUGUAAACAAUGGAACUGAACAUGUAGAGCAAAAGAGACGAGCCUUGCGUGGCAAUAAAAUUUCAUGCAGACAUCGCUCCAUGGUAGGCACAAAGGCAGCCCCCCUCCACGCAUUUCGGAUUGUAAUCAAGAGGAAGAUAUCUGUUCUGAGGGGGAUCCAGAAGGAAAAGACAACUCCUAUUUACCCCCUCAGGUCUUCGCUCUAACUUGGCAUGCUGAUGGUAGUUAUAUCAUGCAUAUGGUGGCUUGCAUUGCUUACUUUAUACAUCAAAUAUGUCAUCUGCUUAGUUUAGACAUCCUUUGUGCGAAUGCCAUCUGUUUAGUUUAUUCAUCGUUUAUGUGAAUUAUGCAAUGCCAUCUUGUUUAGCCAGGCAUCAUUAUGUGAAUUUUGUAAUGCCAUCCUGCUUAGCAAGUCAUCUUAUAUGUAAAUUAUAUCAGGCCAUCCUUUUUUUCGUUACAUAUUACAUUUGUCAACAAUGUUAGUACAUUCAACUGCUCUUCGUGUGUAUCAGCCAUUUGACACGGUGAUGGCAAAUUCUAGAGUGAAAACAAGGUAUUCAGAGCAGACUAUGCUAUCUGACGAAGCGCAUAUCUCGCUGGUUACGGAUAGCUCCUUGGAGGAGGAUUCAGAGACAGAUNNNNNNNNNNNNNNNNNNNNNNNNNNNNNNNNNNNNNNNNNNNNNNNNNNNNNNNNNNNNNNNNNNNNNNNNNNNNNNNNNNNNNNNNNNNNNNNNNNNNNNNNNNNNNNNNNNNNNNNNNNNNNNNNNNNNNNNNNNNNNNNNNNNNNNNNNNNNNNNNNNNNNNNNNNNNNNNNNNNNNNNNNNNNNNNNNNNNNNNNNNNNNNNNNNNNNNNNNNNNNNNNNNNNNNNNNNNNNNNNNNNNNNNNNNNNNNNNNNNNNNNNNNNNNNNNNNNNNNNNNNGCAGGGUUAUGUUGCUCAUAUCGUGCGUAUGGUGUCUCGCAUUGCUAUGUCAUUUGAUUAGUUUAUACAUGCUUUGUGUGAAUGCCACCUGUUCAGUAUCUAAUUACCAUAUAUUUGAAUUAUGCAUUGCCAUCUUGUUGCAAGACAUUAUACAUGUGAAUUAUACAAAGCUAUCUUGUUGCAAAGGCAUUAUAUAUGUGAAUUAUGCAAUGCCAUGCUGUUUAGCCAAUCAUCAUGUAUGUGAAUUAUAUCAUGCUAUCGUUUUUUUGUAUUACGUGUUCCAUUUGUCAACAACGUUUGUAUAUUCAACUACUCUUCCCGUGCAUCAGCCAUUUGAAGCGGUGGUGGAAGUAUCUAGAGUGAAAACAAGGUAUUUAGAGCAGACAAUGCUACCUGCUAAAGCAGACAUCUUGCUGGUUACAGAGAGCUCCUCAGAGGAGGAUUCAGAGACUGAUGACCAGUCCUAUUUCCCCCCUGAGGUCUAUGCUCAAACUUGGCAGGGUUAUAUUACCCAUGUCAUGCAUGUUGUCUUGCAUUGCUUAGUUUUUACAUCAUAUAUGGAUUGCCAUCUGCUUACUUGCUUACUAUAUAAAUCAUAUAUUUGAAUUAUAUCAUGCCAUCAUGUUUACAUAGUACAUACACAUCAUCUAUCUGAAUUAUGGCAUGGCAACUCAUUUAAUAAAGACAUCAUAUAAUUAUAUCAUCUCAUCAUGUUUAGUGUUUACAGUCAUCAUAUUUUGAAUUAUGGCAUUCUAUCCGUGAAUGUAUGUGAAUUAUGGCAUGCCAACCUAUUUAAUAAACACAUUAUAUAGUUAUGUCAUGUCAUCCUGUUUACAUAGUCUCAUAUUUUGAACUAUGUCUUUCCAUCUUUUUUAGUUAGCCAUCAUAAUGUGAAGUUGUGUCAUGCUAUCCUGUUUAGUUAGCCAUCAUAUAUGUGAAAUUGUGUCAUGCUAUCCUGUUUGGUUAGACAACAUAAAUAUGAAUUAUUUCAUGCACUCCUUUAUUCCCCACUAUCCAUUGCACCUGUCUAUCAUACAAUGUCUAUACUUUCAAUUACUUUUCUUGUUUAUCAGCCAUUUGAAUUGGAGAGCGUGAUGGCAGUAUCUAAGGGAGUAACAACACGGUCUUUAGAAAAGAUAGUGCUACCAGUUGAUGCAGAUAGAACCAUGGUUGUACUUGCCCAAGGACCAGAUCCACCACACAUAACCCAGACUCUCGCAGAUUGUACCCCUACCCAGUUGGACAGAGAACCAGCUACACCCCUUCUAACCCCAACCCCGGUAGAUAGUAACCCAGUUCCAGUUGACACAACACCGUCCCCACCACAGAGCACCCAAACACGAGCAGUUAGUAAGGGAACUGCAGUGCCCAAAGCACGAGGACCACCACUCUGAAUCCCAAAUCAACACUUAAAGGAGAAGAAGAUUUGUUCUUAGGUCAGGUUCUAUAGCUAUGGUUCAUACUCCUUUGCUCUUGGAUUACUGUAUUUACUCAUACCAACUAUUUUCAAAUUUGAAGGAUGGAAUUGAAACUCCAAUGGCACAAUAGGUAUGUUUUAAACCUGUUUCGUUAACUGGUUUGCUGUUGUAACCUGCUCUAUGUUGAUUUCAGUUUCAAUUGAAUAAACAGUUAUGUUCUCAUGUCAUGCACAUUACAAGUGUUGUUAUUGCUCUAUAGUUACCCACACAUAUAUUCUGUCUAUUCUGCUUUGUCUUGAACAAAUAUUAUUUGGACUGUGUCUCUAUCUUGAUUUGGCAACAAAAACGAGAAUGAUUUAGACCAUAAAGUGACCAUGGUACAUAGAUAUAUGUUUGUUUCAUGCUGUUAUCCUGUCCACUUUACUACUGAACUCAUUUACCAAAAUGAGUUUUAUAUACAACAUGGUAAGCAUGUGAUGUGUCUGCUUGUUUCUCUUUUAGAAUGCAGACAAAAUAUUGGAGAACAGUACCGCGUUAUCCAAUGGUAAGGGGAGUAAUGCAGAUAAGGUUCAAGAUAGUGAGACAUCCCUGUUGGUCUCCAAGAAAGCUGAUAAAAACUAUCUUGACAACAAUGAGAGAACCCAAAAGUCCUGUCUUGAUGUAGUGUUCGAGUUACUGGCCACAACUGCUGGCACAAGCUCUUCGAACUCGCUGCCUGAAUCAGUUCGUCUUCUUGAGUCUCAACUACAAGUUGAAAGACAUCGAUCAGAUGUGCUGCGACAGGAAGCUGAAGGACUGAGGAAGUACCUGCAGAAUUCAGAAGCAUAUUUCCUAGUGCAACAGCAAGCGCUGGAGGAUUUAAGCGCCAAACAAGAGAAAGUUAAUAAGCUUGCUAAGCAUCUUACCAGCAUUAUGGGUACCCAGGAUAUUGUUUCUUGAGAUCUUAUGAAGUGGUUUCAGUUCUGGAUUUGUUUUGCUGCGGCGUUUAUUUGCGUUGGUCGCCAACUUUGACAACCAGUGUAUAUGAUAUGCUGCUUUGUUCCCUAUAUUUGCACUGGUGGCGAACUUUGAUGCCCAGUGGAUGUAAUAUGUCUAAUAGCCGUGAUAGCCUAACGUUAGUUGCUUGCUUAUCUAUUUCCUUGUUGUCUUGUUUUUUUGUUUGCUAGUAGUCAUUGCAGUUCUUUUCCCGCGGUUUGCUAGUGGCUGCAAUAACCUAUUUUUUAAAACUAGGCCACAAUAACCAUGGGCUAAUGUUUACUGUAGUGACACUAGGCCUCCUACUGGCCGUAGAAACAGUGGGCCUUCUACGGGUCAUAGAAACAAUGGGCCUUCUGCGGGCCGUAUCAUCAAUGGGCCUUAUACGGGCCGUAUGAUUGAUUGGCCAAACAUGGGCCAAACAGAUCGCAUUAUGGCCGUAAACGGGCUAGAGUUGGAAUCAUCCGUUCACGGGCCGACCAUAACGGACCAUCGUUAAUAGGCCGUAUUUGCUGAUGCUAUGAAAACAGCCCAACGUAUUAACGGACCACAAAUGGGCCGACUGUAACCACAGUCGUAAGUAAAUGAAUGCUGGAAAUGAGCCCAAGCAUAAAUGGGCUCUGAGAAGGCCGAAAGAUAACAUGGGUUGGAAACGGCCAACGGAAUAACGAGCCGUUAAUGGGUUUAAGGUGAUACACUGUUCAUUACGGGCCAGUUUCACCACGGGCCGUUAAUGGGUGUAAAGUGAUACACUAUUCAUUACGGGCCAGUUUCACCACGGGCCGUUAAUAGGCCAAGAGUUACAAAGGGCCUCAUAUGGGCCGAAAGACAUCAUGGGCCAGAAGUGAAAAUGGGCUGGAAUCAUAUUGGAUGGCCCAGAUGACGCUACUGGGCCUAAUUCGGAUAGGGCGUAACGGGCCUUGGGUUAGCAGGCUGUAAAUGGGCUAUAUGCGAACAGGCCGUUAACAGGCUUUCCAUGGGCCGACCUGCCACCUUUUGACCAAGUCAAACGAGCCGGCCUUUUCACAGGAAUGGGCCUCUGUUGGGCCGUGCCACGUGUCGACGUAUCAUAGGCACCUUCUGUCCAAUGAGUGGAUGACAUCUGUCCCAACAAUGAGCCGACACAUGUUUCCUCCAGCCAAUGAUGACUUUACACGUGCAAAAUCCCCAUUGGUCGGGGCUGUUAAUAGUUUAUCGGAUCCAAAACCCGACCCGAUAGCUUAACGGUGUUCCGUUACGGUGGAUGCCACGUGUCGGUCACCCUUGACGAAAGCACUUCUGUGAUGCGUGAUUUAUCGUCAUGGAAGUGGACACUUCCGUGAUGAUAAUUUUCGUAAUGUCAUUGAACACUUCUACGACAGCACAUGUAUGACUAUCUUGAUUCUGACAUAAAAUUGUCAUGGAUGUACAUGCAUGAUAAAAAAACGCGACCUACCGUGACAAACACGUAUCAUCAUGGAAGUGUAUUUUUUGUAGUGAAACCCCGUGAUACGAUACGCUCUAUCACACAUAAACCUCCUUAUAUCUUCCUCAAAACAGCCACCAUACCUACCUAUUAUGGCAUUUCCAUAGCCAUUCCGAGAUAUAUUGCCAUGCAACUUUCCACCAUUCUGUUUAUCAUCAUGACACACACUAUCAUUGUCAUAUUGCCUUGCAUGAUCAUGUAGUUGACAUCGUAUUUGUAGCAAAGCCACCAUGCAUAAUUUUUCAUACAUGUCACUCUUGAUUCAAUGCCCAUCCCGGUACACCGCCGGAGGCAUUCAUAUAGAGUCAUAUCUUGUUCUAGUUUUGGGUUGUUAUUCAUGAGUUGUAAAUAAAUAGAAGUGCGACGAUGAUCAUUAUUAGAGCAUUGUCCCCAAAUAAAAAAAAGGCCAAAAAAGAGAAAGGCCAAAAAAAAGGAAAGGCGCAAAAAAAGAAAAUAAAAAAGGGAGCAAUGUUACUAUCUUUUUCCACACUUGUGCUUCAAAGUAGCACCAUGUUCUUCAUAUAGCGAGUCUCAUAUGUUGUCACUUUCAUAUACUACUGGGAAUUUUUCAUUAUAGAACUUGGCUUGUAUAUUCCUACGAUGGGCUUCCUCAAAAUGCCCUAGGUCUUCAUGAGCAAGCAAUUUGGAUGCACACCCACUAGUUUCUUUUGUUGAGCCUUCAUACAUUUAGAACUCUAGUGCAUCCGUUGCAUGGCAAUCCCUACUCCUCAUGUUGACAUCAAUUGAUGGGCAUCUCCAUAGCCCGUUGAUUAUCCUCGUCAAUGUGAGACUUUCUCUUUUUUGUCUUCUCCACACAAUCCCCAUCAUCAUAUUCUAUUCCACCCAUAGUGCUACAUCCAUGGCUCACGCUCAUGUAUUGCGUGAAAGUUGAAAAAGUUUGAGAUUAUUUAAGUACGAAACAAUUGCUUGGCUUGUCAUCGGGGGUGUAUAAGAUGGGAGCAUUUUUGUGUGACUAAAUGAAGCAUAGCCUAACUAUAUGAUUUUGUAGGGAUGAACUUUCUUUAGCCAUGUUAUUUUGAGAAGACAUGAUUGCUUUGAUUAGUAUGCUUGAAGUAUUACUAUUUCUUAUGUCAUUAUGAAAUUUUAUUUUGAAUCAUUUGGAUCUGAACAUUCAUGCCACAAUAAAUAAAAUUACAUUGAGAAUUAUUCUAGGUAGCACUCCACAUCAAAAAUUCUAUUUUUAUCAUUUACCUACUCGAGGACGAGCAGGAAUUAAGCUUGGGGAUGCUUGAUACAUCUCCAACGUAUCUAUAAUUUUUGAUUGUUCCAUGCUAUUAUAUUACCCGUUUUGGAUGUUUAUGGGCUUUACUUUACACUUUUAUAUCAUUUUUGGGACUAACCUACUAACUGGAGGCCCAACCCGUACUGCUGUUUUUUUGCCUAUUUCAGUGUUUCGAAGAAAAGGAAUAUCAAACGGAGUCCAAACGGAAUGAAACCUUCGGGAGAGUGAUUUUUGGAACAAACUUGAUCUAGAGGACUUGGAGUGCAAGUCAAGAAGCAAUCGAGGCAGCCACGAGGGUGGAGGGCGCCCCCCCUACUGGGCGCGCACCCUAUCUCGUGGUCCCCUUGGGCAUCCACCGACCUACUUCUUCCUCCUAUAUAUACCCACGUACCCUGAGAACAUCAAAGGCAACCACGAAAAACUAUUGCACCACCGUAACCUUCUGUAUCCAUGAGAUCCCAUCUUGGAGCCUUCAUCGGCGCUCCGCCGGAGGGGGAAUCAACCACGGAGGGCCUCUACAUCAACACCAUAGCCUCUCCGAUGAGUUGUGAGUAGUUUACCACAGACCUUCGGGUCCAAAGUUAUUAGCUAGAUGGCUUCUUCUCUCUCUUUGAAUCUCAAUACCAUGUUCUCCUCGAUCUUCUUGGAGAUCGAUUCGAUGUAACUCUUUUUGCGGUGUGUUUGUCUCGAUCCAAUGAAUUGUGGGUUUAUGAUCAAGUUUAUCUAUGAGAAAUAUUUGAAUCUCCUCUGAAUUCUUUUAUGUGUGAUUAAGUUAUCUUUGCAAGUCUCUUUGAAUUAUCAGUUUGGUUUGGCCUACUAGAUUGAUCUUUCUUGCAAUGGGAGAAGUUCUUAGCUUUGGGUUCAAUCUUGCGGUGUCCUUUCCCAGUGACAGCAGGGGCAGCAAGGCACGUAUUGUAUUGUUACCAUCGAGGAUAAAAAGAUGGGGUUUAUAUCAUAUUUCAUGAGUUUAUCCCUCUACAUAAUGUCAUCUUUCUUAAUGCGUUACUCCCUUAUUUAUGAACUUAAUACUCUAGAUGCAUGCUGGAUAGCGAUCGAUGUGUGGAGUAAUAGUAGUAGAUGCAGGCAGGAGUCGGUCUACUUGUCACGGACGUGAUGCCUAUAUACAUGAUCAUGCCUAGAUAAUCUCAUAAUUAUUCGCUUUUCUAUCAAUUGCUCGAAAGUAAUUUGUUCACCCACCAUAAUACUUAUGCUAUCUUGAAAGAAGCCACUAGGGAAACCUAUGGCCCCCGGGUCUAUCUUUUAUCAUAUAAGCUUUCAAUCUACUUUUAUUUGCAUCUUUACUUUUCCAAUCUAUAUUAUAAAAUACCAAAAAUAUAUUUAUCUUAUCAUACUAUCUCUAUCAGAUCUCACUUUCGCAAGUGGCCGUGAAGGGAUUGACAACCCCUUUAUUGUGUUGGUUGCGAUUUCCUGUUUGUUUGUGUAGGUGCGUUGGACUUUUGAGGAACCUCUUACUGGAUUGAUACCUUGGUUCUCAAAAACUGAGGGAAAUACUUACGCUACUAUUGCUGCAUCACCCUUUCCUCUUCAAGGAAAACCAAUGCAAGCUCAAGACGUAGCAUGCCUAUAUACAUGAUCAUGCCUAGAUAUUCUCAUAACUAUGCACUUUUCUAUCAAUUGCUCGACAGUAAUUUGUUCACCCACCGUAAUACUUAUGCUAUCUUGAGAGAAGCCACUAGUGAAACCUGUGGCCCCCGGGUCUAUUUUCCAUCAUAUAAGUUUCUGAUCUACUUUAUUUUGCAAUCUUUACUUUUCAAUCUAUAUCAUAAAAAUACCAAAAAUAUUUAUCUUAUUAUUAUCUCUAUCAGAUCUCACUUUUGCAAGUGGCCAUGAAGGGAUUGACAACCCCUUUAUCGCGUUAGUUGCGAGGUUCUUGUUUGUUUGUGUAGGUACGAGGGACUUGCGUGUAGCCUCCUACUGGAUUGAUACCUUGGUUCUCAAAAGCUGAGGGAAAUACUUACGCUACUUUGCUGCAUCACCCUUUCCUCUUCAAGGGAAAACCAAUGCAGUGCUCCAGAGGUAGCAAGAAGGAUUUCUAGCGCCGUUGCCGGGGAGGUCUACGCACAAGUCAAGACAUACCAAGUACCCAUCACAAACUCUUCUCCUCGCAUUACAUUAUUUUCCAUUUGCCUCUCGUUUUCCUCUCCCCCACUUCACCCUUGCCGUUUUAUUCGCACUCUCUUUCCCGUUCGCCUCUUUUUCCGCUUGCUUCUUGUGGUACUUGCUUUCACUAUGUCUGAAACUGGGGAGGUUAUCAUUGAUAAGGACAAUAGUAAUAACAUGGGAAACUUUGAUGCUUUUGAUGAUCCUACUAAAGAAACCACUAUCUUACAUACUAAAAGAUUUUGAAUCGGUAGUGGUAAUAUUAUUGGAAAAGGGGUUAUUCAAGAUUUCUUUACUUGUGCCAGUGCUUUACCUUCUAUGGGUGGAUCUAUUCUUCAUAGAACUAGUAGUCUUGCAGAUGCUAUAUCCUUGAUUAUAGUUGAACUUGAAAGACAGUUUAUGCAUAUGCAUCCUUGCAUACAAAGGUUUUUCCUAGAAUUUUCCAAUAUUGAGCAUUCUUCUGUUAAGUGCGUAGCUACUAUCUUUUUGGCACAUGAGUUCAGAUUUAUAAUAAAAGAAGCCAAAGAAAUCUUUGCGCACUAUAGGGUGGACGCUGGUGGCCCUCCCAUAGAGGCGAUCCUUUUUAAUCAAGAAGACAUAAUGUGUUUACAAUCCUUAGAUCGUGUUGCUUUUAAUGAAAACCUUAGGAAAAAGGUUCCUACCGAUGUUCUAGUUGAUAGAAUCUCUAAACUUAAUGAUGAUUUUGCUAUUCAAAACAAUGGGUUAGGAUUUUCUCUUGAGCAAAGGCUCAUGACUUUUUGCCAAAAGAAUGCUUAUAAUGAUGAAUUGGUUGUGCAAUAUGAGGGGCCAAAGGAGGAACCCAUACCUCGCGAGCUUGAUCUUGGGGACUUUUGCCCAUUAAAUUUAGCCCUUUUGAUUACUUUUGCUUGCCACAAAGAAAACUUGCUGCUAAACGUAGGGAAUAUGAGAUGAGUUUUCGGGAUUUACCUUAUCAUUAUGGCAAUAGUUAGAUCUAUACUCACUUUUAUGCCUAGCAAGGGGCGUUAAACGAUAGCGCUUGUUGGGAGGCAACCCAAUUUUAUUUUUGUUCUUUACUUUUUGCUCUUGUUAAGUAUUAAAUAAUUCAUCUAGCCUUUGGUUAGAUGUGGUUUUAUGUUUUAGUUAGUGUUUGUGCCAAAUAGAACCUAUAGGAUCAUCUUGGGUGAUAGUUAAUUUGAUCUUGCUGAAAAACAGAAACUUUUGCACGCACGAGAAUAAUUUUAAUAAAUCAGAGAAACGUGCUUUUUAGUUGAUUAAUUUUUAAGAAGAUUAAUAGACAAAUUUCCUAGGACUACCUAUUUUGGUAGGAUUUUUAAGGUUCCAUAAGUAUUCUAAAGUUACAGAUUACUACACACUGUUCUGUUUUUGAUAGAUUCUGUUUUUCGUGUGUUGUUUGCUUAUUUUGAUGAAUCUAUGGCUAGUAUCGGGGGGUAUGAACCAUAGAGAAGUUGGAAUACAGUAGGUUUAACACCAAUAUAAAUAAAUAAUGAGUUCAUUACAGUACCUUAAAGUGGUGGUUUGCUUUCUUGCACUAACGGAGCUCAUGAGAUUUUCUGUUGAGUUUUGUGUUGUGAAGUUUUCAAGUUUUUGGUAAAGAUUUGAUGGAUUAUGGAAUAAGGAGUGGCAAGAGCCUAAGUUUGGGGAUGCCCAAGGCACCCCAAGAUAAAUUCAAGGACAACCAAAAGCCGAAGCUUGGGGAUGCCCCGGAAGGCAUCUCCUCGUCUUCAUCUAUCGGUAACUUUACUUGGAGCUAUAUUUUUAUUCACCACAUGAUAUGUGUUUUGCUUGGAGCGUCUUGUAUGAUAUGAGUCUUUGCUUUUUAGUUUACCACAAUCAUCCUUGCUGUACACACCUUUUGGGAGAGACACACAUGAAUCAGAAUUUAUUAGAAUACUCUAUGUGCUUCACUUAUCUUUUGAGCUAGAUAAUUUUGCUCUAGUGGUUCACUUACAUCUUUUUAGAUCAUGGCGGUGGUUUUAUUUUGUAGAAAUUAUUGAUCUCUCAUGCUUCACUUAUAUUAUUUUGAGAGUCUUUUAGAACAGCAUGGUAUUUGGGUUGGUUAUAAUAUUAGUCCUAAUAUGAUGGGCAUCCAAGUUGGGUAUAAUAAAAAUUGUCAUAGAAAGUGCAUGAAACACUAUGAGAAAUUUGAUACUUGAUAAUUGUUUUGAGAUAUAAAGGUGGUAAUGUUAUAGUCAUGCUAGUUGGGUAAUUAUGAAAUUGAGAAAUAAUUGUGUUAAAGAUGGCAAGUCCCGUAGCAUGCACAUAUGGUAAACGUUGUGUGACAAAUUUGUUGCAUGGGGUGUUCUUUUGAUUGCCUUCCUUAUGUGUGGAGGUCGGGAUCGCGCGAUGGUUAACUCCUACCAACCCUUACCCUAGAAGCAUGCGUAGUAGUACUUUGCUUCGAGGGCUAAUAAACUUCUGCAAUAAGUAUAUGAGUUCUUUAUGACUAAUGUGAGUCCAUGGAUUAUACGCACUCUCACCCUGCCACCAUUGCUAGCCUCUCUUGUGCCGUGCAACCUUCACCAGUAUCAUACACCCACCAUUUACCUUCCUCAAAAUAGCCACCAUACCUACCUAUUAUGGCAUUUCCAUAGCCAUUCCAAGAUAUAUUGCGAUGCAACUUUCCACCGUUCCGUUUAUUAUGACACGCUCCAUCAUUGUCAUCUUGCUUUUGCAUGAUCAUGUAGUUGACAUCGUAUUUGUGGCAAAGCCACCGUUAUAAUUCUUUCAUACAUGUCACUCUUGAUUCAUUGCAUAUCCCGGUACACCGCCGGAGGCAUUCACAUAGAGUCAUAUUUUGUUCUAAGUAUUGAGUUGUAAUUCUUGAGUUGUAAAUCAAUAAAAGUGUGAUGAUCUUCAUUAUUAGAGCAUUGUCCCAAGUGAGGAAAGGAUGAUGGAGACUAUGAUUACCCCACAAGUCAGGAUGAGACUCCAGACUUCAUGAAAAAUAAAAGAGGCCAAAGAAGCCCAAAUAAAAAAAUGAGGCCAAAGAAGCCUACCCAAAAUAUGAGAGAAAAAGAGAGAAGGGACAAUGUUACUAUCCUUUUUCCACACUUGUGCUUCAAAGUAGCACCAUGAUCCUCAUGAUAGAGAGUCUCCUAUGUUGUCACUUUCAUAUAGUAGUGGGAAUUUUUCAUUAUAGAACUUGGCUUGUAUAUUCCAAUGAUGGGCUUCCUCAAAAUGCCCUAGGUCUUCGUGAGCAAGCGAGUUGGAUGCACACCCACUUAGUUUCUUUUCUUGAGCUUUCACACAUUUAUAGCUCUAGUGCAUCUGUUGCAUGGCAAUCCCUCUUCACUCACGUUGAUAUCUAUUCAUGGGCAUCUCCAUAGGCCGUUGAUACGCCUAGUCAAUGUGAGACUUUCUCCUUUUUUGUCUUCUCCACACAACCUCCAUCAUCAUAUUCUAUUCCACCCAUAGUGCUAUAUCCAUGGCUUACGCUCAUGUAUUGCGUGAGAGUUGAAAACGCUGAAGCGCGUUAAAAAGUAUGAACCAAUUGCUUGGCUGAAACCGGGGUUAUGCAUGAUGGGAGUAUUUUGUGUGACAAAAAUGAAGCAUAGCCUAACUAUAUGAUUUUGUAGGGAUAAGCUUUCUUUGGCUACAUUAUUUUGAUAAGACAUGAUUACUUGUUAGUAUGCUUAAAGUAUUACUAUUUUUAUGUUAAUAUGAACUUUUAUUUUGAAUCAUUUGGAUCUGAACAUUCAUGCCACAAUAAGGAAAAUUACAUUGAGAAAUAUGCUAGGUAGCAUUCCACAUCAAAAAUUCUGUUUUUAUCAUUUACCUACUCGAGGACGAGCAGGAAUUAAGCUUGGGGAUGCUUGAUACGUCUCCAAGGUAUCUAUAAUUUUUUAUUGUUCCAUGCUAUAUAUUACCCGUUUUGGAUAUUUAUGGGCUUUACUAUACGAGGGCUAAUAAACUUUUGCAAUAAGUAUAUGAGUUCUUUAUGACUAAUGUGAGUCCAUGGAUUAUACGCACUCUCACCCUUCCACCAUUGCUAGCCUCUCUUGUGCUGCGCAACUUUCGCCAGUAUCAUACACCCACCAUUUACCUUCCUCAAAACAGCCACCAUACCUACCUAUUAUGGAAUUUCUAUAGCCAUUCCAAGAUAUAUUGCCAUGCAACUCUCCACCGUUCCGUUUAUUAUGACACGCUCCAUCAUUGUCAUAUUGCUUUUGCAUGAUCAUGUAGUUGACAUCGUAUUUGUGGCAAAGCUACCGUUAUAAUUCUUUCAUACAUGUCACUCUUGAUUCAUUGCAUAUCCUGGUACACCGCUGGAGGCAUUCACAUAGAGUCAUAUUUUGUUCUAAGUAUUGACUUGUAAUUCUUGAGUUGUAAAUCAAUAAAAGUGUGAUGAUCUUCAUUAUUAGAGCAUUGUCCCAAGUGAGGAAAGGAUGAUGGAGACUAUGAUUCCCCCACAAGUCACUAUGAGACUCCGGACCUCAUGAUAAAUAAAAGAGGCCAAAGAAGCCCAAAUAAAAAAGAGAGGCCAAAGAAGCCCACCCAAAAAAAUGAGAGAAAAAGAGAGAAGGGACAAUGUUACUAUGCUUUUUCCAGACUUGUGCUUCAAAGUAGCACCAUGAUCCUCAUGGUAGAGUCUCCUAUGUUGUCACUUUCAUAUACUUGUGGGAAUUUUUCAUUAUAGAACUUGGCUUGUAUAUUACAAUGAUGGGCUUCCUCAAAAUGCCCUAGGUCUUUGUGAGUAAGCGAGUUGGAUGCACACCCACUUAGUUUCUUUUGUUGAGCUUUCACACAUUUAUAGCUCUAGUGCAUCUGUUGCAUGGCAAUCCCUACUCACUCACGUUGAUAUCUAUUAAUGGGCAUCUCCAUAGGCCGUUGAUACGCCUAGUCAAUGUGAGACUUUCUCCUUUUUUGUCUUCUCCACACAACCUCCAUCAUCAUAUUCUAUUCCACCCAUAGUGCUAUAUCCAUGGCUUACACUCACGUAUUGCGCGAGAGUUCAAAACGCUGAAGCGCAUUAAAAAGUAUGAACCAAUUGCUUGGCUGAAACCGGGGUUGUGCAUGAUGGGAGUAUUUUGUGUGGCGAAAAUGAAGCAUAGCCUAACUAUAUGAUUUUGUAGGGAUAAGCUUUCUUUGGCUAAGUUAUUUUGAUAAGACAUGAUUACUUGUUAGUAUGCUUGAAGUAUUACUAUUUUUAUGUUAAUAUGAACUUUUGUUUUGAAUUAUUUGGAUCUGAACAUUCAUGCCACAAUAAAGAAAAUUACAUUGAGAAAUAUGCUAGGUAGCAUUCCACAUCAAAAAUUCUGUUUUUAUCAUUUACCUACUCGAGGACGAGCAUGAAUUAAGCUUGGGGAUGCUUGAUACGUCUCCAAGGUAUCUAUAAUUUUUGAUUGUUCCAUGUUAUUAUAUUACCCGUUUUGGAUAUUUAUGGGCUUUACUAUACACUUUUAUAUCAUUUUUUGGACUAACCUAUUAACCAGAGGCCCAACCCAAAUUGCUGGGUUUUUUUUGCCUAUUUUAGUGUUUCGAGAAAAGGAAUAUCAAACGGAGUCCAAAUGGAAUGAAACCUUCGGGAGAGUUAUUUUUGAAAUAAACGCAAUCCAGGAGACUUGGAGUGGACGUCAAGAAGCAAACAAGGCGGCCAUAAGGCAGGGAGGCGCGCCCUAGGGGGGUGGGCGCACCCCCCACCCUCGUGGGCCCCUCGUGGCUCCCCUAACCGACUUCCUUCGCCUAUAUACAUCUACAUACCCUGAAAACAUCUAGGAGCACCAAGAAACCCAAUUUCCACGACCGCAACCUUUUGUACCCGUGAGAUCCCAUCUUGGAGCCUUUUCUGGCGCUCCGCCGGAGGGGGAAUCGAUCAUGAGGGGCUUCUACAUCAACACCAUAGCCUCUCCGAUGAGUUGUGAGUAGUUUAUCACAGACCUUCGGGUCCAUAGUUAUUAGCUAGAUGGCUUCUUCUCUCUCUUGAAUCUCAAUACAAAGUUCUCCUCGGUCUUCUUGGAGAUCUAUUUGAUGUAACUCUUUUUGUGGUGUGUUUGUCGAGAUCCAUGAAUUGUGGGUUUAUGAUCAAGUUUAUCUAUGUGAAAUAUUUGAAUCUCCUCUGAAUACUUUUAUGUAUGAUUGGUUAUCUUUGCAAGUCUCGAAUUAUCAAUUUGGUUUUGCCUACUAGAUUUAUCUUUCUUGCAAUGGGAGAAGUGCCUAGCUUUGGGUUCAAUCUUGCGGUGUCCUUUCCCAGUGACAGCAGGGGCAUCAAGGCACGUAUUGUAUUGUUGCCAUCGAGGAUAAAAAGAUGGGGUUUAUAUCAUAUUGCUUGAGUUUAUCCCUCUACAUCAUGUCAUCUUGCCUAAUGCGUUACUCUGUUCUUAUGAAUUUAAUACUCUAGAUGCAUGCUGGAUAGCGGUCGAUGUGUGGAGUAAUAGUAGUAGAUGCAGGCAGGAGUCGGUCUACUUGCGCGGACGUGAUGCCUAUAUACAUGAUCAUGCCUAGAUAUUCUCAUAACUACGCACUUUUCUAUCAAUUGCUCGACAGUAAUUUGUUCACCCACCGUAAUACUUAUGCUAUCUUGAGAGAAGCCACUAGUGAAACCUAUGGCCCCCGGGUCUAUUUUCCAUCAUAUAAGUUUCCCAUCUACUUUAUUUUGCAAUCUUUAGUUUUCAAUCUAUAUCAUAAAAAUACCAAAAAUAUUUAUCUUAUUAUUAUCUCUAUCAGAUCUCACUUUCGCAAGUGGCCGUGAAGGGAUUUACAACCCCUUUAUCGCGUUGGUUGCGAGGUUCUUGUUUGUUUGUGUAGGUACGAGGGACUUCCAUGUAGCCUCCUACUGGAUUGAUACCUUGGUUCUCAAAAGCUGAGGGAAAUACUUACGCUACUUUGCUGCAUCACCCUUUCCUCUUCAAGGGAAAACCAACACAGGGCUCAAAAGGUAGCAAUGGUUUGUCCACUGAAUCUCACAUUCCAGGAUCCUAGAAUUUAUAGCAUGAAAUAUAAACUCUUAAUAAUGAACCUGGAAAUAUAAUAAUAUAAUAUUAUUGCCUCUAGGGCAUAUUUCCAACAUUAUUCCACUUGCACUAUUGUCAAUAAUCUAGUUAGCACAUUUUUAUUUACACUAAUGGCAGUCUGGUGUUUGUCCAUACUCAGCUUGUGGUAUAGCCUUCAUCCCAUUGGAUCUUGACAACUUCAGAUCCACAUGUAUCAUAUGCAUUUCAAUGCCUCUAUCAUGAUGGCUUUGUAUGUACUGAAUCACUAGAAGGACCUAUGAUUCCUUGGACUGAGCUAUGGAACCACUAUUAAGUAUAGUGUUUCAUUGGCACAAUCAUCUAGAAAUCAUAACAAGCUCAUAAAUGAAAGUGUUAUUGAUCACUCUCCAUUGUUGCUUCUAAAGCAACAAUCUACUCAGCCCUCUAUUAUAGAUUUCACCACAGUAACCAACAACCCAACAAACACACUACAAAAAAGAUUACAUUGGAUAGAACUCCAAGAAGAUCGAGUAGAACAUUGUAUUGAAGAUCAAAUCACUACAAAAAAAUACACUUCCGUGAUGAUACGUGUUUGUCACAGUAGGUCGCAUUUUUUGCCAUGCAUGUACAUCCAUGACGAUUUUAUGAUAGAAUCAAGAUAGGCGUACCUGUGCUGUCGUAGAAGUGUUCCAUGACAUUACCAAAAUUAUCAUCACGGAAGUGUCCACUUCCAUGAUGAUAAAUCGCGCGUCAUAGAAGUGCUUUCAUCAAGGGUGACCGACACGUGGCAUCCACCAUAACAGAACGCCCUUAAGCUAUCGGGUCGGGUUUUGGAUCCGAUGACCCAUUAACAGCCCUAACCAAUGCGGAUAUUCUACGUGUAAAAUCAUCAUUGGCUGGAGGAAACACGUGACGGCUCAUCGUUGGGACAGAUGUCAUCCACUCAUUGGACAGAAGGCGCCUAUGAUACGUCAACACAUGGCACGGCCCAACAAAGGCCCAUUACUAUGAAAAGGCCGGCCCGUUUUACUUGGUCAAAAGGUGGCGGGCCGGCCCAUGGAAAGCGUGUUAACGACAUGUUCGCAUAUAUCCCAUUUACAGCCCGCUAACCCAAAGCCCGUUACGCCCUAUCCGAAUUAGGCCCAGUAGCAUCAUCUGGGCCAUCCAAUAUGAUUCCAGCCCGUUUUCACUUCUGGCCCGUGACGUCUUUCGGCCCAUAUGAGGCCCUUUGUAACUCUAGGCCUAUUAACGGCCUGUGGUGAAACUGGCCCGUAAUGAACAGUGUAUCACUUUACACCCAUUAACGGCCGGUGGUGAAACUGGCCCGUAAUGAACAGUGUAUCACCUUAAACCCAUUAACGGCCCGUUAUUCCGUUGGGCCGUUUCCAGCCCAUGUUAUCUUUCGGCCUUCUUAGAGCCCAUUUAUUCUUGGGCUCAUUUCCAACAUUCGUUUACUUACAGCCCAUUACUGCCAUUUUCUGCUUGUGGGCCAAAUUCAACCUGUGGUUACAGUCGGCCCGUUUGUGGUCCGUUAAUACGUUGGGCCAUUUUCAUAGCAUCAUCAAAUACGGCCUAUUAACGAUGGCCCGUUAUGGUCGGCCCAUGAACGGACGAUUCCAACUCUAGCCCGUUAACGGCCAUAAUGCGGUCUAUUUGGCCCAUGUUUGGCCAAUCGAUCAUACGGCCCGUAUAAGGACCAUUGAUGAUACGGCCCAAAGAAGGCCCAUUGUUUCUAUGGCCCGUAGAAGGCCCAUUGUUUCUACGGCCCAUAGAAGGCCCACUGUUUCUACGGCCAGUAGGAGGCCCAGUGUCACUACAGUAAUUAUUAGCCCAUGGUUAUUGUGGCCUAGUUUUAAAAAAUAGGUUAUUGCAGCCACUAGCAAACCGCGGAAAAAGAACUGCAAUGACUACAAGCAAACAAAUAAACAAGACAACAAGGAAAUAAAUAAGCAAGCAACUAAUGCUAGGCUAUCACGGCUAUUACACAUAUUACAUCCACUGGGCAUCAAAGUUCGCCACCAGUGCAAAUAUAGGGAACAAAGCAGCAUAUCAUAUACACUGGUUGCCAAAGUUGGCGACCAACACAAAUAAACACCGCAGCAAAACAAAUCCAGAACUAAAACAACUUCAGAAGAUCUCAAGAAACAAUAUCCUGGGUACCCAUAAUGCUGGCGAGAUGCUUAGCAAGCUUGUUAACUUUCUCUUGUUUGGCGCUUAAAUCCUCCAACGCUUGCUGUUGCACCAGGAAAUAUGCAUCUGAAUUCUGCAGGUACUUCCUCAGUCCUUCAGCUUCCUGUCGCAGCACAUCUGAUCGAUGUCUUUCAACUUGAAGUUGAGACUCAAGAAGACGAACUGAUUCAGGCAGCGAGUUCGAAGAGCUUGUGCUUGCAGUAGUGGCCAGUAACUCGAACACUACAUCAAGGCAGGACUUUUUGGGUUCUCUCACUAUCGUCAAGAUAGUUUUUAUCACCUUUCUUGGAGACCAACAGGGAUGUCUCACUAUCUUGAACCUUAUUUGCAUUACUUCCUUUACCAUUGGAUAACGCGGUACUGUUCUCCAAUAUUUUGUCCGCAUUCUAAAAGAGAAACAAGCAGACACAUCACAUGUUUACCAUGUUGUAUAUGAAACUCAUUUUGGUAAAUGAGUUCAGUAGUAAAGUGGACAGGAUAACAGCAUGAAACAAAUGUAUAUCUAUGUACCAUGGUCACUUUAUGGUCUAUAUCAUUCUAGUUUUUGUUGCCAAAUCAAGAUAGAGACAUAGUUCAAAUAAUAUUUGUUCAAGAUACAUCAGAAUAGACAGAAUAUAAGUGUGGGUAACUAUAGAGAAAUAACAACACUUGUAAUGUGCAUGACAUGAGAACAUAACUGUUUAUUCAAUUGAAACUGAAAUCAACAUAGAGCAGGUUACAACAGCAAACCACUUAAAGAAACAGGUUUAAAACUUACCUGUUGCGCGAUUGGAGUUUCAAUUCCAUCCUUCAAAUUUGAAAAUAGUUGGUAUGAGUAAAUACAGUAAUGCAAGAGCAAAGGAGUAUGAACCAUAGCUACAGAACCUAACCUAAGAACAAAUCUUCUUCUCCUUUAAGCGUUGAGUUGGGAUUCGGAGUGGUGGUCCUCGUGCUUUGGGCACUGCAGUUCCCUUACUAACUUCUCGUGUUUGGGUGCUCUGUGGUGGAGACGGUGUUAUGUCAACUGGAACUGGGUUACUAUCUGCCGGGGUUGGGGUUAGAAGGGGUGUAGCUGGUUCUCUGUCCAACUGGGUAGGGGUACAAUCUUCGAGAGUCUGGGUUAUGUGUGGUGGAUCUGGUCCUUGGGCAAGUACAACCAUGGUUCUAUCUGCAUCAACUGGGAGCACUAUCUUUUCUGAAGACCGUGUUGUUACUCCCUUAGAUACUGCCAUCACGCUCUCCAAUUCAAAUGGCUGAUAAAAAAGAAAAGUAAUUGAAAGUAUAGACAUUGUAUGAUAGACAGGUGCAAUGGAUAGCGGUGAAUAAAAGAGGGCAUGAAAUAAUUCAUAUUUAUGUUGUCUAACCAAACAGGAUAGCAUAGCACAAUUUCACAUAUAUGAUGGCUAACUAAACAGGAUAGCAUGACACUAUUUCACAUUAUGAUGGCUAACUAAAAAAGAUGGAAAGACAUAGUUCAAAAUAUGAGACUAUGUAAACAGGAUGACAUGACAUAACUAUAUAAUGUGUUUAUUAAAUAGGUUGGCAUGCCAUAAUUCACAUACAUUCACGGAUAGAAUGCCAUAAUUCAAAAUAUGAUGACUGUAAACACUAAACAGGAUGAGAUGAUAUAACUAUAUGAUGUCUUUAUUAAAUGGGUUGCCAUGCCAUCAUUCAGAUAGAUGAUGUGUAUGUACUAUGUAAACAUCAUGGCAUGAUAUAAUUCAAAUAUAUGAUUUAUAUAGUAAGAAAGUAAGCAGAUAGCAAUCCAUAUAUGAUGUAAAAACUAAGCAAUGCAAGACAACAUGCAUGACAUGGGCAGUAUAACCCUGCCAAGUUUGAACAUAGACCUCAGGGGGGAAAUAGGACUGGUCAUCAGUCUCUGAAUCCUCCUUUGAGGAGCUCUCUGUAACCAGCAAGAUGUCUGCUUCAGUAGGUAGCAUUGUCUGCUCUGAAUACCUUGUUUUCACUCCAGAUACUUCCAUCACCGCUUCAAAUGGCUGAUGCACAGGAAGAGUACUUGAAUAUACAAACGUUGUCGACAAAUGGAACACGUAAUACAAAAAAACGAUAGCAUGAUAUAAUUCACAUACAUGAUGAUUGGCUAAACAGCAUGGCAUUGCAUAAUUCACAUAUAUAAUGCCUUUGCAACAAGUUAGCAUUGUAUAAUUCACAUAUAUAAUGUCUUGCAACAAGAUGGCAAUGCAUAAUUCACAUAUAUGGUAAUUAGACACUGAACAUGUGGCAUUCACACAAAGCAUGUCUAAACUAAUCAAAUGACAUAGCAAUGCGAGACACCAUACGCACGAUAUGAGCAACAUAACCCUGCCAAGUUAGAGCAUACACCUCGAGGGAGGGGGGAAUAGGACUGGUCAUCUGUCUCUGAAUCCUCCUCUGAGGAGCUAUCCGUAACCAGCAAGAUAUGCGCUUCGUCGGAUAGCAUAGUCUGCUCUGAAGACCUUGUUUUCACUCUAGAAUUUGCCAUCAUCAUGUCAAAUGGCUGAUGCACACGAAGAGCAGUUGAAUGUACUAACAUUGUUGACAAAUGUAAUAUGUAACGAAAAAAAGGAUGACUAAUAUAACUUACAUAUAAGAUGACUGGCUAAGCAAGAGGGCAUUGCAAAAUUCACAUAUAUGAUGCCUGGCUAAACAAGAUGACGUUGCAUAAUUCACAUAAACGAUGAAUAAACUAAACAGAUGGCAUUCCCACAAAGGAUGUCUAAACUAAGAUGAUGACAUAUUUGAUGUAUAAAGUAAGCAAUGCAAGCCACCAUAUGCAUGAUAUAACCAACAUCAGCAUGCCAAGUUAGAGGGAAGACCUCAUGGGGUAAAUAGGAGUUGUCUUCUCCUUCUGAAUCACCCUCAGAACAGAUAUCUUCCUCUCGAUUACAAUCCGAAAUGUGUGGAGGGGGGCUGCCUUUGUGCCUACCAUGGAGCGACGUCUGCAUGAAAUUUUAUUGCCAUGCAAGGCUCAUCUCUUUUGCUCUACAUGUUCAGUUCCAUUGUUACAAUAACUAUCAUGCAUAGGAAUAAAACAUAGUGAGAUUAUGUAAGGAGUGCAUGCAGAAAACCAGAGUGAUGGUAGCAACCUGUGGAUAGACCCAAAACCAAUAAUAGCAGACAGAUAAUGGCUUCGGUUAAAAAAUAUAGAUAAUGGCUUCUUUACUGUUUGUUUCCCACCCAGCAUGAAACUCAUAGUAGACAUCGGAGAUUAACCAGAUAGUAGAUAGAUACUAUUGAUAGCAUCCCCGAUAUGUACCCCACAACCAUUUAAAAACUCAAGUUUGACCAUUAAUUUGGAGCUGACCCAGAGUCUAAUCGGUGAACAGGAGGAUAAAGUAGCAUGUAAUAUUAAGCGAUGCAUAACGUAAGCAGACACGAAAGAGUGUGACCUCUCUUGCGGACCCGUGUAGUCCUCGAGGUCAUCUGCUCGGUUGAUGAUGGUAAUGCAGUUUUCAUGGCUGCCGGCAGCGGGGAAGAAGAUCUGAGGCGGCGAAAUACAGUCUGGAGGUCGGAUCCCUACUGUGCUGGACCCUUCUGUCGUUGUAGCAGCUGAGCUGGGGUGGACGGCGGCGCAACAGGAGCGGGACAAACCACACAAGGUUUUCUUUGACAACUACCUGUAAGAGAAGUAAAUCCGUAAGGGCUCGUUUGAAUUGGAGGAUUCCAACAAUGCAGGGAUAGGAAAUAGAAAGGAAUGGGAUAGGAAUGCACGUGCAAAACGGAGAAUUUAAAAACACAUGAUUUAUGCCAAUCUGGGUGUUUGAUUCACAACAAUUGGAAGAUCACAGGAUGCAAAGAAGCACGGUGAGAUUAAGUCAAACCACACGAAAAUGUACGGUUAUAAUGCUAUUAUGCUACUAUCUCUUAGUCUUGUGCUUCAUGAAUAGGAAUUUGAAAAGGAGGACAAGUGAAAAUUCAAAUUCCUACAUUUUUUCUUUCAAGGAGACACUAAAGGAACAAAUCCGUGUGCUCAGUGGACAAUAUAUAUAACAUGUAGAGUAAAAAAGAGAUGCAACAAGUGUACAACCUCUUUGGCGAAGCCAUGUUGAUCUCAGCGUGAUUGGGUUGGCCGGUGAGGAAGCUCUGGCUGACUUUACUGUCGGAGGAGGGGAAGAAGAUCUUAGGCAUCUGGAGAUGGAGCCCGAGGUACUGCUCCGCUGUGAUGGAGGGUUUCGUCGUUGGAGCAGCUCUGGUGAGUUGUACGACGCCGAGGCUGAAGCAGGACAAGAGAGACAAUGAACAACCUUAACCUGAGUGGAAUUCUAAUAGCAUCUCCAAUACAUGACGUAAAAUACAUAACCACAAAGUGCUAGAUGUAAAAUACAUCAACCGCUCAUCUCUGAACUUAACUGUCCAAACUGAAUUAACUGUCGAAACUGAACUUAACUGUCAAAACUGAAUUUUGCUGUCGAAACUGAACGCACUAGCAAGGUGAGGCUACACGUCGGUCGACUGACUUUUUCAUCUCUGGUCAGUCGAUUUUGCAGCCGUUGGAUACGAAAUCAAGGGCCUGCGAUUCAUCUUCAACAUCCACCCCCCUGAGCCGCCAGCCACCACCGGCCAAACAACAGCCCCCCGCCGCCCGCGGCCCGAGGUACUCUGCCCCGCCCACCCCGAAAAAACUCCCCACCACCGGUUCGCCGCCGCCCCGGCCAUCCCUGUAGGUCCCCCCAUGCCGAGCUUUUUCUCCAGCGAUCCCCAUGCCACCGCCCCGCCAACGCCCUGCCACCGCCGGCGACCACCGCCCCCACCCUGAACNNNNNNNNNNNNNNNNNNNNNNNNNNNNNNNNNNNNNNNNNNNNNNNNNNNNNNNNNNNNNNNNNNNNNNNNNNNNNNNNNNNNNNNNNNNNNNNNNNNNNNNNNNNNNNNNNNNNNNNNNNNNNNNNNNNNNNNNNNNNNNNNNNNNNNNNNNNNNNNNNNNNNNNNNNNNNNNNNNNNNNNNNNNNNNNNNNNNNNNNNNNNNNNNNNNNNNNNNNNNNNNNNNNNNNNNNNNNNNNNNNNNNNNNNNNNNNNNNNNNNNNNNNNNNNNNNNNNNNNNNNNNNNNNNNNNNNNNNNNNNNNNNNNNNNNNNNNNNNNNNNNNNNNNNNNNNNNNNNNNNNNNNNNNNNNNNNNNNNGCAGCAUCGCAAGCAAGAGCAAGAGCGAGAGCAGCAGCGCAAGCAAGAGCAAUAGCAAGAGCAGACCAGGCAGGGGACCGAGAGCAAGAGCAGAGCAGCAGCGCGAGCGAGAGCUAAAGCAGUAGCAGCUCCUAUUGAUGUGGACAACGCCGCCGAGGGAGCGACGUCGUGGAGGAAGUGGCCGGCGAUGCCAUCGUGGAUGGAGCCACGCCGUGUCGGCUCAGGACCGAGCGCCGGCAGCACCGUGAGAUCGAAUCAAGAAGAAAAUGCAGCGACUAGUGUACAACCUCUUUGGUGGCACCGAUUAGGCCGUAGUUUCAUCUGAGGAAACAGUGAUGAUGAUGCUCUUCCGGUGGUGCAGGUGAAGACGAUGGUGUGGAAAUGGAGGUGGCGCAAAAGAUGAGGGGAACAUCGGGGUAGCUCCUUGGAGGUGGAGGACGGGGUGGCUGAACUGGCGGGACGACGAGAUCGACGAUGGAUCCUCAUGCCGUACGAUGGAUGAGGGAUGUCCACGUGUUGUCGACGUUGUCGUCGGGGAAGAGGCUCCGACUGGGUGGCGGACGGAGCAGGGUGUGGGGUUUCAUCGCGGGUUUUCGCGGCCUCGGUGUAUGAAUGGGUGGGCGGAUGGGAUGACAGUGGGGAACCAUGGCUUAGGGACACGCUUGUCCGAAAUGUGGGGUAAGUUACGAAAGUACCCCCACCGAUUUGAGGCGGUUCUUUCGGUUCAGGGGUACCACGGGCAUUUCGCGUGUCAGAAUUUCACAGGAGGUGGGAGUUUUCGCGUGCGUUAUAAUUUUGAAAUAGCAAGGCGCGGGUUGAGAUGGAGGGAGUUGUCGGAGCACAACGAGACAAAGAUAUAUCUUAAAUAUUUCGGGCUAACAAGGAGCGGGUUGAAAUUUCCGGACAAGCCUAACGUGUACUGUACCAAAUCAAUGCGCACUACAAAUGUCAUUCAAAACUUUGAAUUCAUGUUAUGUUCAAUUAAAAUAUUUCGCUACGUGUAUAAUGCAUGCAACCUACUAAUCAAAUGAACGUUUUAGGGCAUUCCAAACUUAUAUACUACCGCUUCAAUAUGAACUAAAUUUGAAUUCGGUUCUCUAUUUGAAUAAGAUCUAUAGUAAUGAUUGUUGUGAAGUCAAAGCAUUUGAAUUCGUUUCUCUGUUUUAGUAAGAUCUACAAUCAUCAUUAUUGUCAAGUUAAACCAUCGUUUUUGUAUUAUCUUCACAGCACACCACAUGAUUAGUCUCGAGUUACAUAUGAACUAUGUGUACUAUAUGAACUCGAACUUGAUUUUUUGAAUCCACUUUAUUUUAAUUUCAAAUCACAUUACAUUUCUAGCUCUAGCUAGAUCUUCAUAAUCUAAACCAUGUCUCAUAUGUAUAAUGUGUUUAUGACAUUAUGUAAGGUGCCCCGCCCCCUACGCCUACAAUUAUUUAGAUGUGAGUUGCAAACACCACACAUUACCACAAAUUCAAAUAAAAUGUGAGAAUGUUCGAUAUAUAGUAUUGUUUAGAUUGUUCGAUAUUUAGUUGUAAGCUGCAAACGCCACACAUUAUCACAAAUUCAAAUAAAAUGUGAGAUUGUUUGAUGUAUAGUAUGGUUUAGAUUGUUCGGCAUUUAGCUGUGAGUGCAAACGCCAUGGAUUAUCACAUUAUGGUAUAACAUGUGCACAACACGUGUAUCACCGCUAUAUCCAUGCAUGCAAUGUUUAAAACACUAUGAUCUCCUAUUCAAAUAUAUGAAUGCGCUUUCAUAUCAAAUUAUGAUUUUUGUUAGUCUCUUACACCCACACAAUCCUCUAACCUUUGUAGCUACCACUAACUUUCUCUCGUGCAUGCACACGCCCUCCUCCCCCUCCCCCUCCCUCGGCAUUCUAUCCACCGGGCACAUUCAUAUUUUUUCUUUAGGUCGUUCUCCCAUAGUCUCCACAACUCCUCUCCGACACACACCGAUUGAUAAACCUCUCCAGCGAUGCCUGCCUACAACAUACACACACACCUUCAACCUCCUCCUUUAUGUGUCCUUGCCUCGUGUCUCUCAUACGGUCACACACACGUGUAAACUCCCGCCCCUCUUUUCAUUGGUCUCACAACCGCACACUCCUCCCCCUAUCUAGCUAGUAGUUGGGCCUCUCGCACCACCUCCUAGCUCCAUUCUCUCUGUCUAUCCUUCUCGCUGGGCCUUAUUUGCCUCUAACAAAUGGACGUACACCGACCGAUCUCUCGCUAUACAUAUAGCUAGCUAGGUCCUUAUAACUCGUUUUUACCCAUGCGUCGAUCGAUCUACCACAUUAGUUGUGUCUCUCCCUUCCUCCGACAAACAACAAUUGAUCUACCGAUCUAGUUAGGUUUGCUUACCAAAUGCAUGGUUCCCCUUCAUCAUCCAUGGAUGCGUCCCGACAGAUCUAUCAUGCACAGGCACACACAGAAACACAUCCCCACUCUUAUUGAUAACAUUGCAGCUCCACCCUCAGUUUGUCUUGUACGCCUCUCCCACCAUCUCCGAGAAGCAACUCCAUCACCCAUCCAGCACUCUACCCCUCUCCCUCCCUCUCCCUCCCUCUCUCUCUCUAUCCUCUCUCUCUCUCUCUCUGUCCCAUCAUAUUUCCCGUCCUUCAGUUAUGUAUGGAUGUCGACCGAUAUCCCUCAAGACAUAGCUGGGUAUCUCCUUCUCAACACAUAUAUGAGUCGUUCUACCUAUAUAGUUAGGCCUCUGCCUACCCCUCCCCCCACAUACACCGAUACAUCGAGCGCUCUAGUCAUGUCUCCCUGCCACACGCAAAUUUGACAUGUGCCCUCUAAUGUUCCGGUAGGCCAGUCGCCCUAUAUCUUUGACUUGCACACACACGCAAUUUCGAUGGCUCUCUUCAUCGAAGUCGCACCCACCCACUUGAUCCUCUCUUUGACUCUAUCGAUAGCUAUGACCCCUCCCUCUCUUCGCGUGGAUUGCCCGACCCUCUAUGUAUGAUAUGGAUAGGCCUCCAUUUCACACACAUUGCAUGCACAAUUUUGUUUGAGAUGUCAUCGACACGUAUACCCACAAAUAAUUCACGAAAUCAACCCCCCACCCCACCCCCAACCCCCACCCCAAAACAAAAAACACUCACGAACGCGGUUUAUAUCUCUCACACACACCCACAUAGGUGGGGGAGGUGCACGAAGAGAAGAGGUGCAUGCACAGCGCACGUACUCCCGUCUCUUUCCCAACCACACCCGCGCGGGUACACGGUGGAGCUCAUUUCUGUACGAAAAAGGCAGCCCAUGUGGUAAUUUGGCACGUGUACUGGUUGUCCACUUGGUGGAGGGAGGAUUGUCUACCACGGGUGAACAAACAAAUUGCGACUUGACGCGUUAUGUUAAAUUAAAAUAAGAGGCAAACCAUGUGGGGCCUACCUUAGAGGCAAGGCUCUAUGCACUGAACUACUUUUGAUGUGUCCCGUCAACUCGCAGAACGAGGAGAACCUUGCUUAGUACGCCAUCUCCCCCGCCCACGGGCGCGGUGGCUUGCAGGAUGAGGUGAAGCUUGCUCCGCCUUAUGCCCGCUCCCUCGCCCAUGCGCGCAGUGGCUCGCAGGACGAGGAGAAAAAUUUACUACUCCCUCCGUUUACUCCUCGUCCCUACUACCUUGGUUAUAGAGAUUAUAUCAUAUUGUUUGGAAUAUAUAUGUCCUUUAGUAGAUUUCAAUAUGAACUACUAGUACAUACUCCAAACACUGAUGUAUAUAGACGUAUUUUAGACUGUAGAUUCACUCAUUUUGCUCUGUAUGUAGCACUCGCCCUCGCCCGUCGACCCUUGCCCACGUGGUGGACGUGCAGCAAUUCAUUCGGUCUCAUAUAGCCAGAACGAUAUAUACUGCACUACCAUUAUUGCUUGACUUCCCGAAGAGGCGAAGAGCCAAUCGCAAGGUUAAUAUUUUGGAGAUGCCAAGCGCAAGGUUAUAGGAGAACGAGUAGUAGGUGCCGCAUCAUUUAUAAAUAAAGUUUUUUUUCUUCAGUGGCACAUACGCAAUAUGAUAGGUUCAUAUGGAGAGAAAAGGAAACCGCUCCACUAUAUACAUAGUCAGGACGGGCCAGCCUACACGGUUGCUUGCUGGGGUUGCUCUAUUCACACUCUCUCGCACAAAAUGACUGUGGCCACAUCUCUAACAUCUCGGCGGAUCACGUCUGCAUGGGGAAGGGGUGGAUGCUUAGUGUAGAUGCGGUGGCCGUCGCCGACGGUGAUAACCCACUGUCGGCACAUCCCGAUCAGGGGUCCCCGCCGUUUUCUCUCACAAAGCCGGUGAGGUUGCCUUCGUCCCUUGCUCACUGCCGCAACAUGGGCAGUUGCCACCUCCCGCCACCCUCCUCAAGGUUGAGCUACGUCCCUCAGGUACAACUCCCUUUACAGUCGGCUUGCACCACUGCUCCAGCUGCCCACAUCACUCCAUGUGGAUAUUUCUCUACUUCUUUGCCCCGCGCAUACCUCUACUGGCUCUACAUACUGUAUUUGUGAUGAUUUUAUGUCUUAUCAACUAGUCCCAGUAAUCUUAUAGUAAUCACGCUUCUUCAAUUUCUUUGCCACGGGGAUGCUCAUCUCGAUUUUGGUGAAACUGCACAAAAUGACCCGAUGGUCAAAAGGUUGCAAACUUCAUUUAUUAGGAAGCUCGAACGUUGCCAGCAAAUUGAAGCCUGGUCUGGGUUCACGGUUCAGGGCUAGGGACUGCAUGGAUCAUUUUUUUUCUUUAGCUGCCUCUGUUCCAAAAUAAGUGUCAACUUUAGUAGUAGUACAACUUUGUACUAAAGUUUGCACAAAGUUGAGACACUUAUUUUCGAACAAAGGGAGUACAUAUUUGCUAUGAUCUGUCAAUCAUUGAGAUGCAAUAGCAUGCAUGUUACUCUCCUUUGUAUUUGAUGAAAUGUUGCAACGGGCAACCUUGGACGCAAGAUACAUGUAACAGAAGCUAGAAGCUUCAUAGCAUUGUACAAAUUUAUCUCGCUGAUAAAUUACAGUACGUACUAUACUAGUACUUCCUCCGUUCCUAAAUAUAAGUCUUUGUAGAGAUUUCACAAUGAACCACAUGCGGAUGUAUAUAGAUGCAUUUUAAGUGUAGAUUCACUCAUUUUGUUCCGUAUGUAGUUCACCUAGUGGAAUCUCUACAAAGACUUAUCUACUAGUAAUAGCUAGCCCCCACUACUAGGAAUUCUCUAUCCUCUCCUUGAGCCACAUCAUCAAAAUUAAUGUAGCCAUUGGAUGAACUAAAUCAGUCCAUAAUAGCCGUCUGAUCUAGACGUUGAGAGGCUCCGCACUAAGCCACAUGCAAGCAUGCAGAAAUACCGUGGCAUGCAUGUGAGUGGGUUUUAAAUCACAUCAAAAUGCCUACAUGCAAGCAUGCGCCGGUAGCAUGCAUGUAAGUGAGAUUUUAAGUCCCAUUAACAUGUCAAAAAGAAAAAUAUAAUCCCAUUAUGCAGUAGGAGUUGGCUGAUCUUUUUUCCUUACGUGGGAUGAUCUAAAUGAUGAUGGGAGUUUAUUUAGUUUGGCUACCACAUUUGUCAUGUGGUUAUAGAGUUUUUUUUUAGUUCUAUGAAAUCGAUAAUUUUGCGCAGAGAGAUAUACGGCUGUUCCGCGGCAACGCGCGGGGACUCGUCUAGUAAUAUUUAGGAACAGAGGGAGUACUAUGUAAAGAAUUAGGUGUCACACGGUGAUAGUGUGAGGUGGGCCAUGUAAUCAUUUAGCCUGCGUGUUUUCACUGCUCUUGCACUCCUCCGCUGUAAGAAUGGAGAAAAUUUUAAUCUAGUAGUAGUACCUCCUUUCGCCGAAAGCAUGGGACAUCCAGCAGUCCUACCACCUCAGUAAUAAAGACCAAUGAGCCGUCAAAUCACAUAGACCCAACAGUAAGUUGGACAGACGAAGCAACAAUCACUCUUGCGCCAGCGAGAGGUCGCGUCCACUCUGCCCGGGCAUGAAUGCGGCACCAAUUCUUUGGAGCGGCGCUGACCGUUUUGGGCAGGAAGCGUGCGCGGGCGAUGGAGGGGCUUUGGGUGGGCCAGGCUGGUCAGGAGCGGGCGUGGCAGCUGUCCGCAUGUCCCUACCGGACACGCCCGGAAACAAGAGGAUGCACCGACUCUCGCGGCUAAAAUCGUACACUACACACCAUCUAUCUGUAGGAGUAGGUCGAUCUGUCGCUCUCUCUAACACACAAAUGCUGUUAAACACACACACACACGCACACGCACGCACCUUGGUCCCGUUGCACCUUCUAACGUGACUUAUUACACCUAGACGGAGGGAGUAGUAAGUAUACGAGAUACGGUGGCACACUGACUUAAGUCGAAUACAAGUGCCGAAAAUUUGUGUGCAUGUUAUAAUAAGGAUUCACUUAAAAUAGUAUGUGAGCGAACACAGGGAUCAAUUGGACAGUGUUCCCGAGCAGUAGCGAGAUGUGUGAGGUAAGAUACACCGCGGGCGCUUUUAAUUUUUCUUAUAAAUUUGUUUGUUUCACCCUCUGACUGGUGGGACCCAACGUACUACAUGGAGAGAGGUAAGGUGACUAAGGCUGCAUUAUUUCUGCACCACUCUGGAUAGUCUUACCACCAAAGCCACAUGACAUGAUUAUGAUUGAUAUCCCAAUGACUCCCACACAAAAAAAACAUGGCAUGCUUGUCACACGAAUGCAGGAAUGUAUAAAAGGUUAUUUUCCUCUCGUUGAACAUAACGGGAGGGUUGUGUAGCUGGUUAGCAUGUUCGCUCAUCAAACUUGAGGUCUCGGGUUUGAUAACUACAGUUGAGCAUAAUUUGUGCCGGGAGGGUUCUUUGACUGGUCAAAAUGGAUGGAUAUGGAGCUAUACGAUCUCGUAGUGACCGUAUAAUCACCUCAUCACGUAUAAGCUGCAACCUCCGCACUUGUUUUCUAGGGUUUGCACGCUUCACACACUCUCUCUCCAGUAUAUAUAUAUAUAUACGCUGGAGCCUUAGAGCUUCUAGUUGCUCUCUUCACACACUCUCUCCCUCUCCAGAUCUAAAAAAGACUCCGUUGGCCUCUCUCUCCCCUCACUACUGCUGAAAGAGCCGGCAGGAUCCGUCCACCGGGAAGGGAAGGAGGCUUAACGUUGUCGCUGUCGACGAGGGAGGGAAUCCACUACCGGCGCAACUGUUCACUUUCACCCAGCGGCGGAGCGGGAGGGCCUCCGACCCCUUCUUCUUCGCCGCCGUCCCGUCGCCCACUGAACCACGCCCCAAGAACCUUAAGGUAUAAUUUACUUACUCCACAUGCAUUGCUCUAGCUGCAUGUAUACCAUGAAUCUAGUAUGUGGUUCAAAGAGGAAAGGAGUGGGGGAAAGUAGUGGGAAAAGUUGUAUAUAGCAUGAACCUAGGACGUGGUUCAAAGAGGAAAUGAAGGGGGAAAGUUGUAUAGCAUGAAUCUAGGACGUGGUUCAAAGAGGAAAGGAAUGGGGGAAAGUAGUGGGGAAAGUUGUAUCGCAUAAAUCUAGGACGUGGUUCAAAGAGGAAAGGAAGGGACGAAGGAACUAGUUCAAAAAGGAAAGGAAGGGACAAGGCUGUAGAGUUUGAGCAGGACUAGAUUUGCUGCGCUCACAUAGGGAAAGGUGUUUAAAGAUAACAAAACUGGGACCAACACAAAUAUGCUCCUUGGUUGUUUGUUCUUUGUUGCAACAGACUGUGCAUGACCACAGUACAUCGAUAGAUGCACGUGGUGCUGGUGCGUCCACUAUCCCGUGCAACUCAUUAGCUGUUGUUAAUCUAAGGCCCUGUUUGGUUAAAAACUCCCUAGUCCCUACCUGCUUGGUCCCAGAGACUAAAUAUGGACAAUAGGUUAUUAAAUGACAUGCUAAAAGACCAUGUUACCCCUAGUAAUGAACUAAUAGAGACAACAUGCGAUGCGUGGCAGGGGCAACUGUUGGAAAAAGUCCCAAAAACCUCCCUCGGGGUCUUGUUUCUUUAGUCCCAAAUGCCCACUUUUAGUCCCUAAAAGUCCCUCCUGUUUGAUUUAGAUCGGACUGACACAGAGUUUUUUAGGCCCUACACCAAAAUGUCCCUGUAAACAAACACCCUCUAAUAAUGCCGCUAGAAAAUUGAUGCAAUGCCACAGUUAAAAGUAAAUUACAUGUUUAACGAAUUUUAUUGUUAAUAUAAUCUCUAUGUUAAUAUUAAUCAAUGACACCGUUUGAGAAAUGCUACUGUCUUGCUUUCUUUCCCAUUUAGAUAAGGUAGAUGCUUCUUUUUGUUGGCUUCUGUGUCAUCCACCAUUAUUGACCACUAAUUGUUUCCUUGGCACCUCUGUGUAAACAGGGUUAUCUAAUUCACCUCGUUGCCAUUGUGACCUUUUGUUGCACUGCACAAAACACUUUUGUUUUAAGAGUAUUUUGUGCAGUUCAACCAAAAUGUCACACCGACAACGUUGCUUGAUUGCUUGAUCUUAGUGGAACUGCACAAGAGGAGAUCUUACUUCCUAUCCAUGUUGGCAAUUUUGGUUCAGAUCUUCUUCUUGUGAGUUGUUUGAAUUCCGCAUCAUGAGAGGUCAGUACUAGCCUUCUUUCACAUGAUUCUGCAGUGUGCUUUCAUAUGUUGUGCUACUUGUACAAUAAUGUUGCUUGAUUUUAGUGAACUGCACAAAUGGAGACAAGACUUCCAAUCUGUAUGUGCACCGUAAUAUCCCAUUGAGGUAAGAUAAGGAUAUUUCACAAUUGUUGACCUAUAUUUGCCACUUUCAUCAAAAAAUUAAGUUUAGUACUAUACUUGUGCUCCCUAAUUGACAUGCCAAAUCUUACAUUGAAGGUGAAGCUUGUAUGUUAUUGAACCAAGUGAUGAAGGGGAAGAACAAGCGGAAGAAAAACAAAAAUCAACUCUUGGUGCUGUAAUGAAGCACUAGAACUGUGAUGACACAAGUAAUGAUAUAGUUUUGCAUCUUAAUUUAUUGCUAUGGCUGGAACGAGCAAUUGUUUUGCCACUGAUUUGAUGCCACUCUUAAUGUAAUAUGUAAUUAUCUCUACUUGUGCAAGUAGGGAUCUUCUUUGAAGAUAUCAUAUAUUUUAGUGGAACUGCACAAGAAGAUGUUGGAAACAUUAAACUAAUCAAGGAGUAUAUAGUAAGCAUGGCCACUACCGUAGACAGCAACAGAUGGUUCCGGAGAAGUGCUUCAUAUGUAUGCUCUACACAAUAAGCCUCCAGACAAAGGUUGGUACUCGCCCACUGAUUUCAUCCAUAUGAUUGAGCUUUGUCAUCUCUAUUGGUGUUGUGCUACUGUUUAGAUACUGUCAUGAAAAAGUGGUAUUGUCCUUGAGAAGUGCUUCAUAUGUGUUGUUUUAAAUAUUUCCUUUCCUUUUUUUCGAGCAAACAGGGAUGCUAGCAUUUAGUAGUCCUCUUCUCUUUGCACAAUAGGAUCAUCUUCCUCUAAAGAAGAAUAUGGAGUACAUGAAGUGACUAGUUCCAAUUAUGCCACGAUGAAGAAGCCAUGUCUAUCUUCUCAUCAGAAGGAGCAGUUGAAGGAUGGUUACAUUACUCCCCACAAGACCAAACUAACUUCAGCUCAGAAGGACUGAUAAAUCUCCAUUUUUUUGCUGUGAUGCGCGAGUACAAUGUUUUUCUAGGACUCUUUUUGGUGAGUUCCAUUUUUCUAAAAGUGUGCUCUACAUGGACCAUGUAGGUGCCUGUUGAAACUAUCAAUUCAUAGUACAGUUUGCUUUAUACUAAUCACUUUUUUGUAUUUGUGCAAACAGGGGUGCUCAGCUUGAUUUCAACAGGAACUGCACAAAAUGUUCAUGAAUACAUAGAAUCAUUCAUUUUCACCACAAGAAAGGAGGUGCCGACAAGUUCAAGGUGUUGCAACAUAUAAGGGCGAAAUCAUACAAGCUAUGCGUGAAUUUGGUUGAUUUUGGUGGAACUGCACUAAAAGAACAGCUGGUUUAUUUAGCACGAGGUGCCAUGUCAAUGUCCGAACUGAUGGCAAACCCUGCCCAUUCCACAAUCAUAGGCAUUUGAUAUUUUGGAAUGGGACAAACUUGUAAAAUUUUGCUCAUUGAUUUUAGCAAGACAUGUGUUUGAUAUUUUUGAAUGGGACGCCCUUUGCUGUCAGCAGCGUCGAUCAACUUUUUAUUUAUUCUUUAGUUGUGAAGUAAAUAUUUCCUCUGACAUGUGAGUCGGUGAGAUGUAUAAUCAUCGAUUGUUUUGAAUGUUCUCUAUGAAUUGCCAGCCAUGUGUGUUUGAUUGCAAUGUACAGAAAAACGCUAAAAGCUGCUCAAACUCUUUGUACUCCUUCUGUUCCUUUUUACUUCGCACAUUGUGAAAGUGCAUACUUUUUUGUAUAAGAUUGGUCAAAGUAGAGAUACUUUGACUACAGACAAAACUUGUAUGCAGACUAGAAAGGACCGGAGGGAGUACAUGUGAAACUGCUGCAAACGAGGUGAUCACCCUGGGAAUAAUGCUAGUACGUUUUAUUUUGCAUGUUCAUCCAAUGCGAGUGAUACAGGAAUUCGAACUAAUCAAAAUAAAUUCAUUCAUACACGGUCGGAUUUCAUAUAAAGAUGCCGGAUUUUAUUACAUUUCAUACAUUCUUCAACUAAAAAGGGGUGCACUAGAGGUAUAAUUAAUUAACUGAAGCUACCCACAUGUGUCCCGCUGAGCCAAACAGAAGCUUCAGUGACUUAACUGCAGGUGCAGUUGCAUAACUAACAUGUGGCCUGUUGGGCCCAUGUGUCAGUCAGCCAACUGCACCAGCAGUUAAGUAGAAGCAGUGUUCUUCUCCAGUGCAGCUCUCCGACUCCACGUCGCUGCUAAGAAGCUAACCGACCGUCAAUGGUCAACCCGCCUAGCUUGGCUUCAACCGGAGGGUAGCAGCGGUGGCCUUACUUGGACCUGAGCGGCGGCGACCUACCGUGUUCUACUCUUCCUCGUUUUCUCUGUGGCGCGGCCUCGUUGGUAGCGGGGCGGGGCCUCGGUGGAGCCGGCGAUGUCCUCUGUCUCGUUGCCGACGAGCGGCGCCUCGGCAGAGCGGUGGAAAUCCUCCCCCACGUUACCGGUAGGGUGGGGCCUCGGUUGACCCGGUGAUGUCCUUUGCCUCAUUGUUGGCGGGGCGGGGCCUCGGCGGAGCCGGCGCUGUCCUCUACCUCGUCGUUGGCGCUGCGGGGCCUCGGUGGAGCAGGGCCUCGUCGAUGCCAGCGGAGCGAGGACUCAUCGGAGCCGGCAUUGUCCUCUGCCUCAUCCUCGGUCUCACCAAACAGCGCCUCGCCCGCUUCAUCGCCCUCUUUGCUAGCCUCCUUGUAGGCGUCCGCAGCCUCCGCCACCCACAUGCGGUACCGCCAGCGCUCGAGGCGGCCCUUGCGGGCGGAGUGGUAUGAGUCGAGCAGUGCCUCCUGCUCCGCCUGAUGAGGAUAUGUACCUAGGGUAUGGUCAUAGACCUAUCUAGGAUACCAUACCCAAGGACAUCAUCAUCCGAAGCUACCUCCAGUCGACCAAGAGAAGCUCCACUCAACCAAGGGAGACUCCACUCGACCAUCAGAAGUUCGGGAUCUAUGCUGUAUCCAAACGGUCUGUAAAUAAGUAGUCUUAAUGGUCAUGAUGACACUUUAUGUAGGGCGUUACCAGUAACGCCCGGCCUUAAUGUACAUUAACCCUCCUCUACGUGGGCUGGCUGGGGUCCUGGCGUCCUCUAUAUAAGCCACCCCCCUCCACUGGGAGAAGGGUUCGCACCCCUGUAACUCAUAUGCACAUAGAUCAGUCGACCGCCUCCGGGCUCCGAGACGUAGGGCUGUUACUUCCUCCGAGAAGGGCCUGAACUCGCUAAACACCCGUGUGUACAACUACUCCGAAGCUAGGACCUUGCCUUUCCAUACUUACCCCCCAUUCUACUGUCAGACUUAGAACCACGACAGUUGGCGCCCACCGUGGGUCCGGUGUCUUAGAGACUUUUUUUGGAGAAGUUGCAAUUUGUCCGAUCGCCUUCAUCAUGGUUUCCGGCGGAGCACUGGUCGAGGGCCACGAGAUCCGCCUCGGUGCGCUCACUUUCAUCACCAACGACUCCGCUUGGCUCCAGGAGGCACCACUCGACAUCGACGCGCUCGCCGUCCGCGGGACGACGCACUUUCGGGCGUGUGUCCGCGGUGUCUUGCUGCGACAGCCGUCGACUCCAUACCGAUCGACUACUGCGCCGUCCUCCCUCCCUGUCUCCCACCAGCGCAAGCGCUCUGGUCGGUCGAGGCUCCAGCGAUGGGUGAGGCACGCAGUGGCUCGCCAAUCGGCCACCACACAAGUCGCGGCGAUUGAGCCCGACGAAUCUCUCUACGGCCUGUUCGACCUGUCGACUGGCUCCAUAGGGACUGCAUCCGAGUGCGAUAGCAGUGACCCAGCAGCGGAGGUCCUGAUGGUCAACGGGCCCCGUAGUCCUCCCGGUUUCCCCCGCGGCGAUGGGAUGGACGACGAGGACGACCCCGCUCAAGCCCAUGAAGAGUACCAACCCGAGCCGCUCACUUCCCAGCAGAGAGAAGAACUUCGCCGCCGGAACAUGGAAGCCCUGCAUACUCCCAUAGCAGGAGAAACACCUGAGGCUCGCACCCUGGAAGAGGCGCGUUUAGCCAACCUGGCUGAACGCACUCGACUGGAGAACCUUCAGCGAGCACUCGACGAGCGUGCGCGUCAGCGAGCGACUAACUCCAAUCGAUGUCAGCUCUUUCUGCAACCAACUCAGGUAUAUCGAACCCCAAUUCAAAAUUUGGCAGCUGCAGCCCGCAUAGCGGAGUCAAUUCAGCCCUCUCAGUCAGAGGCUGGAAGAGGCUUGAUGCAGAUCAGAGAUUUGCUCCGGGCGGCAGGAGAUCAGAAUUCAGCUGUGUCACAGUCACGUAACAGGAUUCACAGUCGAUCUGUCGCUGUGAAUACUGUUCAGUCGGCUCACAGUCCAAGGUCGCCUCCGAGGCGCAUGGGACGUGAAGGCCGGCAGGACCACUAUGAUGACCGAUUUGAUCGCGAUGACAGGCGUCGAGUGCCCACUCCUCCUCCGAGAAGUGGGUCUAACGCCCAUCGGCAGCAAGAUGACAGACGCCAGCUCAGUGUCGGGCGGAGAGCUCCAACCGACCCCAGAGGGCCAGGCUUUGACGCGAGAUCCAUCAUCGUGCAAGGUUUGGUUGACCGAAACAGAGCUCAUAGAGGUGGUCAUGACAGAGAUGUGCCUACAAGCAGCCGAGUCCACGUUUCAGGUCCAGAAUGUUUUAGCAGAGCGAUCAGAGCCGCAGUGAUACCCCCCAACUUCAGGUUGGCGACUGGGGUGAGUAAGUUCACCAGAGAGUCUAAGCCUGAAACUUGGCUCGAAGACUACCGAGUGGCUGUUCAGAUUGGUGGCGGUAAUGAUGAGGUGGCCAUGAAACAUUUGCCACUUAUGCUAGAGGGUUCAGCCAGGGCAUGGUUGAAUCAGUUAGCUCCCAGUAGCAUUUACACCUAGGAAGAUCUUUCUUGAGUGUUCGUCAGAACGUUUGAGGGAACUUGCAAGUGACCUACUGGAUUGACUGAGCUACAAGUUUGUGUACAAAACUCGAGUGAAACACUGAGGGAUUACAUCCAGAGGUGGAUCACUUUGCAUCACACUGUAGAGAAUGUGUCGGACCAUCAAGCGGUUUGCGCCUUCAAAGAUGGCGUCAAGAACAGAGAGUUGAGCCUGAAGUUUGGUCGAACUGGAGACAUGACCCUGAGUCGGAUGAUGGAAAUAGCCACCAAGUACACCAAUGGCGAAGAAGAGGACCGACUCCGGAGCGGCAAGUACAAGCCGAGUCAGUCGGAUAAAGGAAACCCUAGUCGGAAGCAAAAGCGGAAGGAGGGUAAUGAUGUGAUGGACCUGCCGUGUCAUAUCCACACGAAGAAAGACGAAGAGGGUAACUUCAUCUACCCAAAGCAUACCACUCGCCAGUGUCGGCUCUUAAUCCAGCAGUUCCAAGGGAAACAGCCGAAGGACAAAGAGGAGUCAGACAAGGCUGAGGACAAGCAGGACAGUGAUGGAGAGUACCCUCAUGUCAACUCCACUCUGAUGAUUUUUGCUGAUGUAGAGAGCAAAAUUCGACUGAAAGUGAUCAACCGUGAAGUCAAUAUGGUCGCACCGGCAACACCAAACUAUCUGAGAUGGUCACAAAAUCCCAUUACUUUCGACCAGUCAGACCAUCCUACUCAUAUUGCCACCCCUGGGAGGCAAGCACUCGUGGUCGACCCGAUCGUCGAAGGCACUCGACUGACAAAGGUAUUGAUGGAUGGCGGCAGCGGGUUGAACAUACUGUAUGCAGAGACGCUCAAGGGAAUUGGCAUUCCGAUGUCCAGGCUCAGUUCCAGCAACAUGAGUUUUCACGGAGUCAUCCCAGGAAAGAAGGCUGAGUCACACGGCCAAAUAGCUCUGGAUGUGGUGUUCGGCGACUCGAAGCAUUUCCGCAAAGAGAAGCUGACAUUUGAAAUCGUGGAUUUCCAGAGCGCCUACCACGCUAUCUUGGGAAGACCAGCCUACAUCCGCUUCAUGGCUCGACCAUGUUACGUGUACCUCAAGUUAAAGAUGCCUGGCCCCAAAGGCGUGAUCACCGUCACUGGUAACCGGAAGAAAGCAGAAGAGUGUUUCCAGAAAGGCUCAAAGAUUGCGGAUGACCAGAUAACAGUGAUAGAGCUAGAGGGAUACAAGAAGAACACAGAUCCGAGUGAUUUACUGCGGGCCAAGAAGCCCGCCAAAGAGUCAGCAUUUCAGUCGUCCGGUGAGACGAAGCCAGUUCACAUCCACCCGACUGACCCCAAUGCAGCUUCGACCCAUAUUUCCACUACACUCGACUCUAAAUAGGAAGAAGCGCUCAUCCAGUUCCUCCGUGAGAACUGGGACAUCUUCGCAUGGAAGCCAGCUAACAUGCCAGGUGUUCCCAGGGGACUGGCUGAGCAUCGCCUUAGAGUCGAUUCAAAGGCAAAACCUGUUAAAGAACAUCUUCGAUGGUCCGCCGUUCAGAAGAAAAAAGCCAUUGGCGAAGAGGUGGCUCGACUCCUUGCAGCAGAGUUCAUCCGAGAGAUAUACCACUCCGAGUGUCUCGCCAAUGUCGUUAUGGUUCCCAAAAAUGACAAUUCCCUUCGUAUGUGCAUUGAUUUCAAACAUAUCAAUCGGGCCUGCCCGAAAGAUCAUCCCUCGCAUCGACCAAAUUGUCGACUCGACCGCAAGGUGCGAGAGAUUGUCUUUUCUAGACACAUCAGAUCCGUCUAUAUGGGCCCGACGAAAUCAAAACAGCUUUCAUCACCCCAUUCGGGUGCUUCUACUAUAUCACAAUGCCAUUCGGCCUCAAGAAUGCCGGAGCCACGUUCAUGAGAAUGAUUCAAAAGUGUUUACUCACUCAAAUCAGUCGGAAUGUGGAAGCAUACAUGGACGAUAUCGUGGUCAAGUCGCGAAAGGGUUCCGACCUGUUGACUGACUUAGCUGAAACAUUUGCCAAUCUCAGGAGGUAUGAUAUCAAGCUCAAUCCUUCAAAGUGCACAUUCGGAGUACCUGGCGGGAAGUUACACGGUUUUCUCGUUUCCGAACGAGGAAUCGAUGCUAACCCAGAAAAAGUGGGUACCAUACACCGAAUGAAACGCCCUGUGCGUGUGCACGAUGUCCAGAAGCUUACUGGAUGCUUGGCCGCGUUAAGUCGAUUCAUCUCUCGCCUCGGUGAGAAGGCGUUGCCCCUUUACCGACUGAUGAAGAAGGCAGACAAGUUCGAGUGGACUCCAGAAGCUGAUGCAGCAUUUGCCGAGUUAAAAACUCUGCUCUCCACCCAGCCGGUGCUUGCUGCUCCAAUCAACAAAGAGCCUUUGUUGCUUUAUAUUGCAGCCACAGGACAAGUCAUCAGUACAGUACUUACGGUCGAGCGGGAAGAAGAAGGGAAAGCCUUCAAAGUUCAGCGCCCAGUGUAUUACCUCUCUGAAGUUUUGACCCCAUCGAAGCAAAGAUAUCCUCAUUAUCAGAAGCUCGUAUAUGGGAUCUACAUGACCAUGAAGAAGGUUGCUCAUUAUUUCUCUGAUCAUGACAUUACAGUCGUCAGCGACGCACCAUUGUCAGAGAUUCUGCACAACAGAGAUGUAACUGGUCGAGUGGCUAAAUGGGCGAUUGAACUCCUUCCCCUUGAUAUCAAAUUCGAGGCAAAGAAAGCCAUUAAGUCCCAGGCCAUAGCAGAUUUCCUUGCCGAGUGGAUUGAACAGCAGCAGCCGAUUCAAGUUCACUCGGAGCAUUGGACCAUGUUCUUUGAUGGCUCUAAGAUGUUAAAUGGUUCUGGUGCUGGCGUAGUUUUGGUUUCUCCCCGAGGAGAUAAGCUCAGAUAUGUGCUCCAGAUCCACUUUGAUUCCUCCAACAAUGAAGCAGAAUAUGAAGCACUAUUGUAUGGGUUGUGCAUGGCCAUUUCACUCGGCGUCCGUCGCCUUAUGGUUUACGGUGACUCAGAUUUGGUGGUCAAUCAGGUGAUGAAGGAGUGGGACGUUAGAAGCCCAGCCAUGACUGGAUACUGCAAUGCAGUGAGGAAGCUUGCAAAGAAAUUCGAAGGGUUAGAACUCCAUCACGUUCCCCGACUGAAAAAUCAAGCAGCCGAUGACUUGGCGAAGAUAGGUUCCAAGAGGGAAGCCAUUCUGAGUGGCAUGUUUUUGGAACAUGUCUACACACCAUCGGUUCAAGAGGAUCCUUUCACUGAAGAAGCCCUGCAGCCUAAAAGCACCACAGAUCCGACUGAAGUCGAGGUCCCAGCGGUGGACGACUUAAUCAUGGAAGUUUUGGUCAUCACUCCCGGUUGGACAGUGCCCUAUAUCACCUAUAUUUUGAGGAAGGAACUCCUCGAGAAUGAAGACGAAGCUCGAGAGAUCGUCCGCCGGUCCAAAGCCUUCACCGUCAUGAGAGGUCAGUUAUACAGAGAAAGUGCAACUGGAGUCAGCCAGAAAUGUAUAACACCAGAGGAAGGUCGAAUGAUUCUCAACGACAUCCACUCGGGGACCUGUGGCCAUCAUGCGUCUUCUCGGACCAUCGUGGCCAAAGCAUACCGAGCUGGUUUUUAUUGGCCCAGAGCGAAUGAAAUGGCGAAGGGGAUAGUCGACAAGUGUGAGUGGUGUCAAUUUUACUCCAAUAUGUCACACAAGCCCGCGUCAGCUUUGAAGACUAUACCACUCGUCUGGCCCUUCGCAGUGUGGGGUUUGGAUAUGGUCGGUCCUGUCACAUCCCUAGCUGCUGGUAGUGCUCUAGGCUAGCUUCAUGUGUGCAUCAUGUCUAUAUUUUCGAAACUUGAACUGAGGAAUUUUGGAAGCCUCAAAAACUUAAAUAAAAGAGGGGCAAAAACCCUAGAAAUCUCAUUCAUUGCUCCAAAAUGCUCUUCUUAAAUGUUUGAUAAUUUUUGGUAAGGGUUCUGGUCCCAACCAAAAUAUUGAACAUUUUUAAGGAAUUAUUUUUGGGACUUUGGAUUUAAUUCAUUAGCUAUUUGAAUUUGAAUUAUAUUCAUAUAAUUAGAAUAUAAUUUCAAAUACCCCUGAAACAUUUUUAUGUGCUUUUGGAAAAGUCCAUUAAGCAGCAUAAAUAUUUUCAGAGGAGUUUUUGGCAUUGUUUGAAUUAUUUUUAAAUUCAAAACAGUGGCAAAACAGAGUAAAUUAAAUAAAACAAAACAGAUAUAAAAGAGAGAGAGAGAAGGAAGUUACCCGGCCUCACCCGUGCAGCCCACCAGAGCCGGCCCAGCUCCUGUGCUGGUCCAGCGCUGUGCGGCCCAGCCCACCUCCUCCUCCCUGUCGCCUUCCUCCUCGCGCCAGUAGGCAGAGGAGGGACUCGGCGCACGCGCCCGAGCUCGCCACGCCACCACCCUGCUCGUCUGCAUCGCCUGAGGCCACCACGACGCCUCGCGCCUUCUCCUCGGCGCCGCCUCGACCCCUGGAACCCUCCCGCUCACUCCCUCGUCCCCAUCUCCUCCUCUGUUCUUUCUCUCGCACGCACCCGAGAGCGACCGUCGCCGCCGCUUGCUGCUGCCGCGGCCACCACCGCCCCCUCGCUUCUCUGACCAGCCCACGAGCUCCGCCUAGAACCCGAGCGCCUCUCCGCCGACCCACGCAAGGCCAGAGGACCCCAAGACGACGCCGCGACCCUUCUUCCCCGACCACGGCCGCCGGAUGCCACCGCCCGAUUCGUCGUCCACAGGGCCUCCCUGAGCUCGCCGUCUUCUUCAUACGACUCCCUGUGAGCCCCUCUCCCUUUCCCUUCAUACCCCGCGGUGGAUUUGGUUCGCUAGCUCGAUUCCCGCCAUCACCGAGAGCUUCUCGCCGCCGUGCUCGUCACUGCCAGCGCUAGCAAGCUCCGACGACCAAACCGAGCUCGCAGACUACUUCCGUGUGCUGUGUAGAUGCCGCUGCGCUGCUCAGCUCCCUCGCCCGCGAGCUCUAGCCCUCUCAGCCGCAACCACCGAACUCCGGCCGCCGCCGCAAGCUCCGCUCCGGCGAGUGCUGACCACCCCGCGUCCUUCCGUCACCUCCUCCGGAUGCGCACGAGCGCUAGGAACCCACAGAGCCUCUCCGCGCGGCGUUUGGCCGCCGGAGCAAGAAACCCGAAGGCCUCCGCCGUCUCGGCCUCGCCGGCGUCAAGCCGCCGGCAGGUUAGGCCCUGCUGACCAGGGGUUUGACCCCCCCCUGUUAAUUAGUUUAGUUUAUUUUAAUUUAUUUAGCCACUGUUUCACUGCCAUGUGGGCCCGAGGCCCUGCUAAUUUGGUUAAGGUACUAAUUAAGUUUUAGCUAACCCACUGACCCACUGACUGUGGGCCCCAGCCCUUCUAAUUACGUUAGUUAAGAAUUAACUAAACCCUGAUUAAGUCCUGUGUCACUGACGUGUGGCCCCCACACGUCAGGUUUGACCCGAGCCAGCCCAGUUGACUCUGCUGACGUCAUAGUGACGUGGUGCUGACGCCAUAAAUCAUUUCUGGAUUUAUUAUUAUUUCAGGAAUUCCAGAAAAUGCCCUAAACUUCAAUAAAUCAUAGAAAUUCAACCGUAGCUCCAAAUUAAAUAAUUUAUAUAUGAAAAAUUAUCAGAAAAAUUCAAGGAAUCCAUCUGUACCAUUUUCAUGCAUGUUAGAACAACUUAUAGCUGCUGUUUAGCACAAAUCAUAUAAAUGGCAUCUGAAUAAUCACAUAUGGAGUUUGAAUUUGAAUCUUAUAUUCAAACCAACUUCAUUUAAUCUGUUGCUAGUUGCAUUAGCUCAAAACACAUUCAUAUUGCCAUGUCAUGAGCAUGCAUCAUAUUGUGCAUUGCAUUGAUUGUAUUUCUUCUUUGUUGCCGGUAAUUGUCCCCUCUCGAUAGACGUGUACCGACGAUGUGAUCGAUGACACCGAUGAAGAGCUAUAUUAUCUUCAGAAGUGCCAGGCAAGCAAAACCCCCUUGUUCAUUCCGAUACAAUCCCACUCUCUCGCUCCUGCUCUCUUUUACUGCAUUAGGACAACAACGAUUCAACUGUUACUUGCUGCGGUAGCUGAACCCCUCUAUCCUUUGCAUGACCUGUCAUUGCCACAGUAAAUAGAUGAAACCCACUAGCAUGAGUAGGAGUUGUUUGAGCCCUGAUGUGCCUACUCAUUUAUGUUUGUUGUCAUGCCUGCUACUGCUUAGAGUUGAGUCGGGUCUGAUUCAUCGGGGAUGAAUCAGAGGCGUGUGAACCUGUCCUACUGUGUGUGAGCUAAGUGUGUGAACACGAUUUGGUAAAGGUAGCGGUGAGAGGCCAUGUAGGAGUACAUGGUGGGUUGUCUCAUUGCAGCUGUCCUCAGGAACUGAGUUCUGUGUUUGUGAUCCAUGACCAGUUACUACCACACAUUGGGUUCCGGUAACUCGACCCCUCUCGACUUAUUAAUCAACAUGAUCUCUGUCCAGGAGUUGCAACUAGUUUCUGGUGUUUGUAGGUAGUGUUAGUAGUCUACCAAGUGGCACCCGGUACAGGUGGGCUUGGGACAGACUAGGCACAGUGGCACGGUGUACCAAGUGGCACCCGGAUGGUGGGCUUGGGAACCCUGCUCACAUCGUUUGGGGCCGUGAGCACACCCCGGCCGGAUCUCCUUGCGGAUGGAACCCGAAUAGGCGAUAAACCUGGACUAGAGACUUGUUCGGUUAGUCAGGUCGUGGCCGACUCCCUCGCCCGGCUUCCGCUUGAAGGUUGCCGAGGUACAUGACGUGUACAGGGCGGUAAGUGGCGAGAGCGUGUGUGAAGAAGUACACCCCUGCAGGGUUAACAUCAUCUAUUCGAAUAGCCGGAUUCCUCGGAUAUGGAAACUUGGACCCCUUGUACAGUUCAUAGACUAGUGAAAGUGGAUACUCUAAAAUACGCAAGAUAAGCGUGAGUGCUAUGGAUGGCGUUCUCGUAGGGAGACGGGAGCGGAUCCAUAGUGGUGUAUUGAUAUGGUGAAUAUGUGGACUCGUGUGCGCCACCUCAAAAGAGUUACUUGCAGUCGUAGUUUAGGAUAGCCACCGAGUCAAAGCUGGCUUGCUGCAGUUAAACUCCACCACCCCCUUUGUUGAUAAUGAUGCAUAUGUAGAUAGAUCUGAUGUAAGUCUUGCUGGGUACAUUUGUACUCACGUUUGCCUAUUUUAUGUUUUUGCAGAGAGACUUCAGUCUCACUAGUAGUUCCGCUUGGACUUCGACGUUUAGCUUGUUACCUCAGCUACGAUCUUGUGCCCUCGGCAGGAUCUGGUAGAUAGUCAGGCUUCUCAGCCUUUUUCAUUUCUAGAUGUCUGUACUCAGACAUGUUAAGCUUCCGCAUGUGCUUUGAUUUGUAUGCUCUAAGUGUUGGGUCAUGAGACCCAUGAUUGUAAUAUCCCGCUCCUCGGAGCCUAUUGAAUAAACUACUUGAGUCGUAGAGUCAUUUUGUGAUGCCAUGUUGUAUUGCACAUAUCGAGCAUAUUGUGUGUAUGUUAUUGAAAUGCUUGGUAUGUGUGGGAUCUGACAACCUAGUUGUUUAUCCUUGGUAGCCUCUCUUACCGGGAAAUGUCUCCUAGUGUUUCCACUGAGCCAUGGUAGCUUGCUACUGCUCCGGAACACUUAGGCUGGCCGGCAUGUGUCCUUCUUCGUUCCUGUGUCUGUCCCUUCAGGGAAAUGUCAUGCGAUGAAUACCGGAGUCCUGUUAGCCCGCUACAGCCCGGUUCACCGGAGUCCUGCUAGCCCAGUGCUACAGCCCGGAUUCACUCGCUGAUGACCGACACGUUCGAUGUUGGGUCAUGGAUGCCUGUCCCUGUAAGUUAGUGCCACUUUGGGUUUACGACUAGCCAUGUCAGCCCGGGCUCCUUAUCAUAUGGAUGCUAGCGACACUAUCAUAUACGUGUGCCAAAAGGCGCAAACGGUCCCGGGCAAAGGUAAGGCGACACCCGUGGGAAUACCAUGCGUGAGGCCGCAAAGUGAUAUGAGGUGUUACAUGCUAGAUCGAUGUGGCAUUGAGUCGGGGUCCUGACAGCGUUGGUAUCAGAGCUUGGCUGCCUGUAGGAUCACCAAGCCAAACUGGUCGAAGUUGAGUCUAGAAAUUCUUUAGUUAUAUAAGGGAAUUGAUUGUGGGAUGGAACGUAAGGCUCUUUUUACUCCUUAUACCUUAUGCCUUCUGAUCUGAGUCAUCUUAUCUUUCCUGCAGGGAUUAAGAACUAGGCUAUCUUUUCUUUCUAUCAGGAUCACGUGUUACUAAUCCGUAGACUUAUAGAUUGUUGGACUUAAGCCUCGUUUCAGUUCCUACUACUUCUGUAUGUUAAUUAUUGAUCUCGAGACCUUGAUAUUGUGCUUCUGAGUGGCUAUGCCACCAUUUUUGUGAAUGUCUCAAAUCUUUUCUGAGCAUUUACAGCCGUUAUGCUGUCCGAGUCAUUCCAGGUUUCUAAAUAGUCUGAUGCAUUUGCAAAAUCCUUUCCCUCUGGUUUCGAUGUUCCUUUAUGCCAGCUCAAUCACACUAAUUGUUGAGUUGAGGUAUUCUAUUGCCUUGACAUUAUGUUGGAGUUACUAUUAUGACCCUAGGUGUCUCAGGGGAUCAUCUAGUAGUCUAGCCAUGAUUUAUGUUCCAGUGUGAUGACUCUGGCCGUCAUUAUCGAAAGCAUCCCGUGAUGCCAUUUAGUAGUAGGUAUUCUAUCCCUGGGAUUUGAACCCGAGAUUCACCCUACUUGCUUCAUGUUGAUAGUUUUGCUCGUUCCUUUAGGUUAUUAGUAACCUUUGCAUUAGUCCUCGAUGUUCGUGGUAUUCCUUUCUUCCAAAUACUAUGAACCGCUUAUGGCAGAUGUUCCUCGCUGAUCGAAAGAUCACAAUCAGAGUGCUCUCGAUGGGUUCUCGAUUCUACAUUGUGACUCUGCCAGUUCUACCUUUUGGCAUGGGUUAUCCGGAAGAAAUUGUGGAAUUCAUUCGACAUGCUAAACCAUGCAUCCACAACUCAGAAAAUCGUAUGUUCCUUUGAGUUGUCCCUCUUUAGUUGUCUUCUGACCCUCGUCUAUCAAUUGAUAGUCAAGAGUAUGCGUGCAUUCGUUCGUCGAUGCCUAUUACCCUUGUGGUCCGCCAAGCCAUUCUAUUUCAGAAUGAAUAGGAGAAACAAACUCCAGUACCUCAUCCAUAUUUAGGAUUGGGUCAAAGUAGUUGUGUUCCACAGAUCAAGUUACAAUCCAGCUUCUGGUCUGCUCUACCCUGAAGUAUUACCUUCUUUAUGACAGGAAUUUCAUGAGAAUUGCACCACCUUUUGUGAAUUCUUGACAUAGUGAUACUUCUCGCCAUCCUUUUUCAUUCCUCGGUUCCGUGUUGUUGCAGCCGGAGUGCCGACAAGUGAAUCAUGAUGUGUGAACUCAAUACUCCUAGCAACCCCAUUGCUUGGUAGUUAAUGGACAAUAAUCUUAUUCUUAGUAUGUUGGUUAUUGAAUCACCAUUCUAAGAUUGAUUGUGCUACCUAGUCCUUAUUUCCUGGUGCACUCUUUGAUUGAUGAGUUAGGAUUUUGUCAAGUCCUCGCUCAUUUGAUCAUAUCAUCUUGCCCUGAAAAGCAAGAUUGUUCUCGAGCUUAGUAACAUAUCGGUGGUUCGUGAUUUCCGAAGAUCUUCUCGGAAGUAUUACCAGGUUGUCACCUGACCGCUAUGUUGAGCUCGUGAUCAAGUUGGUUUCUUGUGAACCACCUUCUCUCCAAGAAUCGGUGUUAGAUAUCCCUGAGCUAGUUGGUUAAGCUAAACGACAACUUGGAGGGUUGGAAGAUAAAAGCUUGCCUGACUUAGUUCGUUCCAAAGGGAUAUUCUUGUGUAGUGUGUGUUGAAGAAAGAUGAUAUCUUCAUCGAUUGGUCCCUGUGAUCAGUUGCUGGACCUAUCGUCUUAUCAAUCCUUUGAUUUGAGUGUGGGCUAUCGUCAAAUCAAGUCAGAACCAACGAUGUUCGUAAUGUUGUCUUCCUCGUGGUUGUUCCCUCGAGCAUGCACCAUUAUAUCUUUUGGGUCUGACCAAUGCUAUCACCGUGUUCACACGAUGGUGGAAGUCCAGUGAUAUGGAAAUUCCGAUGAGUUGUUGUUGAGUCCAUUGACAACAUCCUUAUCUCCUCCAUGAUGUUGUUGAACAUUAAGUUAGUGUUGGAAACUUUUGAAAGCAUUUUCUUCAUGCUAGCUCAUGAAGUACUUGUUUGAUGAAAGGAGUGACUUCCUUUGAUUCACGUGCAUUUUGAUGUAAGCUGCCGUCGUGAAUUCGAGAAAGGUUGUUUUUGCUCCUCUGGAAUCAUCCCAAGUCAGUCAUGCAUGUGCAAAGUAUACUAUGGUUUGGUAGAUUAAUUACCUCCACUCCAUAUGUAUUCCUAGCACACCAAGCCACUGAUUGAGUUGUUCAAAGAUAAAGGAGUCUGUCCAAGGUGAACUCCUUGGACUUCCACGCGUGGAGACUUCGAUGUCAUUAAUGAUGGUUCCCCACCUGAACUCGGUAGUGUUUUAUUAUAAGACUACUUUGUGGUCAUGCUUGUCUGGAACAACGUGUUCACAUGUUUGUAGCAGAACCAGCUCAUGUUUUGGAGCUUGCUAUCGUAGUUCAUAUCCCGAGAAUUCCGCAACGUCAUCUCGUCAAUUUGUGUUGCAAACUUCCGUUUUUCUUCCUAGACUCGAUGAGUCUGGAAUAUCCUGACACCAACCAGAUCUGAAUCUGAGGCAGAUAUAAUGGUUGGAACAUUUCCCAAGAACUAUAAUACUGGUCCCUCGAUAACCGGUAAAGUGGAUGUCAUGGCCAACACACCCAGCCGGAAGACCUAUUAUUGUAGUAUCCUGAUUGAAUAAGUUGGCCACCUCCCCAUAAGGAUUUCGUAGGAUUUACCUCCCUAGUUGUUCCUUAUGGAUUCUUGUGCUCCCGAAGUCCGACCUUUACUUGAUGUUCUAGAUACCAGACCAUUUCUAUGAAUGGGUUACACUAGCACAUCAAGGAGAACAUUAGAAGCGGAGUGCUAAAUGUCUCUCGAUCGAUCAUCCAGAUUUUGUUCCUUGGCUUCGCCAAGGGUGAAAUCUGAGAAGGUGUUAUCUUCCUCUGCAUCUGCAUCCUCCAUCACCAUUCAUCAUGGUAGCAAGUUGUGUUGCCAGGAUCCUUGACACGGAUGUUGGUAAAACCUUGAUGAUUAUGGAAUUGCUCAAGUUCUUGAGAGCACGCGCAAGUGCUAGGUUUGAUCGUCGGCAUUAACUGUAUAGCGCUCUCAGUUUCCUCGGUUAUGCUAUAACCAUACCAAUAGUGGAAUAACUCUCUACUGUUGAGCCUCUCCCUAGUUACCAGAAUCAUUCCCAGCAUUUGCAUUUUGUUCCCAGCUUGCACCGCCAAUGUGUCAUUCUACCAUGGGUCUCUUCCAUUUCCGGUGAUAAGCAAAUUCAUCCAUUACGUUGUCUUUAACAAGGUAAUCCACAUCAUCCAUGUUUGAGUAUGCCAUUCUACCGACCCCCUCCAAACGAUCGCUCGAGAAUUGUCUUAGGCUGGUUUAAAGAGUUUCAAUGAUCUCUGAAUCAAAAGUAAUUCUUUUUGCCACUUAAGGGAAUAUCUCUACGAGUCACCUUCCCUAAGGUGUAUCGUUAUGGUAUCAUGGCAACUCAACUCCUCGCUACGUUGACAAUCGUUUAGCACCUUCUUAAACGUGAAAUUGUUGUCUACCUAGUGAACCUUCGUCAUCCGUUUCUGCCCACCCCUCUUGAUGUGUAUCUCGUGUCUCAACCCGAGAGAUGGUCCUAUGUCUCAUUCCGUGAGUUGUUCGAUCUUCGAGAAGAUCGACCCUUCUAGAGUCUCCUUCUUCCCUCCAUGUCAUGUUGGCAGGAUUUCUCAGAGCAAGACAUCAAGACAAUGAUGGUGAAUGAAUCAACGUUCAACUGAAGUGCACCCUGGAUCGUGAAGAUUAUACUAGUUGCGUUUACCCUUCACCUUACCCUACGCUUGAAUCUCGAGACGAGAUUCUUGUUUAGUGGGGGUGAGUUGUCACAUCCCUAGCUGCUGGUAGUGCUCUAGGAUAGCUUCAUGUGUGCAUCAUGUCUAUAUUUUCGAAACUUGAACUGAGGAAUUUUGGAAGCCUCAAAAACUUAAAUAAAAGAGGGCAAAAACCCUAGAAAUCUCAUUCAUUGCUCCAAAAUGCUCUUCUUAAAUGUUUGAUAAUUUUUGGUAAGGGUUCUGGUCCCAACCAAAAUAUUGAACAUUUUUAAGGAAUUAUUUUUGGGACUUUGGAUUUAAUUCAUUAGCUAUUUGAAUUUGAAUUAUAUUCAUAUAAUUAGAAUAUAAUUUCAAAUACCCCUGAAACAUUUUUAUGUGCUUUUGGAAAAGUCCAUUAAGCAGCAUAAAUAUUUUCAGAGGAGUUUUUGGCAUUGUUUGAAUUAUUUUUAAAUUCAAAACAGUGGCAAAACAGAGUAAAUUAAAUAAAACAAAACAGAAAUAAAAGAGAGAGAGAGAAGGAAGUUACCCGGCCUCACCCGUGCAGCCCACCAGAGCCGGCCCAGCUCCUGUGCUGGUCCAGCACUGUGCGGCCCAGCCCACCUCCUCCUCCCUGUCGCCUUCCUCCUCGCGCCAGUAGGCAGAGGAGGGACUCGGCGCACGCGCCCGAGCUCGCCACGCCACCACCCUGCUCGUCUGCAUCGCCUGAGGCCACCACGACGCCUCGGGCCUUCUCCCCGGCGCCGCCUCGACCCCUGGAACCCUCCCGCUCACUCCCUCGUCCCCAUCUCCUCCUCUGUUCUUUCUCUCGCACGCACCCGAGAGCGACCGUCGCCGCCGCUUGCUGCUGCCGCGGCCACCACCGCCCCCUCGCUUCUCUGACCAGCCCACGAGCUCCGCCUAGAACCCGAGCGCCUCUCCGCCGACCCACGCAAGGCCGGAGGACCCCAAGACGACGCCGCGACCCUUCUUCCCCGACCACGGCCGCCGGAUGCCGCCGCCCGAUUCGUCGUCCACAGGGCCUCCCUGAGCUCGCCGUCUUCUUCAUACGACUCCCUGUGAGCCCCUCUCCCUUUCCCCUCAUACCCCGCGGUGGAUUUGGUUCGCUAGCUCGAUUCCCGCCAUCACCGAGAGCUUCUCGCCGCCGCGCUCGUCACUGCCAGCGCUAGCAAGCUCCGACGACCAAACCGAGCUCGCAGACUACUUCCGUGUGCUGUGUAGAUGCCGCUGCGCUGCUCAGCUCCCUCGCCCGCGAGCUCUAGCCCUCUUAGCCGCAACCACCGAACUCCGGCCGCCGCCGCAAGCUCCGCUCCGGCGAGUGCUGACCACCCCGCAUCCUUCCGUCACCUCCUCCGGAUGCGCACGAGCGCUAGGAACCCACAGAGCCUCUCCACGCGGCGUUUGGCCGCCGGAGCAAGAAACCCGAAGGCCUCCGCCGUCUCGGCCUCGCCGGCGUCAAGCCGCCGGCAGGUUAGGCCCUGCUGACCAGGGGUUUGACCCCCCCUGUUAAUUAGUUUAGUUUAUUUUAAUUUAUUUAGCCACUGUUUCACUGCCAUGUGGGCCCGAGGCCCUGCUAAUUUGGUUUAGGUACUAAUUAAGUUUUAGCUAACCCACUGACCCGCUGACUGUGGGCCCCAACCCUUCUAAUUACGUUAGUUAAGAAUUAACUAAACCCUGAUUAAGUCCUGUGUCACUGACGUGUGGCCCCCACACGUCAGGUUUGACCCGAGCCAGCCCAGUUGACUCUGCUGACGUCAUAGUGACGUGGUGCUGACGCCAUAAAUCAUUUCUGGAUUUAUUAUUAUUUCAGGAAUUCCAGAAAAUGCCCUAAACUUCAAUAAAUCGUAGAAAUUCAACCGUAGCUCCAAAUUAAAUAAUUUAUAUAUGAAAAAUUAUCAGAAAAAUUCAAGGAAUCCAUCUGUACCAUUUUCAUGCAUGUUAGAACAACUUAUAGCUGCUGUUUAGCACAAAUCAUAUAAAUGGCAUCUGAAUAAUCACAUAUGGAGUUUGAAUUUGAAUCUUAUAUUCAAACCAACUUCAUUUAAUCUGUUGCUAGUUGCAUUAGCUCAAAACACAUUCAUAUUGCCAUGUCAUGAGCAUGCAUCAUAUUGUGCAUUGCAUUGAUUGUAUUUCUUCUUUGUUGCCGGUAAUUGUCCCCUCUCGAUAGACGUGUACCGACGAUGUGAUCGAUGACACCGAUGAAGAGCUAUAUUAUCUUCAGAAGUGCCAGGCAAGCAAAACCCCCUUGUUCAUUCCGAUACAAUCCCACUCUCUCGCUCCUGCUCUCUUUUACUGCAUUAGGACAACAACGAUUCAACUGUUACUUGCUGCGGUAGCUGAACCCCUCUAUCCUUUGCAUGACCUGUCAUUGCCACAGUAAAUAGAUGAAACCCACUAGCAUGAGUAGGAGUUGUUUGAGCCCUGAUGUGCCUACUCAUUUAUGUUUGUUGUCAUGCCUGCUACUGCUUAGAGUUGAGUCGGGUCUGAUUCAUCGGGGAUGAAUCAGAGGCGUGUGAACCUGUCCUACUGUGUGUGAGCUAAGUGUGUGAACACGAUUUGGUAAAGGUAGCGGUGAGAGGCCAUGUAGGAGUACAUGGUGGGUUGUCUCAUUGCAGCNNNNNNNNNNNNNNNNNNNNNNNNNNNNNNNNNNNNNNNNNNNNNNNNNNNNNNNNNNNNNNNNNNNNNNNNNNNNNNNNNNNNNNNNNNNNNNNNNNNNNNNNNNNNNNNNNNNNNNNNNNNNNNNNNNNNNNNNNNNNNNNNNNNNNNNNNNNNNNNNNNNNNNNNNNNNNNNNNNNNNNNNNNNAUGACCAGUUACUACCACACAUUGGGUUCCGGUAACUCGACCCCUCUCGACUUAUUAAUCAACAUGAUCUCUGUCCAGGAGUUGCAACUAGUUUCUGGUGUUUGUAGGUAGUGUUAGUAGUCUACCAAGUGGCACCCGGUACAGGUGGGCUUGGGACAGACUAGGCACAGUGGCACGGUGUACCAAGUGGCACCCGGAUGGUGGGCUUGGGAACCCUGCUCACAUCGUUUGGGGCCGUGAGCGACACCCCGGCCGGAUCUCCUUGCGGAUGGAACCCGAAUAGGCGAUAAACCUAGACUAGAGACUUGUUCGGUUAGUCAGGUCGUGGCCGACUCCCUCGCCCGGCUUCCGCUUGAAGGUUGCCGAGGUACAUGACGUGUACAGGGCGGUAAGUGGCGAGAGCGUGUGUGAAGAAGUACACCCCUGCAGGGUUAACAUCAUCUAUUCGAAUAGCCGGAUUCCUUGGAUAUGGAAACUUGGACCCCUUGUACAGUUCAUAGACUAGUGAAAGUGGAUACUCUAAAAUACGCAAGAUAAGCGUGAGUGCUAUGGAUGGCGUUCUCGUAGGGAGACGGGAGCGGAUCCAUAGUGGUGUAUUGAUAUGGUGAAUAUGUGGACUCGUGUGCGCCACCUCAAAAGAGUUACUUGCAGUCGUAGUUUAGGAUAGCCACCGAGUCAAAGCUGGCUUGCUGCAGUUAAACUCCACCACCCCCUUUGUUGAUAAUGAUGCAUAUGUAGAUAGAUCUGAUGUAAGUCUUGCUGGGUACAUUUGUACUCACGUUUGCCUAUUUUAUGUUUUUGCAGAGAGACUUCAGUCUCACUAGUAGUUCCGCUUGGACUUCGACGUUUAGCUUGUUACCUCAGCUACGAUCUUGUGCCCUCGGCAGGAUCUGGUAGAUAGUCAGGCUUCUCAGCCUUUUUCAUUUCUAGAUGUCUGUACUCAGACAUGUUAAGCUUCCGCAUGUGCUUUGAUUUGUAUGCUCUGAGUGUUGGGUCAUGAGACCCAUGAUUGUAAUAUCCCGCUCCUCGGAGCCUAUUGAAUAAACUACUUGAGUCGUAGAGUCAUUUUGUGAUGCCAUGUUGUAUUGCACAUAUCGAGCAUAUUGUGUGUAUGUUAUUGAAAUGCUUGGUAUGUGUGGGAUCUGACAACCUAGUUGUUUAUCCUUGGUAGCCUCUCUUACCGGGAAAUGUCUCCUAGUGUUUCCACUGAGCCAUGGUAGCUUGCUACUGCUCCGGAACACUUAGGCUGGCCGGCAUGUGUCCUUCUUCGUUCCUGUGUCUGUCUCUUCAGGGAAAUGUCACGCGAUGAAUACCGGAGUCCUGUUAGCCCGCUACAGCCCGGUUCACCGGAGUCCUGCUAGAACCAGUGCUACAGCCCGGAUUCACUCGCUGAUGACCGACACGUUCGAUGUUGGGUCAUGGAUGCCUGUCCCUGUAAGUUAGUGCCACUUUGGGUUUACGACUAGCCAUGUCAGCCCGGGCUCCUUAUCAUAUGGAUGCUAGCGACACUAUCAUAUACGUGUGCCAAAAGGCGCAAACGGUCCCGGGCAAAGGUAAGGCGACACCCGUGGGAAUACCGUGCGUGAGGCCGCAAAGUGAUAUGAGGUGUUACAUGCUAGAUCGAUGUGGCAUUGAGUCGGGGUCCUGACAGGUCCUUUGAGAACAGGCAGAAGCGGUUUUACCCAUGUGCUGGUAGCAGUCGACUAGUUCCUAAGUGGAUCGAAGCUAAACCCAUCAAGAACCUCGAUGCCGGUACUGCUGUCAGCUUCAUCAGAGAAUUGAUAUUCAGAUAUGGGGUCCCGCACAGCAUCAUCACUGACAAUGGGUCAAACUUUGAUUCUGAAGAAUUCAGAGCUUUCUGCACAUCUCAAGGCACACGAGUCGACUAUGCUUCAGUCACCCAUCCACAGUCGAAUGGACAGGCAGAACGAGCCAACGGUUUGAUUCUCAAAGGGUUGAAGCCUCGUUUGAUGCGUGAUCUCAAGCAUGCGGCGGGUGCAUGGGUUGACGAACUUCCCUCGGUGCUUUGGGGGUUAAGGACCACACCCAACCGGUCGACUGGUAGAACUCCAUUCUUCUUGGUCUACGGAGCUGAAGCAGUCUUGCUGAGUGAUCUUCUCCACAACGCUCCCCCAGUCGAGCUCUACACCGAAGCUAGAGCAGAACAAGCGCGGCGGGACGCCAUCGACCUUUUAGAAGAAGAAAGAGAGAUGGCUCUGAUCAGAUCGACCAUUUAUCAACAAGACUUGCGUCGCUUCCACGCCAAAAACGUGAAGAGUCGAGCCUUCCAGGAAGGAGAUUUAGUUCUCCGAGUGGACCAGCAGAAACCACACAAGCUUGCUCCUUCUUGGGAAGGUCCCUUCAUCGUCACCAAGGUUCUCCACAAUGGAGCAUACCGUCUUUACAAUGUCGAGCAUCAGAUCAACGAGCCCCGAGCUUGGAACGCGGAGCUUCUCCGCCCCUUUUACACUUAAGUAUUCACUCGGAUGAGUUGUAAUAAAAGUACUCCUGUAGUUUAUUUAUCAAAGACAAGAGCUUUAUAGUUUUCCCAGUGAUUCUUAUUGCUUUUGUCCAUAUAAAACAAUCCCCCAGUGGGUGGCUUGACUGCGAAUCCGAUUCGCCCAAGUCUGUAAAAAAAAUCCUAACCGAGUGGCGAGCCAGUGUCCCACACGAAGGCUUAGCUGCGAAAUCCGUUUCGCCUAAGAUAAAUGAAAUCCUACCGAGUGGUAAGCCAGCCUUCCACUCGGAGGCUUAGCUGCAGUCCGAGUACUCGCCUAAGAUAAAUAAAAUCCUACUGAGUGGUAAGUCAGCCUUCCGCUCGGAGGCUUAGCUGCAGUCCGAGUACUCGCCUAAGAUAAAUAAAAUCCUACCGAGUGGUAAGCCAGCCUUCCACUCGGAGGCUUAGCUGCAGUCCAAGUACUCGCCUAAGAUAAAUAAAAUCCUACCGAGUGGUAAGCCAGCCUUCCACUCGGAGGCUUAGUAGCAGUCCAAGAACUCGCCUAAGUACAAGUACAACAUGCGUUCUGCAAGGAGGACGAGGUGCAGGUCGACUGCUACCCUCUCCUUCCGAGCUACGCCACCAAUUCAAAAAUCCUACCGAGUGGAGAGCAGACCUCCCACUCGGGGGCUUAGCUGCAGCCCAGUGCUCGCCUAAGUGUCUGAAACCCUACCGAGUGGAGAGCAGACCUCCCACUCAGGGGCUUAGCUGCAGCCCAGUGCUCGCCUAAGUGUCUGAAAUCCUAUCGAGUGGAGAGCAGACCUCCCACUCGGGGGCUUAGCUGCAGCCCAGUGCUCGCCUAAGUUUCUGAAAUCCUACCNNNNNNNNNNNNNNNNNNNNNNNNNNNNNNNNNNNNNNNNNNNNNNNNNNNNNNNNNNNNNNNNNNNNNNNNNNNNNNNNNNNNNNNNNNNNNNNNNNNNNNNNNNNNNNNNNNNNNNNNNNNNNNNNNNNNNNNNNNNNNNNNNNNNNNNNNNNNNNNNNNNNNNNNNNNNNNNNNNNNNNNNNNNNNNNNNNNNNNNNNNNNNNNUCCUACUCGGGGGCUUAGCUGCAGCCCAGUGCUCGCCUAAGUUUCUGAAAUCCUACCGAGUGGAGAGCAGACCUCCCACUCAGGGGCUUAGCUGCAGCCCAGUGCUCGCCUAAGUUUCUGAAAUCCUACCGAGUGGAGAGCAGACCUCCCACUCAGGGGCUUAGCUGCGGCCCAGUGCUCGCCUAAGUGUCUGAAAUCCUACCGAGUGGAGAGCAGACCUCCCACUCGGGGGCUUAGCUGCAGCCCAGCGCCCGCCCAAGUGUCUGAAAUCCUACCAAGUGGAGGGCAAACCUCUCGCUCGGGGACUUAGCUGCAGCCCAGAGCUCGCCUAAGUGAAUUGGGGAACAAGUCGAUGGCAAUAAGCGCUUCGCUUUAACCUGCAAAAGACGCCUCAAACCAAAUGCAAACAUAUUCAGCGAAGAACCCAAGUUCGGAUAACACCUAGCGGAACCGAAAGUGCUCAGGCGCUAGGCCUGUUAACGUUUGUCGGUUACAAAACUCACUCGGCAUACCGAGGCAAAUUUAAAGUAUCAAGCUCAGAAGAUUUUUACCCCUCCUGUGGAGGGCUGGAAGGUGCCACAAACUCGUCCAGAUCAAUUCCAUCUGCAAUCCGAGUGGCAGCGGCAAUGAAGGUCUCCAUGAAAGAUCUGAAAUCGUGCUUCUUGGUGUUGGCCACCCUAAGAGCCACUAGCUUGUCCUCUCGUGCAUCCUUGAAGUGAACACGGACCAGAGAUAGAGCAACAUCCGCGCCGCACCUGGCCGAAGACUUCUUCCACUCCUGCACUCGACUUGGGACCUCGUUCAGUCGAGUCAUCAGAGACUCGAGGUCGUUCUGGAGUGUCUCUCUUGGCCAGAGUGUUGUGUCGAUGUGGGAAGUUGCGACCUUCAGCCUUGCGAGAUAAUCGAUGACGGCAGCAACACGAGAUUCAAGUCGGAGCACGUUCAUGGCGACUUCAUCUUUCACAGGAGAGUUGAUGGGGUCCAGGUUUACUUCCAGUCGACCAGUCUCCUCUUCAAAGUUCUGACAAAAUUCUGCAAGCACAACCACCGAGUCAAGACAAACAGUCAGAGGUUACAAUUAAAAUAUUUGUUUGAUACAAAGGAUUACCUUCAACCAUGAGGAACAACUUCUUGGCGAGUCCACCCAGAUAAGCCUCUAGAUCAUUCUUCUUUCUCUUCAACUCGCUGGCCUUGUCAUUCAGGGUGGUCUUGUCGCUUUUCAGUCGAGUGACCUCCUGGUUGGCAGCAUCAAGAGCAGCUUUCAGAUUGGUGUUUUCUUCUUCAAGCUUAGUCACCGAAGCCAGCUUCUCAUCCACUAGCCUGGUCUUCUCUAAAGCAGUUUUUUGCAUCUCAGCCAAGUCAAGCUCUUGUUUCUUCAGGGUGUCCCUCACUUUGCCUACAAAGUUACAGUGAGAUUAGAUUCGGAAACAAGUGAGAGGCAAAGGCAGUCGUCAAAGGCCUCACCAAGCAUACCUUUAGCUUCCUCCUUCGCCUUCAUCAAGUUCUCUUGGGCCAGUUUCAGAUCGAGCUCGAGCUGAAUGUGUUUGGUCUCCAACUCAGUAUAACGAGCCGCAAGGUCACAUGAUUUCUACGAAGAAUCAAUCGACAGACGUCAAAGACAAUUCACUUCUGAGUGAGUAAGGAAAAAUCAUAGCGUUUCUAAGACUACGGUCGAAUGCAAACAUUCCACUAUAGUCUCGGGGACUACACCCAGUGGGUGCACUCAGCGUGCCCCCACUAGUUUCAUCAAGAGUUGACCAGUCGACCAACAAAAAAAAGAGGCAAUGUUCUUUAGACUAUAGUCGACUGCCAGCAGUCGACCACAGUCUCGGGGACUACACCCAGUGGGUGCACUCAGCGUGCCCCCACCGGUCUAUGAAUCUAUUCGACCUUGUCGAGUAAAGAAAAACUCAAAGCAUAAAGACUAUGGUCGACUGCCAGCAGUCCACCAUAGCCUUGGGGACUACACCCAGUGGGUGCACUCAGCGUGCCCCCACUAACCCGGAAUUCCAAUCGACACACCCACUGGGUGCAGGACAAACUCUGAGAAUUGCAGAAAGAAGAGUUUACAGAUAUCAUAUCCUAACAGAACAGGCAGUGACCGACUGACCUGAACAUUACCAUGAAGAGCUGAACUAGCGUCAUAGGCUGCCUGGCUAGCUUCUCGUAUCGCCUUCACUUGCUCCAUCAUGACCCCCACUUGGCGUAUCACUUCUCUAGCAGCACUGGCUUGGUCUUCUGGAACGGGGUAGGUGGAGAAAAGCGAGGGUUGAGCAGCACUCGACGACGAAGGGCGAGCACUCGUCAACGGCACCAUGAAGGUUACGGUGGGUCGAGUGACAUUGUCUCCCUCCACGACGAACGUCUCGGGUGCUGGCACAUCUCGAGUCACCUUGCGAGCAGGCGUUUUCUUGCUCCUCCUUUGCCUCGGUGGUUCUUCGUCGUCGUCGUCAGGAAGGUCAAUAACAAUGUUAGAUGAAGCUGCAAAAGGAAUCAAAAUUAGAGACAAUAAGUCAGUCGACUGAAAAUGGCAUCACAAGAAUCAUACCAGGUUGUGAGGUAGCAGCAUCCUCCAUCUCGUGGUCUUCAGCCUUGGUCGAAGUAUCAGAAGUAGCAGUGCUGCAGUUCUGGAAAUCAGUCGAUUGACCCAUGAGUCGACCAAGAGAAAGUUUACGAAACGGGGAAAACUCAAGACUACCAUUACCCUGAGAUAGUGGGGAUCACCUUCUUCAUCUUCGGCAAGACCUUCGCAGGUUUCGACGGUGCCACUCGAGACUGAUUUGGAGCUUUCUCAGUCGGCGCCGGAGAAGUAGUCCGAGGGCGCUUGGUCGACUGGGUAGCGGUCACAACCCCUUUACCACGCUCAGUCGCGGGGUCAUGAACAAGCUUCGAGUGUCUUUCCGAGCGGGGUGGUGCAACUUCCUCCUCCUCCUCCUCCUCUUCCUCCUCAUCAGAGUCGUCAGCCUCAUCAUCGUCGUCAGCAUCCGAAUCCCACUCCUCCGGGCUCUCGCCCCCACUUCCUUCCUCCUCCUCAAUCGGCGUCUGCGCUCCAUUGGGCAUCGAGUAUAACUCCGUGGUGGCCUGACAAGCAACAAAGCAAAAUGAAUAUCACUCGAUCAAUUCACAGCAAAGCAGAAUGGAUAAAACAAAAUUACACUUGGAGAUAAGCGGCCAUACCUUGUCCGGUGUAUAGGUACAGUCGAGUGGCGGGAUCCUCCUCGCUCCUUGAGGGUUGUCCUUGUUCCCUGUGAUGGUGGUCACCCACCUCUCCAGCGUGGCAUCGUCGACUGCCUCUGGAUGGACCCGAGUGGUGUCUUCGGUACCGCAGUACAGCCACAUCAGGUGGCCUCGGUACUGGAGCGGUUGGAUGUGCCGCCUAAGGAAGACUUCCAGAAGAUCCAUGCCCGUCACUCCGUCCCGAACGAGUUGGACCAUGUGCUCCACCAACAUUUUUACCUCGGCCUUCUCCUCAGGGAGCACCUUCAGAGAAGACGGUUUGUUCACUCGGUCCAUGGAGAACGGAGGGAGACCAGUCGACUGCCCCGGUGUCGACUCGUCUUGGCAGUAGAACCAAGUCGACUGCCACCCUCUGAUCGACUCAGGAAGGGUCAUGGCCGGGAAAGUGCUCUUAUUCCUCAACUGAAUCCCAAGACCCCCGCACAUCUAAAUGACCUUGGUCCUCUCAUCGUCCGGACUCGCCUUUUUCACUGUCUGUGAGCGACAGGUGAAUAUGUGCUUGAAGAGACCCCAGUGUGGACGACAAUGUCAGGACCCCGACUCGAUGUCACAUCGAUCUAGCCGGUAACACCUCAUAUCACUUUGCGGCCUCACGCACGGUAUCCCCACGGGUGUCGCCUUACCUUUGCCCGGGACCGUUUGCGCCUUUUGGCUCACGUAUAUGAUAGUGUCGCUAGCAUCCAUAUGAUAAAGAGCCCGGGCUGACAUGACUAGUCGUAAACCCAAAGUGGCACAGACUUACAGGGACAGGCAUCCAUGACCCAGCUUCGAACGUGUCGGUCAUCAGCAAGUGGGUCCGGGCUGUAGCACUGGGCUAGCAGGACUCCGGUAAACCGGGCUGUAGCGGGCUAACAGGACUCCGAUACUCAAAGCGUGACAUUUCCCCGAAGGGACAGACACAGGAACGAAGAAGGACACAUGCCGGCCAGCCUAAGUGUUCCAGAGCAGUAGCAAGCUACCAUGGCUCAGCGGUAACACUAGGAGACAUUUCCCGGUAAGAGAGGCUACUAAAGAUAAACAACUAGAUAGUCAGAUCCCACACAUACCAAGCAUUUCAAUCAUACACACAAUAUGCUCGAUAUGUGCAAAUACAACGAAGCAUCACAACAUGACUCUACGACACAAGUACUUUAUUUAAGGCUCAGGGAGCCAUACAUAACAUACACGAAGGUACGGGUCUCACGACCCAACAUACAAGUCAUACAGUCAUACAAACCAGCAGCGGAAGUAACUUGUCUGAGUACAGACAACUAGUAAAAUAAAGGAGGCUUGGAAAGCCUAGCUAUACUACGUGGUCCUUCACAAGCUCAGGGUCACCACCUGGGUCUUUAGCCUAUUCGUUGAUGUCAACGUCUACAUAGAACCCAUCAGAAGGGGUUGCAGCGUCUUCUGUAAAAAUGUAGAUUAUAGCAACAUGAGUACAAAGGUACUCAGCAAGACUUACAUCAGAUCCUACAUACAUGCUUAGUAUCAAGAAGGGUUGGUGGAGUUAUUGCAGCAAGCCAGCUUUGACUCUUGGCUAGACUAUCCUACGAUACUCCAACUUGAAAUGGUUUUGCGCACACGAGUCCACUACUCACCACUUCAAUACACUACCGAGGAUCCACCUCCGUCUUCCUACGGAAGAGCCAUCCUCGGCACUCACACUUAUCUUGAGGCUUUUAGCAGUUUCCAUUUACUUGUCUAUGAACUGUAUAGGUAACCAAGUAGUCCUUUACCGCGGACGCGGCUAUUCGAAUAGAUCAUGUUAACCCUGCAGGGGUGUACUUCUUCAUACACGCUCUCACCACUUACCGUCGUUUACGCGACAUGUACUCGGCAACCUUCAAGCGGAAGCCCAACGUGGGUGUCGGCCACGACCUACCUAAUCACCUAAGCCUCCAGUCCAGGUUUAUCGCCUAUCCAGGUUCCAUCCGCAGGGAGUCCGGCCGAGGUUUCCCAUACGGCCCCGAACGAUGUGAACAGGGUUCCCGAGAUACCUAACGGGUAUUCGGUACACCGUGCCACGUACCUACCGCAUCACAGCCCACCCCUACGGUCAGCGCUGUCCACGGCCUCCAGUAGGCUACAAACACCAAAAACUACUUGCAACUCCUGGACGGAGAACUAGGGUGAAUAAGAAGCCGAGAGGGUCCAUUGGUUUCGUGCCCAAUGCAUGGUAGUAGCUGAUUCUUAAAUCACACAUACAGAUCUCAGUGCUUAAGGUCGGCUUCAAUGAAACAACCCACCAUGUACUCCUACAUGGCCUCUCAUCGAUACCUUUACCAAAUCGUGUUCACCACACCACUCUCAUUACCGACAUAAUCAUUUCACUCUAGCCCAUCACCCAGAUGAACCAGACCUGACACGACUCUAAGCAUAGCAGGCAUAGCAAGGUAGGAACAACACAUACAUAUGGCUCAAUCAACUCCUACACAUGCUAGUGGGUUUCAUCUAGUUACUGUGGCAAUGACAGGUCAUGCAGAGGAAAUGGGUUCAACUACCGUAGCACACAGCAGUUUGAAUCGCGUUGUCUUAAUGCAGUAAAGGGAGAGCAGGAGCGAGAACAUGGGAUUGUAUCGAUAUGAUCAAAUGGUUGGUUGCUUGCCUGAUGGUUUGAUGCACUGAUACGGUUCUUCGUUAGGGUAAUCGCGGUACUCCUCGGAGGCAGAACCUGUCGCAAAGGACACCGACACACAACCAUCACCAAACAAUGUGCAACAAUAUGAUGCAUGCAUGAAACAUAGCAAUAUGAGUGUGUUGGGCUAAUGCAACUAAAACCAGAAGGGUUUGAACAAAUUUGAAUCAAGGAUUCAAAUUUCAAAGUCAAAUAUGGCCUUUUAAAGUGCUUUUCCUUGUUCUGCUUGAAACAUCAAUUUAACUUGUUUGAUCAUGCAUGAAAAUAGUACAGAUGGAUAGAUUGGAUUUUUCUGGUCAUUUUUCAUAUAUAAUUUGUCCAAUUUGGAGUUACAGAAUAAAAGUUAUGAAUUUUUAAAGUUUAAAUAAUAUUCUGGAAUUUCCUGAUUUAAAUUAAAUCCAGAAAAUCAAUUACUGCGUCAGCCUGACGUCAGUGUGACGUCAGCAGGUCAACGGAACAGGUCUGGGUCAAACCUGACAAUGGGUCCCGCAUGUCAGGGUGAUUAUUUUAAUUAAGAUUUAAUUAAAACUAAUCCUGUAUAAUUAACAGGGCUGGGCCCCACCUAUCAUUGACUCAGGGAAGUCAACCAGGGCCCACCCGGUCAAAGUCAAAGCCAGCGACGCCGGCGUUUAGCCGCCGGCGAGCCAGACGCGGCGGCGGGAGUGGUUUUGGCCAUUUCGGCCACCAAAGGGGCCGCGGAGACCACCGGAGUGGAGCUGAGGACAAACCGCAGCUCUUGGCGGAGUCCGUUGGGGUCGGGGUGGCCGGAGUUGGCGCCGGCGAUGACUUUGGCGGCCACCGGGGUUCGGUCGAAGAUGAACUUGGCGCUAGAGGGGUCGGUGAGGCUCGUGGAGUGGCUAGCUAGGUGCUGCGGGACUCGGUGAGUAAGAUGGACACCAUCUUGUGGCCGGAGUGUGGCCGGAAGCACGUCGGCGACGAGGUCCGCGACGGCGCGUGCGGGUGAGCUUGGUUUGCUCGCUGUGGUGCACGAGAGAGAGAAAGAGAGGAAGGGGAAGUUAGCCCAGCUCACUGCGGUCUUGAUGGAGAGGACGGCGUGGUCGGGGACGAGCUGCUGCGGCGGCGACAGCGAAGGGGAUCUCCGGCGAUGGCGGUUCGGGCGAGGUUGGUGCGGCGGCUUCGAGGCACGCGAGCGCUCGGGGCUCGACUAGCUCGAAGAAGUAGAGGACGGCGGAGCUUCUGGACACGGUGGCGCGGCGUGGAGACGAAGGGGAGCACGGCUACGGCGGAGGUGCGGCGACGGUGGCGUCAGCCAUGACGUGGGAGCGCGAGGGAGAGGAACUAGGGCGAAUGGAGGUGUCCAGGAGGGUUGGGGCGCGACGUGGAGCUCGUCCAGGCCAUCAGGGCGGCGAGAGGGGGAGGCAGGGCAGCGUGCAGCUGCGUGGCGAGCUGCGGUGCCGCCGCCGAGCACCUUGGCUGCCUGCCUGGCAAGCCAAGCAGCUCGCUGGAGCGGUGGCCGGGCUGGGCCGGCCAGGUGGGCUGGCUGGUGGGCCUGUGGUGGCGCCAGGUAAGUUUUCCCCUUUUUUUCUGUUUCUGUUUUUAUUUAAUAUAUCUGCAACUUUGUUGAAUUUAAUAAAAUACCUAGGCAACUUCAAAAAUCACCAAACUAUUCCUGGCCCAUAGUUGGAUUAUUUCCAACAUGAAACAUUUUAGUUUGGAGAUAUUUGAGCAUUUAAAUAUUUUAUAUUAUUUUAAAUGCCCAAAUUCAAAUAUUUAUGAUUUAAUUCAAAAACCCUAGGAUGGCCUAGGAAAAUGUGCACCACUUUUGGCAGGGGUUCUGAACCAAAACAAAAAUGAUGGGCAUUUUAGAAGGGCAUUUCAGGUUCAUUGAAAAUUAUUUUAGUAACCCUAGUUGGUUUCAGAGGGGACUGGGGGUUCUGUCAUCCCCAUUUCAAGUUUCUGAUGAAAGAGUAAACAUGAUGCAACACUCUAAUGCAUGACUAGCUAGGGUGUGACAACUCACCCCCACUCAAAAGAAUCUCGUCCCGAGAUUUGGGUUCCUCCGGGAAGAAGGCGGGGUACUCAAGUCGAAGACGAUCCUCCCUUUCCCAAGUUGCUUCAUCCUCAGAAUGGUGCGACCAUUGAACUUUGAGAAACUUGAUAUUAUGACGUCGGGUGGUACGCUCGGCCUGAUCGAGGAUACGAAUGGGGUACUCUCGAUCUGUAAGAUUAUCCUGGAGAUCAAGCGUUUCGUGGUCCACUUCACGGAUAGGAUCCGAGAAGCAACGCCUGAGUUGAGAAACGUGGAAGACAUCGUGGACUCUGGAGAGAUGCGGAGGUAGUUCCAGCUGGUAGGCAACUUCUCCUCGUUUGGCGAGAAUGCAAAAAGGUCCAAUGUAACGAGGAGCCAAUUUGCCUUUGAUACCGAAACGAUGGGUUCCCUUCAGAGGGGUGACCCGAAGAUAAGCCUUCUCGUCAACCUCGAAAGUCAUAGCCUUAUGUUUUCGGUCAUAUUGACUCUUUUGACGAGAUUGGGCUGUUUUCAACUUUUCAGGAACGAUGCGAACUUGUUCUUCUGCUUCCUGAAUCAUAUCCGGGCCAAAGAAUUGUCUUUCCCCGGUCUCUGACCAGUUAAGGGGUGUUUGACACCGUCGUCCAUAGAGAACUUCAAAAGGGGCUUUACCCAAGCUAGAUUGAUAGCUGUUGUUGUAAGCGAAUUCGGCAAAUGGAAGGCACUUCUCCCAGUCCAUUCCGAAUGAGAUAACAGAGGCUCGAAGCAUGUCUUCUAGAAUCUGGUUGACGCGUUCCACUUGACCACUCGACUGAGGGUGGAAGGCGGUGCUAAAGGAGAGACGGGUUCCCAUAGCAUUUUGGAAACUUUCCCAAAAUCGAGAGGUGAAAAGACUUCCUCGAUCCGAGUUAAUUUCCAAAGGAACACCAUGGAGAGACACUAUUCGGGAGAUGUAUAAGUCUGCCAGCUGACUAGCGGUUAUACUAUCACGAACAGGUAAGAAAUGGGCUACUUUGGAAAGACGAUCGACCACGACGAAAAUAGCAUUAUUCCCUCUCUUGGUCCUGGGAAAACCGGUAAUGAGAUCCAUACCAAUUUUAUCCCAUUUCCAUUCAGGGAUAGCUAGGGGUUGAAGGGUGCCAGCAGGCCGUUGAUGCUCUGCUUUUACACGACGACAGACGUCGCAAUUAGCAAUAUACUGAGCAAUUUCUCUCUUCAUCCUAGUCCACCAGAACCUCUGGCGUAGGUCCUGAUACAUCUUAGUACUACCGGGAUGAAUGGUGAGAGGAGAUUCAUGAGCUUCCUUAAGGAUCAAACGCCUCAGGUUUCGCACUUUGGGAACCACUAGUCGAUUCCCGAAGUAUACGACCCCUUGAUCAUUAAUGGAGAAGCAAUUCGCAAUUCCUUUCCGAAUGUUUCUCUUGAUGCGGGAGAUUCCCGGAUCUACCUUCUGUGCCUUGAUAAUCUGAUCCGUAAGGGUAGGUUUUGCCACCAAGGUGGAGAGAAAACCUUGAGGUACAAUGUGAAGGUUAAGCUUCCGAAAUUCCUCAUGGAGAAGCGGUUGACUUUGUUGUAACAUCAGGUUGUUACAAUAAGAUUUACGACUUAGCGCAUCGGCCAUGACGUUGGCUUUUCCUGGGGUGUAGGUUAUCCCUAAAUCGAAGUCUGUGAUCAACUCAACCCAACGUCUUUUCCUGAGAUUCAAAUCCGGUUGGGUGAAAAUGUACUUUAGACUUUGGUGAUCAGUGAAUAUUUCGCAACGGUUACCCAGGAGGUAAUGUCGCCAGGUCUUAAGUGCAUAGACUACGGCUGCAAGUUCUAGAUCAUGAGUAGGAUAAUUCUCCUCAUGUGGGUGCAAUUGCCGUGAAGCGUAGGCAAUUACGUGUCGAUCUUGCAUGAGAAUGCAACCUAGUCCUUGUCGCGAGGCGUCGCAGUAGAUAACAAAGUCCUUGGAGAAGUCUGGCGGUACCAGUACGGGAGCAGAAGUCAGGCGUCUUUUCAGUUCCUGAAAGCUGUGCUCACAUUGUGGAGUCCACUCGAACUUCUUAUCUUUCUUGAGGAGUUCGGUUAGAGGUUUGGCAACCUUGGAGAAGUUCUCGACAAAGCGACGACAAUAGCUUGCUAAGCCUAGAAAACUCCAAACUUGCUUGACCGAUUCAGGUGGAGUCCAAAUAAGGACGGCUUGAACUCGCUCAGGGUUAACAGCAAUACCUUUACCAGAUAUUACAUGACCCAGAUAGGUCACUUCUGACAACCAGAAUUCACAUUUAGAAAAUUUGGCAUAAAGGCGAUGCUCUCGAAGUUUCUUCAACACUAGCCUUAGAUGUUCGGCAUGUUCUUCCUCGUUCUUGGAGUAGAUGAGUAUAUCAUCGAGGUAAACCACGACGAAUUUAUCCAAAUACUCCAUGAAGAUUGAGUUCAUUAACCGAGAAAAGGUGGCUGGAGCGCUGGUUAAACCGAAGGACAUGACGGUGUACUCGUAUUGGCCAUAACGGGUAACAAAGGCCGUUUUAGGAAUGUCCCCGUUUCUGAUUUUGAUUUGAUGGUAGCCCAGCCUCAAAUCCAUCUUGGAGAAGACUGAGGAUCCAGCGAGCUGAUCAUACAGGUCGUUGAUCCUGGGAAGCGGAUAUUUGUUCUUGAUUGUGACCAAAUUGACAGGUCGGUAAUCUACAACCAUCCGGUCCGUACCAUCCUUCUUCUUGACGAAUAGGACGGGGCAAGCCCACGGAGAUGAACUAGGUCGGAUGAAACCCUUUUUCAAGGACUCAUCGAGUUGUUUCUUAAGCUCGGCUAGUUCUAGGGGUGCCAUCUUAUAAGGUCUUCUAGCAAUCGGAACGGUUCCUGGAAUGAGGUCUAUUACGAACUCAACAUCCCUGUCAGGUGGAACACCUGGCAAUUCCUCUGGGAAGACAUCCGGGAAGUCACGGACUACCGGAACGUCCUCAAGGUCUGGCAAAGGGCUGGCGUUAAGAGAAUAUAAUUGUCGCUUGGCUAUUCGGGUCAAGACAUUGACUAUCUUCCCCGAAGGAUGAGUAAGUUGAACAGUCCUAGAGAAGCAAUCAAUUUUGGCUUGAUGAGCUGACAUCCAGUAGAUACCCAAAAUGAUAUUAAUAUCUGAAGAUUUAAGGGCUAUCAAGGAUGCGAGGAAAACAAGUCUGUCGACUUGGAUUUCAUUUCCAUGGCUUACUCUAGAAGUUUGCCAUUUGGAUCCCGGAGUUUGAAUUACCAUAGAGGUUGGCAUAUCACCGAAUGCGACGUUGUGCAAACGAGCAUAGUUUUCAGAUAUAAAAGAAUGAGAGGCUCCUGUAUCGAAAAGAACAGAUGCCGGGUGGCAAUUAACAAGAAGCGUACCGAGAACGACGUUGGGAUCCUCUUGAGCUUCUUCGGCAGAGAUACAGUUGACAUGGCCACGUGAAGCGGUGACCGGUUUGGCGUGGAAUUUUUUUCCUGUCGGCUUGCCAUGGCCAACAGCUUUAGCAGAUUGAUUGGGGUUGGUCUGGGGACACUCACGCAUAUAGUGACCAGAUUCCCCACACUUGAAACAAGUCACGGAACUGGUACGUGGAGGAGCAUUAUUGGUUGGACCCCCAUAGGGCUUGGCCGGUGCAGACUGUUGAACGGGGCGAGGCGCCUGGAAGGAUGGCCUCGGUGUGAACCUGGGUGGCAGGGCGGUGUUAGGUACCCACACGCGGCGCUUCUGAGGACCAGCACCGGAUGAGGAACCCAUUUCGCGGCCGUGCUUGCGUGUUGCGUCAUAGUCAGUCUGACCAGUUUCAGCACUGAUGGCUUUGUUGACAAGUUUCUGAAAAGAUGUGCACUCAUGCAGACGGAGGUCGCGGCGAAGCUCAGGACUAAGGCCCUUACGGAACCUUGAUUGCUUCUUGGCAUCGGUAGACACUUCCUCAGUUGCAUAUCAUGCGAGAUUACCAAACUCCCUGCUGUAAACAUCCACAGAAAGUCGGCCUUGGGUGAAACUGCAAAAUUCUUCACGUUUGCGGUCCAUGAGACCCUCCGGAAUAUGAUGCUCACGGAAAGCCUCGCUGAUCUCAGCCCAAGUAGUGACAUGGCCCGCUGGGCGCAUAGCUCCAUAAUUUUCCCACCAUAGACUGGCGGGGCCUUCAAGAUGAUAUGCAGCAAAGGUGACCUUGUCAGCCUCCGCUACCAGCGUGGAACGCAGUUUAUGAGAGAUACCGCGAAGCCAGUCAUCAGCGUCGAGAGGCUCGACGGAGUGGUGGAACGUGGGUGGAUGUAAUUUGAUAAAAUCACUGAGUGACACCACGUUAGUCCUCUGAUGGUGUGCCGUGUUCUGUUCAAUACGCUCCAACAAACGGUUGGUCUCCCGCUUGUUUCUCUCAGCUUCCAUCAUAACCUCGGCUAGUGAAGGAGGAUGAGGCAGAUUUGCAUCCCUGACUUCACUGCCUUCGGCUUGCUCUUGAGAAGCAGGGUUGGCGCGCGUGUUGACCAUCCUAGGUAAACAAGACAAUGAUUUAGUCAGAAUGAUAAAAUUCCGACAUAGGAUACAGAAUGUAAGGAAUAGUUCGGAAUGCAAGAUGAUCAUCCGUAUGACAUGGUAAAUACAGAAACUGCUUCUUUAUUCCAUCAUCAUACACACCAUACAGGGUUUAGUACAAGACCAAACAAAGUACUAUUACGGUGAAAGAGGAUUACAUCUCAUCGGAGGCAUUCCAAGCUCCUAUACAUUAUUUUUCUACACCUCCGGAAGGAGUACAAACUAGGUCAUAUCCCACGAGUCAUGCGGGACGAUAGACGACACAGCUAGUGCGAACUAGUGAUACUACCACUAACUCAGACCGAUCCGUAGUAGUCCUUGUAGAAGUCACCUCCAUAGCCUGGAAGCUCAACAUGGUCAUCCGGAAACAGACGAUCUCGCGGAGCUUGUGGGCCAUAGGGGCUAGGAUGAGGUCGUGGACCAACAGACGGUGGCCUGCGGGGACCGCGAGGUGGGGUGAUGCCUCCUACAUCACGCCAAACCAUCACGUCUGGCAGAGCAGAUCUCACAGGAUAGAGAUCGCGCAUAUCUGAAUAUCCAGCUUGCACCGCCGGUGCGAACCGAGUCAAAGUGGCCCAGUGGUCAGCACGGGUAUUGAAAAGCUCUAACCUCAAAGCCCGAUUUUCACGGUCCUUAUCCUCGAGCAUCUCAGCAGUGGUGCGAGUCCGUGAAUCCUCCUGAGUGGGGUCAGCAUAAAUAGCCUGGAGAUACCCUUGUGCUCCCGGAAGUGAUCCUGACAUAUACCGGAAAUCAGAGUCCCGAAAUAGACCAGAUCUGACUCGCAUAAUGGUCAUCAUAGAGUAGGCGGCGUCCUGCACAGCCAUCUCAAUAGUAACCCCGAGUCCAUAGGAGCAGUGAAGAGGCUCGGUGGAUCCAGGAUAAGAUGGAAAUAUCCUGACAGUGCAGAGAUACUGGCUUUGAUUAAAGUCUCGGAAUUUCUCUUCGACCGUGUACUCAGGAUACCAACGGUAUCCAGCCUCAGUCAUUCCCCUGACCAACUUGGCAGUAUGGCCGGGUACAUCUAGGCAUCGAGUCAGGCGAACCACUUGAUUGAGGUCGCGAGUGGCCAUCUGAAAGAACAAUCAUAAUGCAAGGGCAUUAGAAUUUCUAGCAAAAUUUCGGCAGCAUAACAGCUGUAAAUGCUCAAGAAGGAUUUUGAGACAUUUGACAAAGGAUUUUGUACACCCUCAACAUCAUCAUAUCAAAGUUCUGAAUCCAUUCUAACAACAUAAUGUGGUAGUAGAACUGAACUAGGCUUGUAUCCAUCAAACUUAUAAGGUACUACUGAUUAGUAACCCAAAGUGGCACAGACUUACAGGGACAGGCAUCCAUGACCCAGCUUCGAACGUGUCGGUCAUCAGCAAGUGGGUCCGGGCUGUAGCACUGGGCUAGCAGGACUCCGGUAAACCGGGCUGUAGCGGGCUAACAGGACUCCGAUACUCAAAGCGUGACAUUUCCCCGAAGGGACAGACACAGGAACGAAGAAGGACACAUGCCGGCCAGCCUAAGUGUUCCAGAGCAGUAGCAAGCUACCAUGGCUCAGCGGUAACACUAGGAGACAUUUCCCGGUAAGAGAGGCUACUAAAGAUAAACAACUAGAUAGUCAGAUCCCACACAUACCAAGCAUUUCAAUCAUACACACAAUAUGCUCGAUAUGUGCAAAUACAACGAAGCAUCACAACAUGACUCUACGACACAAGUACUUUAUUUAAGGCUCAGGGAGCCAUACAUAACAUACACAAAGGUACGGGUCUCACGACCCAACAUACAAGUCAUACAGUCAUACAAACCAGCAGCGGAAGUAACUUGUCUGAGUACAGACAACUAGUAAAAUAAAGGAGGCUUGGAAAGCCUAGCUAUACUACGUGGUCCUUCACAAGCUCAGGGUCACCACCUGGGUCUUUAGCCUAUUCGUUGAUGUCAACGUCUACAUAGAACCCAUCAGAAGGGGUUGCAGCGUCUUCUGUAAAAAUGUAGAUUAUAGCAACAUGAGUACAAAGGUACUCAGCAAGACUUACAUCAGAUCCUACAUACAUGCUUAGUAUCAAGAAGGGUUGGUGGAGUUAUUGCAGCAAGCCAGCUUUGACUCUUGGCUAGACUAUCCUACGAUACUCCAACUUGAAAUGGUUUUGCGCACACGAGUCCACUACUCACCACUUCAAUACACUACCGAGGAUCCACCUCCGUCUUCCUACGGAAGAGCCAUCCUCGGCACUCACACUUAUCUUGAGGCUUUUAGCAGUUUCCAUUUACUUGUCUAUGAACUGUAUAGGCAACCAAGUAGUCCUUUACCGCGGACGCGGCUAUUCGAAUAGAUCAUGUUAACCCUGCAGGGGUGUACUUCUUCAUACACGCUCUCACCACUUACCGUCGUUUACGCGACAUGUACUCGGCAACCUUCAAGCGGAAGCCCAACGUGGGUGUCGGCCACGACCUACCUAAUCACCUAAGCCUCCAGUCCAGGUUUAUCGCCUAUCCAGGUUCCAUCCGCAGGGAGUCCGGCCGAGGUUUCCCAUACGGCCCCGAACGAUGUGAACAGGGUUCCCGAGAUACCUAACGGGUAUUCGGUACACCGUGCCACGUACCUACCGCAUCACAGCCCACCCCUACGGUCAGCGCUGUCCACGGCCUCCAGUAGGCUACAAACACCAGAAACUACUUGCAACUCCUGGACGGAGAACUAGGGUGAAUAAGAAGACGAGAGGGUCCAUUGGUUUCGGGCCCAAUGCAUGGUAGUAGCUGAUUCUUAAAUCACACAUACAGAUCUCAGUGCUUAAGGUCGGCUUCAAUGAAACAACCCACCAUGUACUCCUACAUGGCCUCUCAUCGAUACCUUUACCAAAUCGUGUUCACCACACCACUCUCAUUACCGACAUAAUCAUUUCACUCUAGCCCAUCACCCAGAUGAACCAGACCUGACACGACUCUAAGCAUAGCAGGCAUAGCAAGGUAGGAACAACACAUACAUAUGGCUCAAUCAACUCCUACACAUGCUAGUGGGUUUCAUCUAGUUACUGUGGCAAUGACAGGUCAUGCAGAGGAAAUGGGUUCAACUACCGUAGCACACAGCAGUUUGAAUCGCGUUGUCUUAAUGCAGUAAAGGGAGAGCAGGAGCGAGAACAUGGGAUUGUAUCGAUAUGAUCAAAUGGUUGGUUGCUUGCCUGAUGGUUCGAUGCACUGAUACGGUUCUUCGUUAGGGUAAUCGCGGUACUCCUCGGAGGCAGAACCUGUCGCAAAGGACACCGACACACAACCAUCACCAAACAAUGUGCAACAAUAUGAUGCAUGCAUGAAACAUAGCAAUAUGAGUGUGUUGGGCUAAUGCAACUAAAACCAGAAGGGUUUGAACAAAUUUGAAUCAAGGAUUCAAAUUUCAAAGUCAAAUAUGGCCUUUUAAAGUGCUUUUCCUUGUUCUGCUUGAAACAUCAAUUUAACUUGUUUGAUCAUGCAUGAAAAUAGUACAGAUGGAUAGAUUAGAUUUUUCUGGUCAUUUUUCAUAUAUAAUUUGUCCAAUUUGGAGUUACAGAAUAAAAGUUAUGAAUUUUUAAAGUUUAAAUAAUAUUCUGGAAUUUCCUGAUUUAAAUUAAAUCCAGAAAAUCAAUUACUGCGUCAGCCUGACGUCAGUGUGACGUCAGCAGGUCAACGGAACAGGUCUGGGUCAAACCUGACAAUGGGUCCCGCAUGUCAGGGUGAUUAUUUUAAUUAAGAUUUAAUUAAAACUAAUCCUGUAUAAUUAACAGGGCUGGGCCCCACCUGUCAUUGACUCAGGGAAGUCAACCAGGGCCCACCCGGUCAAAGUCAAAGCCAGCGACGCCGGCGUUUAGCCGCUGGCGAGCCAGACGCGGCGGCGGGAGUGGUUUUGGCCAUUUCGGCCACCAAAGGGGCCGCAGAGACCACCGGAGUGGAGCUGAGGACAAAUCGCAGCUCUUGGCGGAGUCCGUUGGGGUCGGGGUGGCCGGAGUUGGCACCGGCGACGACUUUGGCGGCCACCGGGGUUCGGUCGAAGAUGAACUUGGCGCUAGAGGGGUCGGUGAGGCUCGUGGAGUGGCUAGCUAGGUGCUGCGGGACUCGGUGAGUAAGAUGGACACCAUCUUGUGGCCGGAGUGUGGCCGGAAGCACGUCGGCGACGAGGUCCGCGACGGCGCGUGCGGGUGAGCUUGGUGUGCUCGCUGUGGUGCACGAGAGAGAGAAAGAGAGGAAGGGGAAGUUAGCCCAGCUCACUGCGGUCUUGAUGGAGAGGACGGCGUGGUCGGGGACGAGCUGCUGCGGCGGCGACGGCGAAGGGGAUCUCCGGCGAUGGCGGUUCGGGCGAGGUUGGUGCGGCGGCUUCAGGGCACGCGAGCGCUCGGGGCUCGACUAGCUCGAAGAAGUAGAGGACGGCGGAGCUUCUGGACACGGUGGCGCGGCGUGGAGACGAAGGGGAGCAUGGCUACGGCGGAGGUGCGGCGACGGUGGCGUCGGCCAUGACGUGGGAGCGCGAGGGAGAGGAACUGGGGCGAAUGGAGGUGUCCAGGAGGGUUGGGGCGCGACGUGGAGCUCGUCCAGGCCAUCAGGGCGGCGAGAGGGGGAGGCAGGGCGGCGUGUAGCUGCGUGGCGAGCUGCGGUGCCGCCGCCGAGCACCUUGGCUGCCUGCCUGGCAAGCCAAGCAGCUCGCUGGAGCGGUGGCCGGGCUGGGCCGGCCAGGUGGGCUGGCUGGUGGGCCUGUGGUGGCGCCAGGUAAGUUUUCCCCUUUUUUUCUGUUUCUGUUUUUAUUUAAUAUAUCUGCAACUUUGUUGAAUUUAAUAAAAUACCUAGGCAACUUCAAAAAUCACCAAACUAUUCCUGGCCCAUAGUUGGAUUAUUUCCAACAUGAAACAUUUUAGUUUGGAGAUAUUUGAGCAUUUAAAUAUUUUAUAUUAUUUUAAAUGCCCAAAUUCAAAUAUUUAUGAUUUAAUUCAAAAACCCUAGGAUGGCCUAGGAAAAUGUGCACCACUUUUGGCAGGGGUUCUGAACCAAAACAAAAAUGAUGGGCAUUUUAGAAGGGCAUUUCAGGUUCAUUGAAAAUUAUUUUAGUAACCCUAGUUGGUUUCAGAGGGGACUGGGGGUUCUGUCAUCCCCAUUUCAAGUUUCUGAUGAAAGAGUAAACAUGAUGCAACACUCUAAUGCAUGACUAGCUAGGGUGUGACAGACAACCCAGGAAAUUCUCACACAUGGACACAAAGGCAGCAAGAUAGGCGAUGGAAUUGGGAUUGAAAUGGUGGAGUUGCGCCCCAAAGAAAUUCAGGAACCCUCGGAAGAAAGCACUCGGCGGCAAAGAAAAUCCACGAUCUAUGUGAGUGGCCAAGAGAACGCACUCACCCUCCUGCGGCUGUGGUUGGCACUCGGUCCCCGGAGCCUCGCCGACCCAUGGGGGAUCAGUCCCUCAUUGGCCAGGUCGUUGAGGUCUUUCUCUGUGAUGGUCGAACGGAUCCAAUCCCCUUGGACCCAACCCUUCGGCAGGCAGGACCUCGACGAAGAUCCGCCCCGACUGGACGGUCUCCCCUUCGCUUGCCCCAUCACCGUAACCUUCUUCGCGCGCUCUAGGGCCGCCGUCUUCUCCUUCACCAUUGUCGCCAGCGAAGCACGCAAGAGGUGGGUAGGCAGAGCCGGGAGCAGGCACAGCAGGCGGAGGCAGAGAAGGAAGAGAGAAGAAUGGGAGGGCACUGUUCAAAAAACUCUCCCCCGGCGCUUUAUAUAAGGACGUUUCCGAGUGGCUGACGGGUGGGUCCGAGCGAUCCUGUCACAUCUUGAAACAGUCGCGCACGCAUGAUAUGUGGCGAAAAAGGCGGCACGGAGAUCGAGGCGUCCAUGCCUUAUCCCAUCCGAUUCCCGCGGGCCUCCCCGCUUCGCGCGCUUCCCAAAUUUCGGAUCCCGCAAAAUCCGCUAGCAGUAGAUCAGACUGUCAGACAAUAUCUUUCCCGCGAUCCGUCGCUCGGGAGUUCUCCAGAGUUCAAAAGUUCACUCGACAGAAGAUAAGAAUGGAUCAAGGCGACUGAAGUAAAAGUUGACGCCAACACCGAAAGAAAAAUCGCCAAUCCAAGAUACGACACAAUCAAAGCGCAAGAAAUGAGUCGGAGAAAAUCAUCAACUCCUUCCUCACUCGAACCUCGAUCCAUUCGGGGGCUAAUGAUGAGGAUAUGUACCUAGGGUAUGGUCAUAGACCUAUCUAGGAUACCAUACCCAAGGACAUCAUCAUACGAAGCUACCUUCCAGUCGACCAAGAGAAGCUCCACUCGACCAAGGGAGACUCCACUCGACCGGCUAGAAGACACUCGACCAUGAAGACGCACUCGACCAUCAGAAGUUCAAGAUCUAUGUUGUAUCCAAAUGGUCUGUAAAUAAGUAGUCUUAAUGGUCAUGAUGACACUUUAUGUAGGGUGUUACCAGUAACGCCCGGCUUAAUGUACUUUAACCCUCCUCUACGUGGGCUGGCUGGGGUCCUGGCGUCCUCUAUAUAAGCCACCCCCCUCCACUGGGAGAAGGGUUCGCACCCCUGUAACUCAUAUACACAGAGAUCAGUCGACCGCCUCCGGGCUCCGAGACGUAGGAUUGUUACUUCCUCCGAGAAGGGCCUGAACUCGCUAAUCACCCGUGUGUACAACUACUCCGUAGCUAGGACCUUGCCUUUCCAUACUUACCCCCCAUUCUACUGUCAGACUUAGAACCACGACACCGCCCGCUCCACGGCGAUCUGCUCCUCCGCCUGUAGGUGCUCCUGGAGGAGAGGCUGGUUGUAGGCAGCGUCGGCCUGCGCCUCCCAGAACUACUCCUCACGCAUCUGCCUCACCGUGUCCAUAGAUUGGGCACGGGCCUCACCGAUGAUCAUGGUGUAAUGCACCGGCGAGGAUGGCGUGGAGGAGGGGGUUGGCGCCGGAUCAUCGACUAUCAUGUUCUCCAUUGGGACGUCGUCGUCCUCCGGCUGCCUGCCGGCCAACCGGUCGGCAGCAAUGGCUGCCAUCUCCUUGUGGUCCGUCGUCCGCCCGUCCCGAAGAGCAGUGGAGCACGAGGAAGCCAUGGUGGGCAAUAGUGGUGUGGACAGGAGAAAGGGAACGGAUGCGGAUGACUGCGGCUAUGGCCGGCGCAGCAGUUUAUAUAGCAAUGGUGGGCGACGGAGGGACGGACGUGUGGCGCCGGAGUAGCCGUCUUGGCAACCGGUAUCAUUAAUGUGGGCGGCAGAUGGAUGGACGGACGGCACUUGUGUCGUUUGAAGGCAGAGCAAUCGCUUGCACCAGGAAGCGAGGCAGGCGGCGCUCACUGUUUCGGGUGGAAAGGGCGCGCGGGCGAGGAGAUGACUUUACUUGGGGACCCACCAGAGCCAUAGCCUCACGUACGCAAGUGCCUCCUUAUAUAUAUAUAUAUAUAUAUAUAUAUAUAUAUAUAUAUAUAUAUAUAUAUAUAUAUAACUACAAUUUAUUUUGCUUCCUCCUGGUUUCCUGACAUCACGGUCGCACACCAUAGUCAAUAAACAAGAGAAUUGCACAAGAAGCGGCCGACAGCUGGGACCAAGCAGCUCGAGCAGUAUUUGUGUUUUUGAGGUGUGAGCACUUCAGAGUUUUUUGAUGUUUAGCCCAGAUAUUAAUUUUUCUCCUCUGAACAACAACGAAAACAUCGCUGCAGGUAUUAACUGGGCGAGCUGUGGCCCAUCUAGCCCAGGCCAGAUAUCCAGCCCAGAUAUUAAUUUUUUUGAAGCUGAAAAUGGCUAACCCAGCUAUACUUUUUUUAGGAAUACCCAGGCAAGGUCAGGUUGUUAUUCUCCGCCCCGGUGGGCUGCAAAUCUUUCCUAGGAGGGAUGCAUUAGGCUUAACAAGAAAAUGGGCUUUAAGAAAUAAUAAAUGGGAUGUAAUUAUAAAAACUGGGCAGUAACUAUAAAAAAGUGCACCAAACACUUAAUUACUUUAUAAAAUAUUAUUUUUGGAUAUUGAAAAUUUUAAUUUCAUUAAUCGUUGCGAGCGCAAUGUUUCGUUGGAUUUUUAAGUAAUAUAAAUUUAUAUUGAAAUUAUAUUUAAUCUGACUAGAAAUUUUGGGAUAAAAAUAUUUCGGAUCCCAUCAAAAUGUGGGAAAUUUUAUUGAAUUCUGUUUCGAACAGUUGGUUGAAACGGGCUAUACUUUUAAUGAACUGUAAAUGGGCUGUAGUAAAUUUCAUUAGAAUUCAAAAAUGGGCUACACAUUCUUACAAAUCUUAAAUGGGCUAUAAGUUCUCUGCCACACACUUCUGGCCUUACUAAGUUGACGUGUCCCCUUAAAAGACAGAGUUGACGCGUAUGCAAGCCUUUGUCAACUUAUAGUCAACACACGGUUCUAGCAGCAGUGGCCAUUGGAUGUCCAUCCAACGGAUGACAUGCUUCUUCUUCAAUCUCGGAUAUUCUAGCUUCACCCGCCCAAAAAAUGAUUCCUCCCCCUAACAUCUGGGGUGCACCAUUUCGGAAGCUGGCCAGUGGGCCUACUAAGUUGACGUACCAAGGGCUUUGUCAACUUAGUCAAUAUAAACGAUUCUAGCUGCAGUGACUGUACGAUGUCCAUCUAACGGUUGUCGUGCUUCUUCAACCUCUGGUCUUCUUGCUCCAGCCGCCCAAAGCAGCGCCGGUCGUGCCGACUGCUCCUGCCUCCCGUGGCCGGCUGUGCUUCCGCGGAGGCCUCACCGCCCCCUACUACUCCCACCGCUGGCCAGCCCAUCCCUCCACUCACCCACACCCCCUGUUAUUCUGCGGUGAUGGCAGCGCAGCCGAACCAGUGAACCCUCGUACUCCUCUCCGUGUGUGCAUCCACGGCCACGUCUUCCCCGGCUCCGCGUCGUCCCCUUCCUAGGCCUCGCCAUCGUCCACCGCCGUGGUGCUCUCGGCGCGGCGUGGUCAGGGAACGACUUCCAUCGGACAUGGACUAUAUGUGGAGAUGCUGACAGCUGGGUCCACGACAGCUGCAAGGAAGUGCCUUCUUAUUAUGCGCAAAAUAAUUAUUCCUCCACUUGACAGUGGGGACCCACCGAACGGGCCACAGUAUUUCGCGAAAAAAAUGAUUCGCCCCCAGACUACUGGGACCCACCAGCUACAUCUUCACACGCAAAGAAGUGUGUUCGGGAAAAAAAUGAUUCGCCCCCCUGACUGCUAGGACCCACCAGCUACAUCUUCGCACGCAAGGAAGUGCGUCCGAAAAAACAAUUUGCCCCCUGACUGCUGGGACCCACCAGCUACACCUUCGCACGCAAGGAAGUGCGUGCGGGCAAAAAAACGAUUCGCCCCCCUGACUGCUGGGACCGAGUGGCUACACCUUCGCACGCAAGGAAGUGCGUCCGGGCAAAAAAAACACAAAACAAUUCGCCCCCCUGACUACUCGGACCCACCAGCUACAUCUUCGCACGCAAGGAAUUGCCUGACAGUCGGGACCCACCUGGUCAAAGCGUACGUAGCGUUGUCAUUCUGGUCGCAAACGUGUAUGUACAUAUAUACUGGUCGAUGUAGAGGCGCGCACAUGUCAUAGUAGAGGCGCGCACGUAGCAUGUACACGUACAGCGGCCAGGGUGCAAGAAAGAAAAUAGGGCCACAUAUAUGUACAUACGGGCGGGGUCUCGAACGCCUACUCGUGCAUACGUACGGUUAGGGCUCGUGUGCAUGGCUGGGUCGGAACGGAGAAACAGCGUCAUCGUAGUGUUCAUGGGGAGGCAAGGGAAUGCGUCGUGUUCAUUGGGAGGCAACGAAAUGCUCGUGUUCAUCGGGAGGCAACGGAACGCGUGGGAGCCAACCGGCUGGGUCAGAACGGAAUGUGUGGUCGUGUUCAUCAGGAGGGCUUGGACGGAACAGGCGAUGAAAACGAGGCCUGGCUGUAGGACCUUGAAGUAUGUCUAGAGGGGGGUGAUUAGACUACUUGACCAAUUAAAAACUUAACCUUUUCCCAAUUUUAGAGUUUGGUAGAUUUUAGCUAUCUUAGGACAAGUCAAGCAAUCAUCACACUAUUCAAGCAAGCAUGCAAAGAGUAUAUAGGCAGCGGAAAUUAAAGCAUGUAACUUGCAAGAAAGUAAAGGGAAGGGUUUGGAGGAUUCAAACGCAGUUGGAGACAUGGAUGUUUUUGGCGUGGUUCCGAUAGGUGGUGCUAUCGUGCAUCCACGUUGAUGGAGACUUCAACCCACGAAGGGUAACGGUUGCGCGAGUCCAUGGAGGGCUCCACCCAAGAAGGGUCCACGAAGAAGCAACCUUGUCUAUCCCACCAUGGCCGUCGCCCACGAAGGACUUGCCUCACUAGCGGUAGAUCUUCACGAAGUAGGGGAUCUCCUUGCCCUUACAGACUCCUUGGUUCAACUCCACAAUCUUGUCGGAGGCUCCCAAGUGACACCUAGCCAAUCUAGGAGACACCACUCUCCAAGAAGUAACAAAUGGUGCGUUGCUGAUGAACUCCUUGCUCUUGUGCUUCAAAUGAUAGUCUCCCCAACACUCAACUCUCUCUCAUAGGAUUUGGAUCUGGUGGAAAUAAGAUUAGAGUGGAAAGCAACUUGGGGAAGGCUAGAGAUCAAGAUUCAUAUGGUAGGAAUGGAAUAUCUUGGCCUCAACACAUGAGUAGGUGGUUCUUUCUCAGAAAUGGCAAGUUGGAAGUGUAGGUUUAGUCUGAUGGCUCUCUCCACGAAUGAAGAGGAGGUGGAGGGGUAUAUAUAGCCUCCACACAAAAUCUAACUGUUACACACAAUUUACCAAACUCGGUGGGACUGAAUCAACAAACUCGAUCGAACCGAUUUAGUAAACCUAGUGAGCUUUAGUGAUUUUUGGUGGGACUGACAUGUAACUCGGUGAGACCGAUUCGGUUAGGGUUAGGGCAUAACGUAAUCUCGGUAAGACCGAUUACACAAAACCGGUGAGACCGAUUUUGGUAAUAAGCUUUCCAGAGAGUUGGUCAGGUAAACUCGGUGGGACCGAUUUGCUCUUUUCGGUGAGACCGAAAUGUUACAAAAGGGAAACAGAGAGUUUACAUUGCAAUCUCGGUGGGACCGAUCGCUCACUUCGGUUUGACCGAAACGUUACGAAGGGAAACAGAGAGAUUACAAUCCCAUCUCGGUGAGACCGAGAUCCCUAUCGGUAGAUCCGAUUUGCCUAGGGUUUGUGGCAGUGGAUAUGACAUUUGAAAUCGGUGGCGCCGGAUAGGAAGAAUCAGUGUGACCGAUUUUGGCUUUGGGUUUAGGUCAUUUGUGGAUGUGAGAAAGUAGCUGAGGGUUUUGGAGCAUAUCACUAAGCACAUGAAGCAAGAGGCUCAUUAAGCAACACCUCAUCCCUCCUUGAUAGUAUUGGCUUUUCCUAUAGACUCAAUGUGAUCUUGGAUCACUAAAAUAUAAAAAUGAAGAGUCUUAAGCUAUUGAGCUUGAGCCAAUCAUUUUUCCUUAGUAUUUUGAGGGAUCCACUUUCAUCAUCCAUGCCAUGCCAUUCAUUGAGCUUUCCUGACAUAUAUGUCUUGGAAUAGCAUUAGCUCAAUGAGCUAUAUGUUGUUAUGAAUUACCAAAACCACCUAGGGAUAGUUGCACUUUCACUGGCGUACCGCAGAACGGAGUAAACGGCCUUGUGUUCGACCACCACAUUCAAAAAGGGAUCCUAUUCAGCGGGAGGGGUGUGGCAUACUGCAAAACGGAGGAAACAGACCUCCUACGGUGGAAACAAGGGUCCUGUUGAUUGGGAGGGGUGUGGCGUACCGCAAAACGGACGAAACGGACCUCCUACGAUCGAAACAGAGGUCCUAUUGAUCGGGAGGGGUGUGGCGUACCGCAAAACGGACGAAAUGGACUUGUGUUGGAGCGCUACGGUCGAAACGGGGGUCCUGUUCAUCGGGAGGGGUGUGGCGUACCGCAAAACGGGACUCCACGGGAUACUGUUCAUCUCCACCGUCGACCUCCUCCAGCCUCCACGGGCUACCGUCGACCUCCUCCGGCCUCCACGGGCUCCUGUUCAUCCAGCCUCCACCGCGCGCUACUCCACCGGCUACUGUUCAACCACCCCUCCAUGGGCACCCCUCCAUCGUNNNNNNNNNNNNNNNNNNNNNNNNNNNNNNNNNNNNNNNNNNNNNNNNNNNNNNNNNNNNNNNNNNNNNNNNNNNNNNNNNNNNNNNNNNNNNNNNNNNNNNNNNNNNNNNNNNNNNNNNNNNNNNNNNNNNNNNNNNNNNNNNNNNNNNNNNNNNNNNNNNNNNNNNNNNNNNNNNNNNNNNNNNNNNNNNNNNNNNNNNNNNNNNNNNNNNNNNNNNNNNNNNNNNNNNNNNNNNNNNNNNNNNNNNNNNNNNNNNNNNNNNNNNNNNNNNNNNNNNNNNNNNNNNNNNNNNNNNNNNNNNNNNNNNNNNNNNNNNNNNNNNNNNNNNNNNNNNNNNNNNNNNNNNNNNNNNNNNNNNNNNNNNNNNNNNNNNNNNNNNNNNNNNNNNNNCCCGCAACGCUCAAUGUUCAUCCCAGAGGCAGCAUGGAUCGGCUUCAGUUAGCAGCAGUAGCGAAGGAAUUGCUUGAUCGGGUUCAGUUAACAGCCAUCAAUCGAUUGCUCGGGUUCAGUAACGCGUAGCCUGCAGUGCAAUCGCUCAAGUUUAGUUAGAGCCCAACGCCUCGCUCGGGUUCAGUUAGAGCCAACGUCUUGCACACACACGCGUACGUGUAUGAGAGAAACGCGCAUCGCUCGGCCCCCGACCUCCCACCGUAACCGGGAACUCGCCGAAAUUUUCCUCGCCCUCGCUUCUACCACGGUUUUUUCUGUCAUGGACGGCCCAAAGAAUGUCAUGCAGUUGCCUCUCCGGCCCACCCAGGACGAAAAUCCCAUUUUCUAUCAUGAUUUUUUAUCAUAGAAGUAGGAGCCCACCACAUCUAUGAUGAUACCGGGUUUUGUCACAAUUAUCGCCAUAGAAGUGUCAUAUGUAUGACAGAAAAAAAUUUGUUUGACCCAAAAUGUCACGGAUGUGUCUUUUUUUGUAGUGAAGAGAGAAGAAGCCACUAGCUACUAGCUAUGGACUUGUAGGUCUGUGGUGAAUUACUCACACAUCAUCGGAAGGCAGCACGGAUGAUGCAGAAGCCCUCAAUGAUCGAUUCCCCCUCCGGCGGAGUACCUGUAAAGGCCUCCAGAUGGAAUCGCGAAAGAAUAAAAGUUUGCGAUGGAGGAAAAAGUAUUUCGGAUGGCUCUCUAUUGGUUUGGGAAUAUUUGUGAAUUUAUAGGCUUGGAAUUAGGUCAAACAGAGUUGCGUGGGCCCAUAAGCCCAGGGGGCGCGCUUUGUGAGCUCGCGGCUCUCUUGUAGCUCUUCUGGCCUCCUACCGAACCUUCUAGGACCCCUUCUGGUCCAGAGAAAAUCACCGUAAUUCAUCGUAUUUGGACUUCAUUUGGUAUUGAUUUUCUGAAAAGCCAAAACAAGUAAAAAAUAGGAACUAGCACUUGGCAAUGGGUUAAUAGGUUAGUCCCAAAAAUGGUAUAAAAUAGCAUAAAAAUGCAUAUAAUCCAAGAUUGAAAAUAUAAUAGCAUGAAACAAUCAAAAGUUAUAGAUACAUUGGAGACGUGUCAGCAUUCCCAAGCUUAAUUCCUGCUCGUCUUCGAGUAGGUAAAUGAGAAUAACAGAAUUUUUGUGUAUACAUGUAUUAUUUGUAGUGAGAUAUGUACAUGACAAAGAGCGAUACUACUGCCAGGAUCAGACCAAUGUACAUGACAUAAGAAAGAGGUGGCACAUCUCUGAACGCAAGGUCCAUGGCAACAAGCAGACGCAAUGGAAAAGACAGAUUGUUUUGUCAUCUUUUGCAGCGCCAUCCUUUAGUAUGCCAGGGAGCAGCUAAGGAAUGAAAUCAUGCUCCAUUUUGGAUCAUAAGAUUUUAAUUUGACCAUAAGCUAAGCCUCCACCACACGAAAAGUGAUGAAAAUACAAAAUUUGUUAUGUGAUGCAAUACAAUGCAAAUCUUAUAUACUCUCUCUGUAAACAAAUAUAAGAGCAUUUAGAUCAUUACUUUACACGUUACCAUCAUAAUCUCAAGCUUUGAAUUUAGUACUACUCAUUAAUCAGUUGUGUGAUCUUAAGAAAACGCUAUACCUCUAAAAUGAACAACUAAAAGGUCACGAGACACGUAGUGAUCUCCAAAUAAAUUGGUUGUUCUAGGGGAAAAGUGAUGAAAAGUGUUGUUCUAGGAAAAAGUGACGACAAGCAUGGAUUAUCUGUUUCAUCAUCUUGGGAGGGGGAGGGUCAUCCACAUGACCACAAGCCAAGCCCACACCCCACGUCAAGUGAUGCAAAUCCCAAUCAUGUCAUGUCAUGAUUUACAAUGCAAAUCUUCUUUAAAACUUUACACAUUGGCAUCACUAUCUUAAGCUUGGCAUUUAGUACUCCCUACGGUCCAUAUUUAUUAUCGCUCAAAUGGAUGUAUCUAGCACUAAAAUACAUCUAGAUACAUCUGUUUCAGCGACAACUAAUAUGAAUCAAAGGGAAUACUACUAAUUAGUUGUGUGAUCUUAAUAAAACACCAUGCUUCUAAAAUGAACAGGUCACGAGGCAUGUACCAAUCUCCAGAUGAAUUUGAUGUUCUACAGAUUUCAUAUGUGCGGAAAGAUAAGGCUGAAAACCGCACACUUACCCGGGAUAGGAUGGGAUAUUUUGAGAAAUAGAUAAGGAUUAGUUCAGGUUUCUCCCAUAUAUACGAAAUGACUGGACGAUGACUAAUUAAACGAGAGACAACAAACCACUUAUCUUCCUUCAUGACUCAAUUGAUCGAGAGCCUUCCCAAGUUGCUUUUGCCGUUUUGUUGGUCACAAUGCAGAUGCUUUGAACCUUUGCACAACCGUGGGCAUGUGGCUCCCGUUAAAUAGCCACAAGAUACCCAUAAAAUUAGCACUUCCAAAGUUCUCAUUUACUCUGUCUUCCUCUCAAGUCUAACCGAAGCCCAACAAACCACCACCUCGGCCAUGGCAACCACCCUCGCCACCGACGUCCGCCUCUCCAUCGCGCACCAGACCCGCUUCGCCCUCCGUCUCGCCUCCACCAUCUCAUCCGCCCUAAGUCUGCUGCCAGCAAUGCCGCCUUCUCCCCGGUCUCCCUCCACUCCGCACUUAGCCUCCUCGACGCUGGCGCGGGCAGUGCCACUCGGGACCAACUCGUCGCCACACUCGGGACAGGCGAGGUCGAGGGACUCCACGCGCUCGCCGAGCAGGUGGUCCAGUUUGUGCUCGCCGACGCGUCCUCUGCUGGAGGUCCGCGUGUCGCCUUUGCCAAUGGCGUCUUCGUGGACGCGUCGCUGCUCCUCAAGCCAUCCUUCCAAGAGAUUGCAGUGUGCAAGUACAAGGCCGAGACCCAAUCCAUGGACUUCCAAACUAAGGUGACCCCCCCCCCCAACUUGGUUCUUACCAGAAAACAAAAACAAUGUAAAAGAAUUUUUAACGGACCUAAUUAUGUACAUUUGAGAGAAACAAUGACAUGCUUAACUAACUACUUCAGCCGCCUGUACAUGUUGGCAUGCCACUGCUUCACUCAGAGAGUUUGUUUUCUGCUGAUGUAAUAUAGAGGUCUAUAUUAAUCUUAUACACAUUCUAGAUUUGUAAUUUAGUGGUUAUCGUAUAUCACUGUUUUUUACACUAGAAGCUUCACCUUUGUAAGCAUAGUUCACACCUGCGACCUUGAACUGUGAAUGAUUUUGCUUAUCCUGUUAGUCAGCAUGAUUGGAGAUAACUAGUCUGUUACUUUUCUGAGCAUACCUAAUCUUUUGGGAGUGUAAUUCUCAUACCGUGCUAUCUAGGGAUAUGAAGGCUGGGGAAUUUGCUGAUGUUUUAUACUUUAAUUACGCUCUUCAGCGAAGUGAGAUUAUAAUUUUGGGAGUAUUUCCUGGAAACUUUGUCUCCAACGUAAGAAGAUGUACAAAAAAUCAGCUAAAGAUUAUAAUUUUGGGAAUAUUUCUGUAAAAGGUAUUGCAUAGUGGUGCUUCGAGAUGUUGUGAUGACCAUUUAAAUUUGUAUGCUCAUAUGAAUUGUUUUUCUAUCAUACGUCGUUGUAUGUGCUGAUUUUACUAUGUGUUUGAAAAUUUUACUAUAGAAAUGCUUUAUAAAAACGCUAGUAUGCUGCUUUGCAUUCUUAGCACAACUAUUAUAUUUUGUUCUUUGAAAGAAUUUUCUAUUGGUUUGUUCAAAGGUUGGUGGCACAGCAGUACCGUCAAACUAUUUUCAUUACAUAACUGACCUUUGUUUAUUUUUUCCAUGGCCCAGGCCGCUGAAGUUACUACUCAAGUGAACUCAUGGGUAGAGAAAGUCACGAGCGGUCGCAUCAAGGACAUUCUCCCCUCAGGAUCUAUUGACAAUACCACUAAACUUGUUCUUGCCAAUGCCCUUUAUUUCAAAGGAGCUUGGACAGAGCAGUUUGAUUCAUAUGGAACAAAAAACGACUACUUCUACCUUCUUGAUGGGAGCUCAGUUCAAACACCAUUCAUGUCCAGCAUGGAUGACCAAUACCUUUUGUCUUCUGAUGGGUUGAAGGUACUUAAGCUUCCUUACAAGCAAGGUGGGGACAAUAGGCAGUUCUCCAUGUAUAUCCUUCUUCCAGAAGCACCGGGUGGUCUCUCAAGCUUGGCCGAAAAAUUGAGUGCUGAACCAGACUUCCUGGAGCGGCAUAUCCCAAGGCAGAGGGUUGCACUUAGGCAAUUCAAGCUCCCCAAGUUCAAGAUAUCAUUUGGAAUUGAAGCAUCCGAUUUGCUCAAAUGUUUGGGCCUCCAGCUUCCAUUCGGCGAUGAAGCGGAUUUUUCGGAGAUGGUGGAUUCCCUAAUGCCACAAGGUCUUCGUGUCUCAUAUGUUUUCCACCAAGCGUUUGUGGAAGUGAACGAACAAGGAACUGAGGCUGCAGCAUCAACUACUAUUAAAAUGGUCCCGCAACAGGCAAGGCCGCCCUCGGUCAUGGAUUUCAUCGCGGAUCACCCUUUCCUCUUCCUUCUCCGGGAAGACAUCUCUGGUGUGGUCCUAUUCAUGGGUCAUGUGGUCAAUCCCCUCUUAUCUUCGUAAUGUGUUUGCUCUGAAAGUGUGUGUUGUCAGUUGCCCUCAGCCAUUACAUGUAAGGGAAGGGUUUCGACGGUCAGUCAUGUUACCGAUACAAUAAAUCCAAUAAAUGGUUCUCCUAAGAUAUCCAAUAAAUUGUCUUUUAAUAACUGCUUGCUUGUUGUGCAAAGGAAAACCAAUUGGACUAUUUUUCAUUAAUCAUUGUGGAUUUGUGGUAGUGCGGAUUUCUCAAAGAACUACUCAUGCCAAAAGAAAAAAUCUAAGUCAUCUUGAUUAGUACUAUCCGACAUGAAUCUCAUCGUCAUUAACAUCUAUAUUUCACAAAAAAAUGCCAAUGGCCACUUUUUGAGAUUGAAUAUGCUCUUCAAUUUCUCUUCUUCUUAGAUUUUUCAUAUCCUCGCUUAUCUUUAGAUACACUAUAACUCCUUGAGAUUGGAGCUCCCAGGGCCGAUUGUGUUGAUCGAUUUACAUGGCCCCACAUGAACGGACGUGACCUUCCACGCUACCCUCUUCCUUGCCGCAGAUCCUUCCUCAGUUUCUCUCCCUUCCGAGAAUCUAUUCCGACAUAGAGACAACGCCUCCAGCACUAUAGUUGGUGCGGCCGACCGCUUUCUGGCUCUCCUCUCCGAUUCCCUGCCUCAGAGCAUCUACAGCCUCAAACACGGUGUGUCUGCGGGCACUGAUCGGUCACUUCACAAAUUGGCAUCUACAUUCGUGUAUUUCAUAUCAGAUCUCCUAUAUCCAUACUAAACUAUGUAGCAUUGAUCAAACUACGUAUAUCAUCAAACGGACAAAAAAUGCACUAUACGUUCAUCAAAAGAUCAUCAACGGAUCUUCGAAAUACCGCCAAAGUUCACAUAGUGCACAUAAAUGACGGACAACUUUAAACUACGUCUAAAAACUGAGCGGAUCUUCAUCACUUCCUCGCCGGAACUUUCCCUUUUCGGUCGCCAGCACAGCUGUAGGCGUCGGCGGCUGGUGGAGGAUCGUCCGAGUCGUCGGACGAGGCGCCGUGGUCGUCACUAUCGUCAGAGGAGGAGCAGAGGAUGAUGAGGCGUUUGAGGCGCCGGACGGCCCGGUCCUGCUGCCGUUUGAGCUCCGCCAGCCGAGCCGCCUCCAAUGCUUUCUCCUCUGCCUCGCGCUCGAACUGCUCGAUGGCAAGCCGGAGCACCUUGGCGUUCUUCCAGCGGAGCUGCCGAUCAUCCGUCUCCGCUGUCGUAAGCGACCGGCAGUAGACCCAAGUGGGGAACCGCUCGUCCCCGUCGAGCUCCGCCGGAAACCCGCGGCGGCGGCGGACAUAUUACUCCUCCGCGUCCCUCUCCCUUGCCCGCUGCCUGCGGUGGCGGGCGUCGGACAGAUUUCUCCGCCGCGUCCCUCUUCCUUGCUCGCUGCCUGUCGUGGCGGGCGGCGCGCGCCUAGCGUGCAUGCCGCGCUCGCUGGGCGGGCACAAGUACCCACCGCUACCCAUGUGGGGGAGCAGCAGCCGACGAGGACAGGGGAUAGUGUGGGGGAGGCGCGGACUGCGCAGCCCUCGUGGCGCUGCGUGUGGGCCGGGAGGGGCCUGCGCCGGCGUCCUCGCUGCGCUGGAAGGGGAGAGGUGAGGCGGCAGAUCCGGAACUGACCUCCGUGUCCACCUUGGACCUCUCGACGGCAAUGCGGAGAGCCAGCACCUCGUCGAUGUUGACGUCAGAGUCGGAGCGGCUGCCGGAACUAGACAUGGUCGCCGGAGUCGUUUGACUGAAUCGAAUCUGGGAAAUCCGAGGAGGAGAAGAGAUGAAACGAGAGCGGAGCGAGGUAGGGUUUUCGAUUGGGGAUAUUUGUGGUGACGGCGUGGGGCCGGUGUGGACCGGGCUACCAUGGCGGACGCACCCGGGGCGCUCGAUAUCCGCCCUAGAUUUGAUCUGAAUAUGAGGGGAGUGAGACAGUCCAAGCAUUUGAGGCUUGUUUGAGGACACGUCUGGAUCAAAUUUUCAUGCUCGGUCAAUGAUCGCGCCAUCCGUCCGGACGUUUGAGACGGAUUUAGAAUGCGCGCCUGUAGAUGCUCUCGGCCUCAAUCUUUCGCCUCCAAACGUUCCCCCGCGACCAACCCAAUCCAGGCCUCGUUCACCGUCUAGCAGUCGUCUGCGCCGCCUCCCGCAAUUCCUCCGACCUCCGGUGCAACACUUCAUGUAACUUCCCUGGAUCAUCGCGCUUCCCGCGCCGUCUCGUCGACAGUCGACGUGCGCUUCUCAUGUUCAAUUUUUCAAGGAUAGUGUCACCGCUUUUUUCUCAUAGUGUUUGGCUGCUCGAUCACCUGGCCGCUGUUAAUCUCAUCUCGGUGAUGCAGCAAACAAAGGAGAGUGCGGGUCUGCAGUUCAAGGUCAGACUGCAGUGCAACUGUGCAAUGUAAGUUUGACUGACACGCUUGGAUCUGCCGCGUCUUUGUGCUGGGUGCUAGUCGCUGCCCUGCUAGAUGCAUGGAAGAGUUGCAUGUAUACACACCGGUGUUGAGCGUUGGUGGCCUCAUUGGUGACUGUCGUGGUUCUAAGUCUGACAAUAGAAUGGGGGGUAAGUAUGGAAAGGCAAGGUCCUAGCUAUGGAGUAGUUGUACACACGGGUGUUUAGCGAGUUUAGACCCUUCUCUGAGGAAGUAACAGCCCUACGUCUCGGAGCCCGGAGGCGGUCGACUGAUCUCUAUGUAUAUGAGUUACAGAAGUGCGAACCUUUCUACCAGUGGAGGGGGGUGGCUUAUAUAGAGGACGCCAGGACCCCAGCCAGCCCACAUAGAGGAGGGUUAAAGUACAUUAAGGCUGGGCGUUACUGGUAACGCCCUAUAUAAAGUGUCAUCAUGACCAUUAAGACUAUUUAAUUACAGACCGUUUGGAUGCAGAGUAGAUCCUGAACUUCCGAUAGUCGAGUGCGUCUUCAUGGUCGAGUGUCUUCUAGCUAGUCGGGUGGAGUCUCCCUUGGUAGAGUGGAGCUUCUUUUGGUCGACCGGAAGGUAGCUUCGUAUGAUAAUGUCCUUUGGCAUGGUAUCCUAGAUAGGUCCAUGACCCUAACCUAGGUACAUAACCUCAUCAUUAGCCCCCGAAUGGAUCGAGGUUCGAGUGAGGAAGGAGUUGACGAUUUUCUCCGACUUAUUUACUGUACUUUGAUUGUGUCGUAUCUUGGAUCGGCGAUUCUUCUUUCGGCGCUGGCGUCGACUUUUACUUCAGUCGCCUUGAUCCAUUCUUAUCUUUUGUCGAGUGAACUUUUGAACUCCGGUGAACUUACGAGCGACGGAUCGCGGGAAGGAUAUCGUCUGACAGAUUGAUCUGCUGUUAGCGGAUUUUGCGGGAUCUGAAAUUUGGGAAGCGCACGAAGCGGGGCAAUCCGCGGCAAUCGGGCGGGAUAAGGCAUGGACGCCUUGAUUUCCGCGUCGCCUUUUUCGCCACGUAUCGUACGUGUGCGACUGUUUCGGGAUGUGACAGAUCUGCUCGGACCCACUCGUCAGCCACUCGGAAGCGCCCUUAUAUAAAGCGUCGGGGAAGAGUUUUUGAACAGUGCCUCCCCAUUCUCCUCUCUUCCCUCUCUGCCUCCGCCCACGGCGCCUGCUCCUAGCUCCGCCUUAUCCACCUCUCGAGCGCUUCGCCGACGAUAAUGGUGAAGGAGAAGACGGCGGUUCUAGAGCGCGCGAAGAAGGUGACGGCGACGGGGCAAGCGAAGGGGAGACCGUCCAGUCGGGGCGGAUCUUCGUCGAGGUCCCGCCUGCCGAAGGGUUGGGUCCAAGGGGAUUGGAUCCGCUCGACCAUCACUGGGAAGGACCUCGACGACCUGGCCAAUGAGGGACUGAUCCCCCACGGGUCAGCAAGGCCCCCGGGGUCCGAGUGUCAACCGCAGCCGCAGGAGGGUGAGCGCGUUCUCUUAGCCACUCACGUAGAUCGUGGUUUUUCUCUGCCGCCGAGUGUGUUCUUCCGUGGGUUUCUGAAAUUCUUUGGGGCGCAACUCCACCAUUUCAAUCCCAAUUCCAUCGCCUAUCUUGCUGCCUUUGUGUCCAUGUGCGAGAACUUCCUGGGUUGUCGACCGCACUGGGGUCUCUUCAAGCACAUAUUCACCUGUCGGUCGCAGACCGUAAAAAAGGCGAGCUCGGGUGAUGAGAGGACCAAGGUUAUUCAGAUGUGCGGGGGUCUUGGGAUUCAGUUGAGGAAUAAGAGCACUUUCCCGGCCAUGACCCUUCCUGAGUCGGUCAGAGGGUGGCAGUCGACUUGAUUCUACUGCCAAGACGAGUCGACGCCGGGGCAGUCGACUGGUCUCCCUCCGUUCUCCAUGGACCGAGUGGUCAAACCGUCUUCUCUGAAGGUGCUUCCUGAGGAGAAAGCCGAGGUAAAAAUGUUGGUGGAGCGCAUGGUCCAACUCGUUCGGGACGGAGUGACGGGCAUGGAUCUUCUGAAAGUAUUCCUUAGGCGGCGCAUCCAACCGCUCCAGUAUCGAGGCCACCCGAUGUGGUUGUACUGCGGUACCGAAGACACCACUCGGGUCCAUCCAGAGGCAGUCGACGACGCCACGCUGGAGAGGUGGGUGACCUCCAUCACAGGGAACAAGGACAACCGUCGAGGAGUGAGGAGGAUCCCGCCACUCGACUGUACCUAUACGCCGGACAAGGUAUGGCCGCUUAUCUCCGAGUGUAAUUUUGUUUUAUCCAUUCUGCUUUGCCACAAAUUGGUCGAUUGAUCUUUGUUUUGCUCUGUUGUCUGAUAGGCCACCACUGAAUUGUACUCGAUUCCCAAUGGGGCGCAGACGCCGACUGAGGAGGAGGAAGGAAGCGGGGGCGAAAGCCCGGAGGAGUGGGAUUCAGAUGUCGACGACGACGAUGAGGGUGAUGACUCUAGUGAGGAGGAAGAAGAGGAGGAAGAGGAGGAAGUUGCACCUCCCCGCUCGGAAAGACGCUCGAAGCUUGCCCAUGAUCCAGCGACUGAGCGGGGUAAGGGGGUCGCAACCGCUUCUCAGUCGACCAAGCGCCCUCGGACCACUUCUCCGGCGCCGACUGAGAAGGCUCCGAAGCAAUCUCGAGUGGCACCGUCGAAGCCUGCAAAGGUCUUGCCGAAGAUGAAGAUGGUGAUCCCCACUAUCUCAGGGUAAUGGUAGUUUUGAGCUUUCCCUGUUUCAUGAACUUGUUCUUGGUCGACUCAUGGUCCAAUCGACUGACUUUUGGAACUGCAGCGUUGCUACUUCCGACACUUCGGCGAGAGCCGAAGACCACGAGAUGGAGGAUGCUGCAACCUCGAACCCUGGUAUGACUCCUGCGUUGCCGUUUUCAGUCGACUGACUCAUUGUCUCUAAUUUUUAUUCUUUCUGCAGUUUCAUCUAACAUUGUUAUUGACCUUCCUGACGACGACGAUGAAUAACCACCACGGCCGAGGAAAAGCAAGAAAACGUCGGCUGGCAAGGCGACUCAGGAUGUGCCGGCACCCGAGACGUUAGUCGUGGAGGGAGACAAUGUCACUCGACCCACCGUAACCUUCGCGGUGCCGUUGAUGAGUGCUCGCCCUUCAUCGUCGAGUGCUGCUCAACCCUCGCUUUUCUCCACCUACCCCGUUCCAGAAGACCAAGCCAGUGCUGCCAAAGAAGCGAUACGCCAGGCGGGGGUCAUGAUGGAGCAAGUGAAGGCAAUUCGAGAAGCCAGCCAGGCAGCCUAUGACGCCAGUUCGGCACUCCAGAGUAAUGUUCAGGUCAGUCGGUCACUGCCUGUUCUUCUUUCUGAAAUUCCUAGAGUCUGUCCUACACCCAGUGGGUGUGUGUCGAUUAAAAUUCCGGGUUAGUGGGGGCACGCUGAGUGCACCCACUGGGUGUAGUCCCCAAGGCUAUGGUGGACUGCUGGCAGUCGACCAUAGUCUUAAUGCUUUGAGUUUUUCUUUACUCGACAAGGUCGAAUAGAUUCAUAGACCGGUGGGGGCACGCUGAGUGCACCCACUGGGUGUAGUCCCCGAGACUGUGGUCGACUGCUGGCAGUUGACUAUAGUCUAAAGAACAUUGCCUCUCUUUUUUUUGUUGGUCGACUAGUCGACUCUUGAUGAAACUAGUGGGGGCACGCUGAGUGCACCCACUGGGUGUAGUCCCCGAGACUAUGGUCGAAUGUUUGCAUUCGACCGUAGUCUUAGAAACGCUAUGAUUUUUCCUUACUCACUCGGAAGUGAAUUUUCUUUGACGUCUGUCGAUUGAUUCUUCGUAGAAAUCAUGUGACCUUGUGGCUCGUUAUACUGAGUUGGAGAACAAACACAUUCAGCUCGAGCUCGAUCUGAAACUGGCCCAAGAGACCUUGACGAAGGCGAAGGAGGAAGCUAAAGGUAUGCUUGGUGAGGCCUUUGACGACUGCCUUUGCCUCUCACUUGUUUCCGAAUCUGAUCUCACUGUAACUUUGUAGGCAAAGUGAUGGACGCCCUGAAGAAACAAGAGCUUGACUUGGCUGAGAUGCAAAAGACUGCUUUAGAGAAGACCAGGCUAGCGGAUGAGAAGCUGGCUUCAGUGACUAAGCUUGAAGAAGAAAACACCAAUCUGAAAGCUGCUCUUGAUGCUGCCAACCAGGAGGUCACUUAACUGAAAAGCGACAAGACCACCCUGAAUGACAAGGCCAGUGAGUUGAAGAGAAAGAAGAAUGAUCUAGAGGCUUAUCUGGGUGGACUCGCCAAGAAGUUGUUCCUCAUGCUUGAAGGUAAUCCUUUGUAUCGAACAAAUAUUUUAAUUGUAACCUCUGACUGUUUGUCUUGACUCGGUGGUUGUGCUUGCAGAAUUUUGUCAGAACUUUGAAGAGGAGACUGGUCGACUGGAAGUGAACCUGGACCCCAUCAACUCUCCUGUGAAAGAUGAAGUUGCCAUGAACAUGCUCCGACUUGAAUCUCGUGUUGCUGCUAUCAUCGAUUAUCUCGCAAGGCUGAAGGUCGCAACUUCCUGCAUCGACACAACACUCUGGCCAAGAGAGACACUCCAGAACGACCUCGAGUCUCUGAUGACUCGACUGAACGAGGUCCCAAGUCGAGUGCAGGAGUGGAAGAAGUCUUCGGCCAGGUGUGGCGCGGAUGUUGCUCUAUCUCUGGUCCGCGUUCACUGCAAGGAUGCAUGAGAGGACAAGCUGGUGGCUCUCAGGGUGGCCAACACCAAGAAGCACGAUUUCAGAUCCUUCAUGGAGACCUUCAUUGCCGCUGCCACUCGGAUUGCAGAUGGAAUCGAUCUGGACGAGUUUGUGGCACCUUCCAGCCCUCCACAGGAGGGGUAAAAAACUUUUGAGCUUGAUACUUUAAAUUUGCCUCGGUAUGCCGAGUGAGUUUUGUAACCGACAAACCUUAACAGGCCUAGCGCCUGAGCACUUUCGGUUCCGCUAGGUGUUAUCCAAACUUGGGUUCGUCGCUGAAUAUGUUUGCAUUUGGUUUGAGGCGUCUUUUGCAGGUUAAAGCGAAGCGCUUAUUGCCAUCGACUUGUCCCCCAAUUCACUUAGGCGGGCACUGGGCUGCAGCUAAGUCCCCGAGCGAGAGGUUUUCCCUCCACUCGGUAGGAUUUCAGACACUUAGGCGAGCACUGGGCCGCAGCUAAGCCCCCGAGUGGGAGGUCUGCUCUCCACUCGGUAGGAUUUCAGAAACUUAGGCGAGCACUGGGCUGCAGCUAAGCCCCCGAGUGGGAGGUCUGCUCUCCACUCAGUAGGAUUUCAAACACUUAGGCGAGCACUGGGCUGCAGCUAAGCCCCCGAGUGGGAGGUCUGCUCUCCACUCGGUAGGAUUUCAGACACUUAGGCGAGCACUGGGCUGCAGCUAAGCCCCCGAGUGGGAGGUCUACUCUCCACUCGGUAGGAUUUCAGACNNNNNNNNNNNNNNNNNNNNNNNNNNNNNNNNNNNNNNNNNNNNNNNNNNNNNNNNNNNNNNNNNNNNNNNNNNNNNNNNNNNNNNNNNNNNNNNNNNNNNNNNNNNNNNNNNNNNNNNNNNNNNNNNNNNNNNNNNNNNNNNNNNNNNNNNNNNNNNNNNNNNNNNNNNNNNNNNNNNNNNNNNNNNNNNNNNNNNNNNNNNNNNNNNNNNNNNNNNNNNNNNNNNNNNNNNNNNNNNNNNNNNNNNNNNNNNNNNNNNNNNNNNNNNNNNNNNNNNNNNNNNNNNNNNNNNNNNNNNNNNNNNNNNNNNNNNNNNNNNNNNNNNNNNNNNNNNNNNNNNNNNNNNNNNNNNNNNNNNNNNNNNNNNNNNNNNNNNNNNNNNNNNNNNNNNNNNNNNNNUAAGCCCCCGAGUGGGAGGUCUGCUCUCCACUCGGUAGGAUUUCAGACACUUAGGCGAGCACUGGGCUGCAGCUAAGCCCCCGAGUGGGAGGUCUGCUCUCCACUCGGUAGGAUUUCAGAAACUUAGGCGAGCACUGGGCUGCAGCUAAGCCCCCGAGUGGGAGGUCUGCUCUCCACUCGGUAGGAUUUCAAACACUUAGGCGAGCACUGGGCUGCAGCUAAGCCCCCGAGUGGGAGGUCUGCUCUCCACUCGGUAGGAUUUUUGAAUUGGUGGCGCAACUCGGAAGGAGAGGGUAGCAGUCGACCUGCACCUCGUCCUCCUUGCGGAACGCAUGUUGUACUUGUACUUAGGCGAGUUCUUGGACUGCAGCUAGGCCUCCGAGUGGAAGGCUGGCUUACCACUCGGUAGGAUUUUAUUUAUCUUAGGCGAGUACUUGGACUGCAGCUAAGCCUCCGAGUGGAAGGCUGGCUUACCACUCGGUAGGAUUUUAUUUAUCUUAGGCGAGUACUUGGACUGCAGCUAAGCCUCCGAGUGGAAGGCUGGCUUACCACUCGGUAGGAUUUUAUUUAUCUUAGGCGAGUACUUGGACUGCAGCUAAGCCUCCGAGUGGAAGGCUGGCUUACCACUCAGUAGGAUUUUAUUUAUCUUAGGCGAAACGGAUUUUACAGCUAAGCCUUCGUGUGGGAGACUGACUCACCACUCGGUUAGGAUUUGUUUUUACAGACUUAGGCGAAUCGGAUUCGCAGCUAAGCCACCCACUGGGGGAUUGUUUUAUAUGGACAAAAGUAAUAACAAUCACUGGGAAAACUAUAAAGCUCUUGUCUUUGAUAAAUAAACUACAGGAGUACUUUUAUUACAACUCAUCCGAGUGAAUACCUAAGUGUAAAAGGGGCGGAGAAGCUCCGCGUUCCAAGCUCGGGGCUCGUCAAUCUGAUGCUUGACAUUGUAAAGACGGUAUGCUCCAUUGUGGAGAACCUUGGUGACCAUGAAGGGACCUUCCCAAGAAGGAGCAAGCUUGUGUGGUUUCUGCUGGUCCACUCGGAGAACUAAAUCUCCUUCCUGGAAGGCUCGACUCUUCAUGUUUUUGGCGUGGAAGCGACGCAAGUCUUGUUGAUAAAUGGUCGAUCUGAUCAGAGCCAUCUCUCUUUCUUCCUCUAAAAGGUCGACUGCGUCCUGCCGCGCUUGUUCUGCUUCAGCUUCGGUGUAGAGCUCGACUCGGGGAGCGUUGUGGAGAAGAUCACUCGGCAAGACUGCUUCAGCUCCGUAGACCAAGAAGAAUGGAGUUCUUCCAGUCGACCGGUUGGGUGUGGUCCUUAACCCCCAAAGCACCGAGGGAAGUUCGUCAACCCAUGCACCAGCCGCAUGCUUGAGAUCACGCAUCAAACGGGGCUUCAACCCUUUGAGAAUUAAACCGUUGGCUCAUUCUGCCUGUCCAUUCGUCUGCGGAUGGGCAACUGAAGCAUAGUCGACUCGCGUGCCUUGAGACGUGCAGAAAGCUCUGAAUUCUUCAGAAUCGAAGUUUGACCCGUUAUCAGUGAUGAUGUUGUGCGGGACUCCAUAUCUAAAUAUCAGUUCUCGGAUGAAGCUGACAGCGGUACCAGCAUCGAGGUUCUUGAUGGGUUUGGCCUUAAUCCACUUGGUAAACUUGUCGACUGCUACCAGCACAUGUGUGAAACCGCUUCUUCCUGUUCUCAAUGGGCCAACCAUAUCCAAACCCCAUACAACAAAGGGCCAGACAAGUGGUAUGGUCUUUAAGGCUGAGGCAGGCUUGUGUGACAUAUUGGAGUAAAAUUGACAUCCCUCACACUUGUCGACUAUCUCCUUCGCCAUUUCAUUCGCUCUGGGCCAAUAAAAACCAGCUCGGUAUGCUUUGGCCACGAUGGUCCGAGAAGACGCAUGAUGGCCACAGGUCCCCGAGUGGAUGUCAUUGAGAAUCAUUCGACCUUCCUCCGGUGUUAUGCAUUUCUGGCUGACUCCAGUCGCACUUUCUCUGUACAACUGACCUCUCAUGACGGUGAAGGCUUUGGACCGGCGGACGAUCUCUCGAGCUUCUUCUUCAUUCUCGGGGAGUUCCUUCCUCAAAAUAUAGGCGAUGUAGGGCACUGUCCAAUCGGGAGUGAUGACCAAAACUUCCAUGAUCAAGUCGACCACCGCUGGGACCUCGACUUCAGUCGGAUCUGUGGCGCUUUUAGGCUGCGGGGCUUCUGCAGUGAAAGGAUCCUCUUGAACCGAUGGCGUGUAGACAUGUUCCAAAAACACGCCACUCGGAAUGGCUUCCCUCUUGGAACCUAUCUUUGCCAAGUCAUCGGCUGCUUGAUUUUUCAGUCGGGGAACGUGAUGGAGUUCUAACCCUUCGAAUUUCUUUUCAAGCUUCCUCACUGCAUUGCAGUAUCUAGUCAUGGAUGGGCUUCUCACGUCCCACUCCUUCAUCACCUGAUUGACCACCAAAUCUGAGUCGCCGUAAACCAUAAGGCGACGGACGCUGAGUGAAAUGUCCAUGCGCAACCCAUACAACAGUGCUUCAUAUUCUGCUUCAUUGUUGGAGGAAUCAAAGUGGAUCUGGAGCACAUAUCUGAGCUUAUCUCCUCGGGGAGAAACCAAAACUACCCCAGCACCAGAACCAUUUAACAUCUUAGAGCCAUCAAAGAACAUGGUCCAAUGCUCCGAGUGAACUUGAGUCGGCUGCUGCUGUUCAAUCCACUCGGCAAGGAAAUCUGCUAUAGCCUGGGACUUAAUGGCUUUCUUUGCCUCGAAUUUGAUAUCAAGGGGAAGGAGUUCAAUCGCCCAUUUAGCCACUCGACCAGUUGCAUCUCUGUUGUGCAGAAUCUCCGACAAUGGUGCGUCGCUGACGACUAUAAUGUCAUGAUCAGAGAAAUAAUGAGCAACCUUCUUCAUGGUCAUGUAGAUCCCAUAUACGAGCUUCUGAUAAUGAGGAUAUCUUUGCUUCGAUCGGGUCAAAACUUUAGAGAGAUAAUACACUGGGCGCUGAACUUUGAAGGCUUUCCCUUCUACUUCCCGCUCGACCGUAAGUAUUGUACUGACGACUUGUCCUGUGGCUGCAAUAUAAAGCAACAGUGGCUCUUUACUGAUUGGAGCGGCAAGCACCGGCUAGGUGGAGAGCAGAGUUUUUAACUCGGCAAACGCUGCAUCAGCUUUUGGAGUCCACUCGAACUUGUCUGCCUUCUUCAUCAGUCGGUAAAGGGGCAACGCCUUUUCACCGAGGCGAGAGAUGAAUCGACUUAACGCGGCCAGGCAUCCAGUAAGCUUCUGGACAUCGUGCACACGCACAGGGCGUUUCAUUCGGAGUAUGGUGCCAACUUUUUCUGGGUUAGCAUCGAUUCCUCGUUCCGAAACGAGAAAACCGAGUAACUUCCCACCAGGUACUCCGAAUGUGCACUUUGAAGGAUUGAGCUUGAUAUCAUACCUCCUGAGAUUGGCAAAUGUUUCAGCUAAGUUAGUCAACAGGUCGGAACCCUUUCGCGACUUGACCACGAUAUCAUCCAUGUAUGCUUCCACAUUCCAACUAAUUUGAGUGAGUAAACACUUUUGAAUCAUUCUCAUGAAUGUGGCUCCGGCAUUCUUGAGGCCGAAAGGCAUGGUGAUAUAGCAGAAGCACCCGAAUGGGGUGAUGAAAGCUGUUUUGAUUUCAUCGGGCCCAUACAGACGGAUCUGAUGAUACCCGGAAUAAGCGUCCAGAAAAGACAAUCUCUCGCACCCUGCGGUCGAGUCGACAAUUUGGUCGACGCGAGGGAGAGGAAAAUGAUCUUUCGGGUAGGCCUGAUUGAUAUGUUUGAAAUCAAUGCACAUACGAAGGGAAUUGUCCUUUUUGCGAACCAUAACGACAUUGGCGAGCCACUCGGAGUGGUAUAUCUCUCGGAUGAACUCUGCUGCAAGGAGUCGAGCCACCUCUUCGCCAAUGGCUUUUUUGUUCUGAACAGCGGACCGUCGAAGAUGUUCUUUAACGAGUUUUGCCUUUGAAUCGACUCUAAGGCGAUGCUCAGCCAGUCCCCUGGGAACACCUGGCAUGUCAGCUGGCUUCCAUGCGAAGAUGUCCCAGUUCUCACGGAGGAACUGGAUGAGCGCUUCUUCCUAUUUAGAGUCGGGUGUAGUGGAAAUAUGGGUCGGAGCUGCAUUGGGGUCAGUCGGGUGGAUGUGAACUGGCUUCGUCUCACCGGACGACUGAAAUGCUGACUCUGUGGCGGGCUUCUUGGCUCGCAGUAAAUCACUCGGAUCUGCGUUCUUCUUGUACCCCUCUAGCUCUAUCACUGUUAUCUGGUCAUCCGCAAUCUUUGAGCCUUUCUGGAAACACUCUUCUGCUUUCUUCCGGUUACCAGUGACGGUGAUCACGCCUUUGGGGCCAGGCAUCUUUAACUUGAGGUACACGUAACAUGGUCGAUCCAUGAAGCGGGCGUAGGCUGGUCUUCCCAAGAUAGUGUGGUAGGCGCUCUGGAAAUCCACGAUUUCAAAUGUCAGCUUCUCUUUGCGGAAAUGCUUCGAGUCACCGAACACCACAUCCAGAGCUAUUUGGCCGAGUGACUCAGCCUUCUUUCCUGGGAUGACUCCGUGAAAACUCAUGUUGCUGGAACUGAGCCUGGACAUCGGAAUGCCCAUUCCCUUGAGCGUCUCUGCAUAUAGUAUGUUCAACCCGCUGCCGCCAUUCAUCAAUACCUUCGUCAGUCGAGUGCCUUCGACGACCGGGUCGGCCACCAGUGCUUGCCUCCCAGGGGUGGCAAUAUGAGUAGGAUGGUCCGACUGGUCGAAAGUAAUGGGAGUUUGCGACCAUCUCAGAUAGUUUGGUGUUGCUGGUGCGACCAUAUUGACUUCACGGUUGAUCACUUUCAGUCGACUUUUGCUCUCUACAUCAGCAAAAAUCAUCAGAGUGAAGUUGACAUGAGGGUACUCACCAUCACUGUCCUGCUUGUCCUCAGCCUUGUCUGACUCCUUCUCUUUGUCCUUCAGCUGUUUCCCUUGGAACUGCUGGAUUAAGAGCCGGCACUGGCGAGUGGUAUGCUUUGGGUAGAUGAAGUUACCCUCUUCGUCUUUCUUCGUGUGGAUAUGACACGGCAGGUCCAUCACAUCAUUACCCUCCUUAUCUUUUACCUUCUUGGGGUUCCAAGAUCCUUUGGGCUUCCCUUUAAAUUUGCCCUGUGUCACGGCUAGAGCCUCUCCAGGAGCUGCUGGCUCGGCCUUCCGCUUCUGCUUCCGACUGGAGUUUCCUUUAUCCGACUAACUCGGCUUGUACUUGCCGCUCCGGAGUCGGUCCUCUUCUUCGCCGUUGGCGUACUUGGUGGCUAUUUCCAUCAUCCGACUCAGGGUCAUGUCUCCAGUUCGACCAAACUUCAGGCUCAACUCUUUGUUCUUGACGCCAUCUUUGAAGGCGCAAACCGCUUGAUGGUCCGACACAUUCUCUACAGUGUGAUGCAAAGUGAUCCACCUCUGGAUGUAAUCCCUCAGUGUUUCACUCGACUUUUGUACACAAACUUGUAGCUCAGUUAAUCCAGCAGGUCGCUUGCAAGUUCCCUCAAACGUCCUGACGAACACUCGAGAAAGAUCUACCCAGGUGUAAAUGUUGCUGGGAGCUAACUGAUUCAACCAUGCCCUGGCUGAACCUCCUAGAAUAAGUGGCAAAUGUUUCAUGGCCACCUCAUCAUUACCGCCACCAAUCUGAACAGCCACUCGGUAGUCUUCGAGCCAAGUUUCAGGCUUAGACUCUCCGGUGAACUUAUUCACCCCAUUCGCCAACCUGAAGUUGGGGGGUAUCACUGCGGUUCUGAUCGCUCUGCGAAAACAUUCUGGACCUGAAACAUGGACUCGGCUGCUUGUGGGCACAUCUCUGUCAUGACCACCUCUAUGAGCUCUGUUUCAGUCGACCAAACCUUGCACGAUGAUGGAUCUCGCGUCAAAGCCUGGCUCUCUGGGGUCGACUGGAGCUCUCUGCCCAACACUGAGCUGGCUUCUAUCAUCUUGCUGCCGAUGGGCGUUAGACCCACUUCUCGGAGGAGGAGUGGGCACUCGACGCCUGUCAUCACGAUCAAAUCGAUCAUCAUAGUGGUCCCGCCGGCCUUCACGUCCCACGCGCCUCGGAGGCGACCUUGGACUGUCAGCUGACUGAAUAGUAUUCGCAGCAACAGAUCGACUGUGAAUCCUGUUAGGUGACUGUGACACAGCUGAAUUCUGAUCUCCUGCUGCCCGGAGCAAAUCUCUGAUCUGCAUCAAGCCUCUUCCAGCCUCUGACUGAGAGGGCUGAAUUGACUCUGCUAUGCGGGCUGCAGCUGCCAAAUUCUGAAUUGGGGUUCGAUAUACCUGAGUUGGUUGCGGAAAGAGCUGACGUCGAUUGGAGUUAGUCGCUCGUUGACGCGCAUGCUCGUCGAGUGCUCGCUGAAGGUUCUCCAGUCGAGUGUGUUCAGCCAGGUUGGCUAAACGCGCCUCUUCCAGGGCACGAGCCUCAGGAGUUUCUCCUGCAAUGGGAGUAUGCAGGGCAUCCAUGUUCUGGCGGCGAAGUUCUUCCCUCUGCUGGGAAGUGAGCGGCUCGGGUUGGUACUCUUCAUGGGCUUGAGCAGGGUCAUCCUCGUCGUCCAUCCCGUCGCCACGGGGGAAACCGGGAGGACUACGGGGCCCAUUGACCAUCAGGACCUCCGCCGUCGGAUCACUGCUAUCGCACUCGGAUGCAGCCUCUACAGAGCCAGUCGACAGGUCGAAUAGGCCGUAGAGAGAUCCGUCAGGCUCAAUCGCCGCGACUUGGGUGGUGGCCGAUUGGCGAGCCACUGCGUGUCUCACCCAUCGCUGGAGCCUCAACCGACCGGAGCGCUUGCGCUGGCGGGAGACAGGGAGGGAGGACGGCGCAGGAGUCGACCGGUAUGGGGUCGACGGCUGCCGCAGCAAGACGCUGCGGACACACACCCGAAAGUGCAUCGCCCCGCGGACGGGGAGCGCUCCGAUGUCGAGUGGUGCCUCCUGGAGCCAAGCGGAGUCGUCGGCGAUGAAAGUGAGCGCACCGAGACGGAUCUCGUGGCCCUCGACCAGAGCUCUGCCAGAAACCAUGAUGAAGGCGAUCGGACAAAUUGCAACUUCUCCAAAAAAGUCGCUAAGACACCUGCCCCACGGUGGGCGCCAACUGUCGUGGUUCUAAGUCUGACAGUAGAAUGGGGGGUAAGUAUGGAAAGGCAAGGUCCUAGCUAUGGAGUAGUUGUACACACGGGUGUUUAGCGAGUUCAGGCCCUUCUCUGAGGAAGUAACAGCCCUACGUCUCGGAGCCCGGAGGCGGUCGACUGAUCUCUGUGUAUAUGAGUUACAGGGGUGCGAAACUUUCUACCAGUGGAGGGGGGUGGCUUAUAUAGAGGACGCCAGGACCCCAGCCAGCCCACGUAGGGGGGGUAAAAGUACAUUAAGGCUGGGCGUUAUUGGUAACGCCCUACAUAAAGUGUCAUCAUGACCAUUAAGACUAUUUAAUUACAAACCGUUUGGAUGCAGAGUAGAUCCUGAACUUCCGAUAGUCGAGUGCGUCUUCAUGGUCGAGUGUCUUCUAGCCGGUCGAGUGGAGUCUCCCUUGGUCGAGUGGAGCUUCUUUUGGUCGACUGGAAGGUAGCUUCAUAUGAUAAUGUCCUUGGGCAUGGUAUCCUAGAUAGGUCCAUGACCCUACCCUAGGUACAUAACCUCAUCAGUGACCCCGUGGACGAAAAAGGUCUGAACAUUUUUCUGAUUUGCACACACCCUGUCGAUCCUGGACACACCAGAAAAGGCCAAUCUUUUUUAUUUAGCUGCCUAUGUUUUUACACAAAACUAUGAAGAACAUAGAGGGCAGCUUUGGGUCACGGAAAAAACUUAUACUGUGUGCAAAAGAAAUCAUGAUUUCAGCAGCACUGAAUAUGUACAGCAAAGGUCGAAACAAUUUAUCAAAAAAUGUGUCUGUGUUUCAUUCUUCCGCAAUACAAUAAGAAGUCCACCACUAAAGCUUUUUCCUCCUCCACAAGUAAAGUCCCUUAUCCUCCGGUCGGCGUCGCCGUCGGUCCGCCCCAUCUCUGAUGGCCUCUGGGCCAUGGAGUCGCCGAGGAUCCCAGCCCUUGUUCUCCUCCUUGUUAGAUUUAGCGUCUUGGUUGGGGUUGGGUGGAGGCGGCGAUGUCCCUUAAUAGGAAUAAUGUAUGAUUGGUUAUCUUUGUAAGUAUCUUCGAGUUAUCAGUUUGGUUUGGCCUACUAGAUUUAUCUUUCUUGCAAUGUUAGAAGUGCUUAGCUUUGGGUUCAAUCUUGCGGUGUCCUUUCCCAGUGACAGCAGGGGCAGCAAGGCACGUAUUGUAUUGUUGUCAUCGAGGAUAAAAAGAUGGGGUUUAUAUCAUAUUGCUUGAGUUUAUCCCUCUACAUCAUGUCAUCUUGCCUAAUGUGUUACUUUGUUCUUAUGAAUUUAAUACUCUAUAUGCAAGCUGGAUAGCGGUCAAUGUGUGGAGUAAUAGUAGUAAAUGCAGGCACGAGUCGGUCUACUUGUCGUGGACGUGAUGCCUUGAUACGUCUCCAACGUAUCUAUAAUUUUUUAUUGUUCCAUGCUAUUAUAUUACCCGUUUUGGAUGUUUAUGGACUUUACUUUACACUUUUAUAUUAUUUUUGGGACUAACCUACUAACCGGAGACCCAACCCGUAUUGCUGUUUUUUUUGCCUAUUUCAGUGUUUUGAAGAAAAGGAAUAUCAAACAGAGUCCAAACGGAAUGAAACCUUCAGGAGCGUGAGUUUUGGAACAAACGUGAUCCAAGGGACUUGGAGUGCAAGUCAAGAAGCAAUCGAGGCGGCCACCAGGGUGGAGGGCGCCCCCUAUCUCGUGGGCCCCUCGGGCGUCCACCGACCUACUUCUUCCUCCUAUAUAUACCCACGUACCACGAGAACAUCAAAGGCGACCACGAAAAACUAUUUCCACCACCGUAACCUUCUGUAUUCACGAGAUCCCAUCUUGGAGCCUUCGUCAUUGCUCCAUCGGAGAGGGAAUCAACCAUGGAGGGCUUCUACAUCAACACCAUAGCCUCUCCAAUUAGUUGUGAGUAGUUUACCACAGACCUUCGGGUCCAUAGUUAUUAGCUAGAUGGCUUCUUCUCUCUCUUUGAAUCUCAAUAUCAUGUUCUCCUCGAUCUUCUUGGAGAUCUAUACGGUGUAACUCUUUUUGCGAUGUGUUUGUCUCGAUCCGAUGAAUUGUGGGUUUAUGAUCAAGUUUAUCUAUGAGAAAUAUUUGAAUCUCCUCUGAAUUCUUUUAUGUGUGAUUAAGUUAUCUUUGCAAGUCUCUUCAAAUUAUCAGUUUGGUUUGGCCUACUAGAUUGAUCUUUCUUGCAAUGGGAGAAGUUCUUAGCUUUGGGUUCAAUCUUGCGGUGUCCUUUCCCAGUGACAGCAGGGGCAGCAAGGCAUGUAUUGUAUUGUUGUCAUCGAGGAUAAAAAGAUGGGGUUCAUAUCAUAUUGCAUGAGUUUAUCCCUCUACAUCAUGUCAUCUUUCUUAAUGCGUUACUCUGUUAUUUAUGAACUUAAUACUCUAGAUGCAUGCUGGAUAGCGGUCGAUGUGUGGAGUAAUAGUAGUAGAUGCAGGCAGGAGUCGGUCUACUUGUUAUGGACGUGAUGCCUAUAUACAUGAUCAUGCCUAGAUAAUCUCAUAAUUAUUUGCUUUUCUAUCAAUUGCUCGACAGUAAUUUGUUCACCCACCGUAAUACUUAUGCUAUCUUGAGAGAAGCCACUAGUGAAACCUAUGGCCCCCGGGUCUAUCUUUUAUCAUAUAAGCUUUCAAUCUACUUUUAUUUGCAUCUUUACUUUUCCAAUCUAUAUUAUAAAAUACCAAAAAUAUAUUUAUCUUAUCAUACUAUCUCUAUCAGAUCUCACUUUCGUAAGUGGCCGUGAAGGGAUUGACAACCCCGUUAUUGCGUUGGUUGCGAGUUCUUGUUUGUUUGUGUAGGUGCGUCGGACUUUUGAGGAGCCUCCUACUGGAUUGAUACCUUGGUUCUCAAAAACUGAGGGAAAUACUUACGCUACUAUUGUUGCAUCACCCUUUCCUCUUCAAAGAAAACCAACGCAAGCUCAAGACGUAGCAUGCCUAUAUACAUGAUCAUGCCUAGAUAUUCUCAUAACUAUGCACUUUUCUAUCAACUGCUCGACAGUAAUUUGUUCACCCGCCGUAAUAUUUAUGCUAUCUUGAGAGAAGCCACUAGUGAAACCUAUGGCCCCGGGUCUAUUUUCCAUCAUAUAAGUUUCCGAUCUACUUUAUUUAGCAAUCUUUACUUUUCAAUCUAUAUCAUAAAAAUACCAAAAAUAUUUAUCUUAUUAUUAUCUCUAUCAUAUCUCACUUUCGCAAGUGGCCGUGAAAAGAUUGACAACCCCUUUAUCGCGUUGGUUGCGAGGUUCUUGUUUGUUUAUGUAGGUACGAGGGACUUGCGUGUAGCCUCCUACUGGAUUGAUACCUUGGUUUUCAAAAGUUGAGGGAAAUACUUACGCUACUUUGCUGCAUCACCCUUUCCCGCUUCAAGGGAAAACCAACGCAGUGCUCAAGAGGUAGCAAGAAGGAUUUCUGGCGCCGUUGCCGGGGAGGUCUACGCACAAGUCAAGACAUACCAAGUACCCAUCACAAACUCUUCUCCUCGCAUUACAUUAUUUUCCAUUUGCCUCUUGUUUUCCUUUCCCCCACUUCACCCUUGCCGUUUUAUUCGCGCUCCCUUUCCCGUUCGCCUCUUUUUCCGCUUGCUUCUUGUGGUACUUGCUUUCACUAUGUCUGAAACUGGGGAGGUUAUCAUUGAUAAGGACAAUAGUAAUAACAUGGGAAACUUUGAUGCUUUUGAUGAUCCUACUGAAGAAACCACUAUCUUACAUACUAAAAGAUUUCGAAUCGGUAGUGGUAAUAUUAUUGGAAAAGGGGUUAUUCAAGAUUCUUUACUUGUGUUGGUGCUUUACCUUCUAUGGGUGGAUCUAUUCUUCAUAGAACUAGUAGUCUUGCGGAUGCUAUAUCCUUGCUUAUAGUUGAACUUGAAAGACAGUUUAUGCAUAUGCAUCCUUGCAUACAAAGGAUUUUUCUAGAAUUUUCCAAUAUUGAGCAUUCUUCUGUUAAGCGCGCAGCUACUAUCUUUUUGGCACAUGAGUUCAGAUUUAUAAUAAAAGAAGCCAGAGAAAUCUUUGCGCACUAUAGGGUGGACGCUGGUCGCCCUCCCAUUUAGGCGAUCCUUUUUAAUCAAGAAGACAUAAUGCGUUUACAAUCCUUAGAUCGUGUUGCUUUUAAUGAAAACCUUAGGAAAAAGGUUCCUACCGAUGUUCUAGUUGAUAGAAUCUCUGAACUUAAUGAUGAUUUUGCUAUUCAUAACAAUGGGUUGGGAUUUUCUCUUGAGCAAAGGCUCAUGACUUUUUGCCAAAAGAAUGCUUAUAAUGAUGAAUUGGUUGUGUAAUAUGAAGGGCCAAAGGAGGAACCCAUACCUCCCGAGCUUGAUCUUGGGGACUUUUGUCCCAUUAAAUUUAGCCCUUUUGAUUACUUUUGCUUGCCACAAAGAAAACUUGUUGUUGAACGUAGGGAAUAUGAGAUGAGUUUUCGUGAUUUACCUUAUCAUUACGGCAAUAAUUAGAUCUAUUCUCGCUUUUAUGCCUAGCUAGGGGCGUUAAACGAUAGCGCUUGUUGGGAGGCAACCCAAUUUUAUUUUUGUUCUUUACUUUUUGCUCCUGUUUAGUAUUAAAUAAUUCAUCUAGCCUCUGGUUAGAUGUGGUUUUAUGUUUUAGUUAGUGUUUGUGCCAAAUAGAACCUAUAGGAUCAUCUUGGGUGAUAGUUAAUUUGAUCUUGCUAAAAAACAGAAACUUUUGCGCACACGAGAAUAAUUUUAAUAAAUCACAGAAACAUGAUUUUGAGUUGAUUAUUUUUUAAGAAGAUUAAUAGACAAAUUUACUAGGACUUCCUAUUUUCGUAGGACUUUUAAGGUUCUAGAAGUAUUCGAAAGUUACAGAUUACUACAGACUGUUCUGUUUUUGACAGAUUCUGUUUUUUGUGUGUUGUUUGCUUAUUUUGAUGAAUCUAUGGCUAGUAUCGGGGGGUAUGAACCAUAGAUAAGUUGGAAUACUGCAGGUUUAACACCAAUAUAAAUAAAGAAUGAUUUCAUUACAGUACCUUAAAGUGGUGGUUUGCUUUUUUGCACUAACGGAGCUCAUGAGAUUUUUUGUUGAGUUUUGUGUUGUGAAGUUUUCAAGUUUUGGGUAAAGAUUUGAUGGAUUAUGGAAUAAGGAGUGGCAAGAGCCUAAGCUUGGGUAUGCUCAAGGCACCCCAAGAUAAAUUCAAGGACAACCAAAAGCCUAAGCUUGGGGAUGCCCCGGAAGGCAUCCCCUUGUCUUCAUCUAUCAGUAACUUUACUUGGAGCUAUAUUUUUAUUCACCACAUGAUAUGUGUUUUGCUUGGAGCGUCUUGAAUGAUAUGAGUCUUUGAUUUUUAGUUUACCACAAUCAUCCUUGCUGUACACACAUUUUGGGAGAGACACACAUGAAUCGGAAUUUAUUAGAAUACUCUAUGUGCUUCACUUAUAUCUUUUGAGCUAGAUAAUUUUGCUCUAGUGCUUCACUUAUAUCUUUUUAGAGCACGGCGGUGGUUUUAUUUUGUAGAAAUUAUUGAUCUCUCAUGCUUCACUUAUAUUAUUUUGAGAGUCUUUUAGAACAGCAUGGUAUUUGCUUUGGUUAUAAAAUUAGUCCUAAUAUGAUGGGCAUCCAAGUUGGGUAUAAUAAAAAUUGUCAUAGAAAGUGCAUGAAACACUAUAAGAAAUUUGAUACUUGAUAAUUGUUUUGAGAUAUAAAGGUGGUAAUGUUAGAGUCAUGCUAGUUGGGUAAUUAUGAAAUUGAGAAAUACUUGUGUUAAAGUUGGCAAGUCCCGUAGCAUGCACGUAUGGUAAACGUUGUGUGACAAAUGUGUUGCACGGGGUGUUCUUUUGAUUGCCUUCCUUAUGUGUGGAGGUCGGGAUCGCGCGAUGGUUAACUCCUACCAACCCUUCCCCUAGGAGCAUGCGUAGUAGUACUUUGCUUCGAGGGCUAAUAAACUUUUGCAAUAAGUAUAUGAGUUCUUUAUGACUAAUGUGAGCCCAUGGAUUAUACGCACUCUCACCCUUCCACCAUUGCUAGCCUCUCUUGUGCCGCGCAACUUUCGCCAGUAUCAUACACCCACCAUUUACCUUCCUCAAAACAGCCACCAUACCUACCUAUUAUGGAAUUUCUAUAGCCAUUCCAAGAUAUAUUGCCAUGCAACUCUCCACCGUUCCGUUUAUUAUGACACGCUCCAUCAUUGUCAUAUUGCUUUUGCAUGAUCAUGUAGUUGACAUCGUAUUUGUGGCAAAGCUACCGUUAUAAUUCUUUCAUACAUGUCACUCUUGAUUCAUUGCAUAUCCUGGUACACCGCUGGAGGCAUUCACAUAGAGUCAUAUUUUGUUCUAAGUAUUGACUUGUAAUUCUUGAGUUGUAAAUCAAUAAAAGUGUGAUGAUCUUCAUUAUUAGAGCAUUGUCCCAAGUGAGGAAAGGAUGAUGGAGACUAUGAUUCCCCCACAAGUCACUAUGAGACUCCGGACCUCAUGAUAAAUAAAAGAGGCCAAAGAAGCCCAAAUAAAAAAGAGAGGCCAAAGAAGCCCACCCAAAAAAAUGAGAGAAAAAGAGAGAAGGGACAUUGUUACUAUGCUUUUUCCAGACUUGUGCUUCAAAGUAGCACCAUGAUCCUCAUGGUAGAGUCUCCUAUGUUGUCACUUUCAUAUACUUGUGGGAAUUUUUCAUUAUAGAACUUGGCUUGUAUAUUACAAUGAUGGGCUUCCUCAAAAUGCCCUAGGUCUUUGUGAGUAAGCGAGUUGGAUGCACACCCACUUAGUUUCUUUUGUUGAGCUUUCACACAUUUAUAGCUCUAGUGCAUCUGUUGCAUGGCAAUCCCUACUCACUCACGUUGAUAUCUAUUAAUGGGCAUCUCCAUAGGCCGUUGAUACGCCUAGUCAAUGUGAGACUUUCUCCUUUUUUGUCUUCUCCACACAACCUCCAUCAUCAUAUUCUAUUCCACCCAUAGUGCUAUAUCCAUGGCUUACGCUCAUGUAUUGCGUGAGAGUUGAAAACGCUGAAGCGCGUUAAAAAGUAUGAACCAAUUGCUUGGCUGAAACCGGGGUUAUGCAUGAUGGGAGUAUUUUGUGUGACAAAAAUGAAGCAUAGCCUAACUAUAUGAUUUUGUAGGGAUAAGCUUUCUUUGGCUACAUUAUUUUGAUAAGACAUGAUUACUUGUUAGUAUGCUUAAAGUAUUACUAUUUUUAUGUUAAUAUGAACUUUUAUUUUGAAUCAUUUGGAUCUGAACAUUCAUGCCACAAUAAAGAAAAUUACAUUGAGAAAUAUGCUAGGUAGCAUUCCACAUCAAAAAUUCUGUUUUUAUCAUUUACCUACUCGAGGACGAGCAGGAAUUAAGCUUGGGGAUGCUUGAUACGUCUCCAAGGUAUCUAUAAUUUUUUAUUGUUCCAUGCUAUAUAUUACCCGUUUUGGAUAUUUAUGGGUUUUACUAUACACUUGUAUAUCAUUUUUUGGACUAACCUAUUAACCGGAGGCCCAGCCCAAAUUGUUGUUUUUGCCUAUUUCAGUGUUUCGCAGAAAAGGAAUAUCAAACGGAGUCCAAACGGAAUGAAACCUUCGGGAGAGUUAUUUUUAAAACAAACGCAAUCCAGGAGACUUGGAGUGGAUGUCAAGAAAAAAACAAGGCGGCCAUGAGGCAGGGAGGCGCGCCCUAGGGGGGUGGGCGCGCCCCCCACCCUCGUGGGCCCCUCGUGGCUCCUCUGACCGACUUUCUUCGCCUAUAUAUAUCUACAUACCCUGAAAACAUCCAGGAGCACCACGAAACCCUAUUUCCACAACCGCAACCUUCUGUACCCGUGAGAUCCCAUCUUGGAGCUUUUUCCGGCGCUCCGCCGGAGGGGGAAUCGAUCACGGGGGGCUUCUACAUCAACACCAUAGCCUCUCCGAUGAGUUGUGAGUAGUUUAUCACAGACCUUCGGGUCCAUAGUUAUUAGCUAGAUGGCUUCUUCUCUCUCUUGAAUCUCAAUACAAAGUUCUCCUCGAUCUUCUUGGAGAUCUAUUCGAUGUAAUUCUUUUUGCGAUGUGUUUGUGGAGAUCCAUGAAUUGUGGGUUUAUGAUCAAGUUUAUCCAUGAGAAAUAUUUGAAUCUCCUCUAAAUUCUUUUAUAUAUGAUUGGUUAUCUUUGCAAGUCUCUUCGAAUUAUCAGUUUGCUUUGGCCUACUAGAUUUAUCUUUUUUGCAAUGGGAGAAGUGCUUAGCUUUGGGUUCAAUCUUGCGGUGUCCUUUCCCAGUGACAGCAGGGGCAGCAAGGCACGUAUUGUAUUGUUGCCAUCGAGGAUAAAAAGAUGGGGUUUAUAUCAUAUUGCUUGAGUUUAUCCCUCUACAUUAUGUCAUCUUGCCUAAUGCGUUACUUUGUUCUUAUGAACUUAAUACUCUAGAUGCAUGCUGGAUAGCGGUCGAUAUGUGGAGUAAUAGUAGUAGAUGCAGGCAGCAAUCGGUCUACUUGUCGCGGACGUGAUGCCUAUAUACAUGAUCAUGCCUAGAUAUUCUCAUAACUAUGCACUUUUCUAUCAAUUGCUCGACAGUAAUUUGUUCACCACCGUAAUACGUAUGCUAUCUUGAGAGAAGCCACUAGUGAAACCUCUGGCCCACGGGUCUAUCUUUUAUCAUAUAAGCUUUCAAUCUACUUUUAUUUGCAUCUUUACUUUUCCAAUCUAUAUUAUAAAAAACCAAAAAUAUAUUUAUCUUAUCAUACUAUCUCUAUCAGAUCUCACUUUCGCAAGUGGCCGUGAAGGGAUUGACAACCCCUUUAGCGCAUUGGUUGCGAGGUUCUUGUUUGUUUGUGUAGGUACGAGGGACUUGCGCGUAGCCUCCUACUGGAUUAAUACCUUGGUUCUCAAAAGCUGAGGGAAAACUUACGCUACUUUGCUGCAUCACCCUUUCCUCUUCAAGGGAAAACCAACACAGGGCUCAAGUGGUAGCAAUGGGUUUUCCACUGAAUCUCACAUUCCAGGAUCCUAGCAUUUAUAGCAUGAAAUAUAAACUCUUAAUAAUGAACCUGGAAAUAUAAUAAUAUUAUAUUAUUGCCUCUAGGGCAUAUUUCCAAUAGUAUUCAACUUGCACUGAAGUCAAUAAUCUAGUUAGCACAUUUUUAUUUACACCAAUGGCAGUCUGGUGUUUGUCCAUACUCAGCUUGUGGUAUAGCCUUCAUCCCAUUGGAUCUUGAAAACUUCAUAUCCACGUGUAUCAUAUGCAUUUCAAUGCCUCUAUCAUGAUGGCUUUGUAUGUAUUGAAUCACUAGAAGGACCUAUGAUUCCUUGGACUGAGCUAUAGAACCACUAUUAAGUAUAGUGUUUCAUUGGCACAAUCAUCUAGAAAUCAUAACAAUCUCAUAAAUGAAAGUGUUAUUGAUCACUCUCCAUUGUUGCUUCUAAAGCAACAAUCUACUCAGCCCUCUGUUAUAGAUUUCACCACAGUAACCAACAACCCAACAAACACACUGCAAAAAACAUUACAUCGGAUAGAACUCCAAGAAGAUCGAGGAGAACAUUGUAUUGAAGAUCAAAGAGAGAAGAAGCCACUAGCUACUAGCUAUGGACUCGUAGGUCUGCGGUGAAUUGCUCACACAUCAUCGGAAGGCGGCACGGAUGAUGCAGAAGCCCUCAGUGAUCGAUUCCCCCUCCGGCGGAGUACCGGUAAAGCCCUCCAGAUGGAAUCGCGGAAGAAUAGAAGCUUGUGGUGGUGGAAAAAGUGUUUCGGAUGGCUCUCUGUUGGUUUGGGAAUAUUUGUGAAUUUAUAGGCUUGGAAUUAGGUCAAACGGAGUUGCGUGGGCCCAUAAGCUCAGGGGGCGCACUUUGUGAGCUCGUGGCUCUCUUGUAGCUCUUCUGGCCUCCUCCCGAACCUUCUAGGACCCCUUCUGGUCCAGAGAAAAUAACCAUAAUUCAUCGUAUUUGGACUUCGUUUGGUAUUGUUUUUCUGAAAAGCCAAAACAAGUAAAAAAUAGGAACUAGCACUGGGCAAUGGGUUAAUAGGUUAGUCCCAAAAGUGGUAUAAAAUAGCAUAAAAAUGCAUAUAAUCCAGGAUUGAUAAUAUAAUAGCAUGAAACAAUCAAAAGUUAUAGAUAUAUUGGAGACGUAUCAGCAUUCCCAAGCUUAAUUCCUGCUCGUCCUUGAGUAGGUAAAUGAGAAUAACAGAAUUUUUGUGUAUACAUGUAUUAUUUGUAGUGAGAUAUGUACAUGACAAAGAGCGAUACUACUGCCAGGAUCAGACCAAUGUACAUGACAUAAGAAAGAGGUGGCACAUCUCUGAAUGCAAGGUCCAUGGCAACAAGCAGACGCAAUGGAAAAGACAGAUUGUUUUGUCAUCUUUUGCAGCGCCAUCCUUUAGUAUGUCAGGGAGCAGCUAAGGAAUGAAAUCAUGCUCCAUUUUGGAUCAUAAGAUUUUAAUUUGACCAUAAGCUAAGCCUCCACCACACGAAAAGUGAUGAAAAUACAAAAUUUGUUAUGUGAUGCAAUACAAUGCAAAUCUUAUGUACUCCCUCUGUAAAGAAAUAUAAGAGCGUUUAGAUCAUUACUUUACACGUUACCAUCGUAAUCUCAAGCUUUGAAUUUAGUACUACUCAUUAAUCAAUUGUGUGAUCUUAAGAAAAUGCUAUACCUCUAAAAUGAACAACUAAAAGGUCAUGAGACACGUAGUGAUCUCCAAAUAAAUUGGUUGUUCUAGGGGAAAAGUGAUGAAAAGUGUUGUUCUAGGGGAAAAGUGAUGACAAGCAUGGAUUAUCUGUUUCGUCAUCUUGGGAGGGGGAGGGUCAUCCACAUGACCACAAGCCAAGCCCACACCCCACGUCAAGUGAUGCAAAUCCCAAUCAUGUCAUGUCAUGAUUUACAAUGCAAAUCUUCUUUAAAACUUUACACAUUGGCAUCACUAUCUUAAGCUUGGCAUUUGGUACUCCCUACGAUCCAUAUUUGUUGUCGCUCAAACGGAUGUAUCUAGCACUAAAAUACAUCUAGAUACAUCUGUUUCAGCGACAACUAAUAUGAAUCAAAGGGAAUACUACUAAUUAGUUGUGUGAUCUUAAUAAAACACCAUGCUUCUAAAAUGAACAGGUCACGAGGCGUGUACCAAUCUCCAGAUGAAUUUGAUGUUCUACAGAAUUCAUAUGUGCGGAAAGAUAAGACUGAAAACCGCACACUUACCCGGGAUAGGAUGGGAUAUUUUGAGAAAUAGAUAAGGAUUAGUUCAGGUUUCUCCCAUAUAUACGAAAUGACUGGACGAUGACUAAUUAAACGAGAGACAACAAACCACUUAUCUUCCUUUAUGACUCAAUUGAUCGAGAGCCUUCCCAAGUUGCUUUUGCGGUUUUGUUGGUCACAAUGCAGAUGCUUUGAACCUUUGCACAACCGUGGGCAUGUGGCUCCCGUUAAAUAGCCACAAGAUACCAUAAAAUUAGCACUUCCAAAGUUCCCAUUUACUCUCUCUUCCUCUCAAGUCUAACCAAAGCCCAACAAACCACCACCUCGGCCAUGGCAACCACCCUCGCCACCGACGUCCGCCUCUCCAUCGCGCACCAGACCCGCUUCGCCCUCCGUCUCGCCUCCACCAUCUCAUCCAACCCUAAGUCUGCUGCCAGCAAUGCCGCCUUCUCCCCGGUCUCCCUCUACUCCGCACUUAGCCUCCUCGCCGCUGGCGCGGGCAGUGCCACUCGGGACCAACUCGUCGCCACACUCGGGACAGGCAAGGUCGAGGGACUCCACGCGCUCGCCGAGCAGGUGGUCCAGUUUGUGCUCGCCGACGCGUCCUCCACUGGUGGUCCGCNNNNNNNNNNNNNNNNNNNNNNNNNNNNNNNNNNNNNNNNNNNNNNNNNNNNNNNNNNNNNNNNNNNNNNNNNNNNNNNNNNNNNNNNNNNNNNNNNNNNNNNNNNNNNNNNNNNNNNNNNNNNNNNNNNNNNNNNNNNNNNNNNNNNNNNNNNNNNNNNNNNNNNNNNNNNNNNNNNNNNNNNNNNNNNNNNNNNNNNNNNNNNNNNNNNNNNNNNNNNNNNNNNNNNNNNNNNNNNNNNNNNNNNNNNNNNNNNNNNNNNNNNNNNNNNAAUGUAAAAGAAUUUUUAACGGACAUAAUUAUGUACAUUUGAGAGAAACAAUGACAUGCUUAACUAACUACUUCAGCCGCCUGUACAUGUUGGCAUGCCACUGCUUCACUCAAAGUGUUUGUUUUCUGCUGAUGUAAUAUAGAGGUCUGUAUUAAUCUUAUACACAUUCUAGAUUUGUAAUUUAGUGGUUAUCGUAUACCACUGUUUUUUACACUAGAAGCUUCACCUUUGUAAGCAUAGUUCGCACCUGCUACCUUGAACUGUGAAUGAUUUUGCCUAUCCUGUUAGUCGGCAUGAUUGGAGAUAACUAGUCUGUUACUUUUCUGAGCAUACCUAAUCUUUUGGGAGUGUAAUUCUCAUACCGUGCUAUCUAGGGAUAUGAAGGCUGGGGAAUUUUCUGAUGUUUUAUACUUUAAUUACGCUCUUCAGCGAAGUGAGAUUAUAAUUUUGGGAGUAUUUCCUGGAAACUUUGUCUCCAACGUAAGAAGAUGUACAAAAAAAUCAGCUAAAGAUUAUAAUUUUGGGAAUAUUUCUGUAAAAGGUAUUGCAUAGUGGUGCUUCGAGAUGUUGUGAUGGCCAUUCAAAUUUGUAUGCUCAUAUGAAUUGUUUUUCUAUCAUACGUUGUUGUAUGUGCUGAUUUAUGUGUUUGAAAAUUUUACUAUAAAAAUGCUUUAUAAAAACACUAGUAUGCUGCUUUGCAUUCUUAGCACAACUAUUAUAUUUUGUUCUUUGAAAGAAUUUUCUAUUGGUUUGUUCAAAGGUUGGUGGCACAGCAGUACCGUCAAACUAUUUUCAUUACAUAAUUGACCUUUGUUUAUUUUUUCCAUGGCCCAGGCCGCUGAAGUUACUACUCAAGUGAAUUCAUGGGUAGAGAAAGUCACGAGCGGUCGCAUCAAGGACAUUCUCCCCCCAGGAUCUAUUGACAAUACCACUAAACUUGUUCUUGCCAAUGCCCUUUAUUUCAAAGGAGCUUGGACAGAGCAGUUUGAUUCAUAUGGAACAAAAAACGACUACUUCUACCUUCUUGAUGGGAGCUCAGUUCAAACACCAUUCAUGUCCAGCAUGGAUGACCAAUACCUUUUGUCUUCUGAUGGGUUGAAGGUACUUAAGCUACCUUACAAGCAAGGUGGGGACAAUAGGCAGUUCUUCAUGUAUAUCCUUCUUCCAGAAGCACCAGGUGGUCUCUCAAGCUUGGCCGAAAAAUUGAGUGCUGAACCAGACUUCCUGGAGCGGCAUAUCCCAAGGCAGAGGGUUGCAC